UCACCACUCGAACAGAUGCAGCCACCCACCCAUUUAAUCCCAGUCCAAAAUCAAACCCUCUCCUAAACCCACCCCAGAAUCCAAUAAUUUCAAAAAAUGGCUGAUUAUAUCAUUUCAAGAACCUCACAAUUCCAAAAACUAAAAACCCACUUCAAAGAUGUAAUAUUUUUCUCUCUUCCUCUUUUUGGGUUUUUUUUUUUUAUCAAUUCUCUUCUGGGUUUUUGUUUACAGUGUAAAAUCAACACUAAUUUACUAAUUUUGCUUUGAUUUUUCAAACACUAUUGAGGCGUGAUAACCUGUUGCAAGCUCAGCCAUGGCGGCUACUGCAAAAUCUAACGGAAAAACCAUCACAGACUCUGCCAUUUCAUCCAAGGUUCCGACAAUAGCAAACCCUUUAACGAAUAGCUGUCGCAGAUUUCUUCCAACAUCAAUCACCACGCGAAAUUAAUUGUCAAUGAAGACGAUCCCAUUCCCCUUCGAAAUCUGCUGGGGGAAAGAGGCCUUCUUUCAUAUCUGCUCUGAGACCUGUUUAUGCGAGAGAGUGGUGAGCCUGACGACAGAGAGAAAGAAGGGCAGGAUUGGAAAAUUGGAAAGUUCAUUUAUUGGUUACUGUUUAUCCGUGUUUCUUCGAAAUAAGCUGCUUUUUCCAGCUUUGGGUUUUCAGUAUUUUUUUAACCCAUAAUUUUGAAAGAAAAAAAACUGAUUUGAAAUGUUAUCAAACACUUAAAAUGUUCCAAUCUUUUUUCAUACCUAUUUUUUUUAUUAAAAGUUAAGCUAAACAAAAACCAGGAUUAAGUUUACUACUUUGAAGUUUCUUGCUUUUCAACAUUUCAUACAUUGAAUUUUUCUCAUCCAGUGUCAUACCUAAGGUGAGAAUUGUGGGACACUUUUAUACAUCCGUUAGAUUUUCUGUGAAUUAUGGGACACUUUUAUACAUCCGUUAGAUUUUUUGUGAUAACCUUCGCUGACCCACGAUGCGGCAUGCAUGUGGACAUUAAAAAAAAUUCAAAAAUUCAAAAAUUCAAAAAUUUUAAAAUUUAAAAUUCAAAAAUACUAAAAACCUAAACUUUUCAUAAUAUUGAGUUGAGAGACUGAAUCUUUUCACACUCGGCCAAAUUUUCUUUGAAUUUUAAUUAAAUGAAACAAUGAAUCUUGAACAAAGCAAAACAAAACGUAAUAUUGAGAGAUUCAGUCAUUGAAGUGGACGUGGAUGUUGGGUACUCAAUAGUCCAAGAAUGAAAAUUCUCAUAUCAGUUUCUAUCCAAAAUUUUGGAAUUAUGUGUGUUGCAACGAUUGUCCAAAGGAUUAUUCUUCUUUUAUUAAAUUUCCAUGAAAAAUGAGCAUGGGGGCAUAAAAAUUGAACGAAUGAAAUUUCAACGAUUUGAAAAGGGUUGUGAGUUUGACACGUCAUUUUUCUUCCUUUAAUGCAAUCAUGUUUAUUAAAAGACAAAAAUAAAUAUGACUUUACAUAAGGAGAGAGAAAGAAUAGUUUUCUUUGAAAAAAUCAACCAUUUAUUGAAGAGGGAUGUUGAUAAGGAGAUGAGACAUUCAUUAGAAGCUAGAAAAAAGAAGUUAAAAGUGAUUUAGAAAAAAGCAAGAAAGCCACAUUUUCAAAGUGGUGGUCAUUGCACAAUACUUAAUUAGAAGAAAACUCAUAGUAUUGUAUUUACAAUUUCAAGUCUUUAUGGGGAACGAGAGUGCAAAUUUUCCAAUUGGAAUAUGAUAUGAAAUUUCUAGAUAACUAUAUAUGACAAAGAAAGAAGUCUAAGUUUCUAAGUGGUAGGGCUUCCAAUUGAUGUGAGUUUGUUGAGAAAUGUAGAUGAAGAUGAAUAUUGUUGUUGAUGUUAGUGAACAACAGAACAAGUUGCUUCUCCUUUGGCCUUCUAACAUGAUAUCACGGAAAACAAGUUGUUGCUAAUAAAUGUAUCUGAUUGGUGGACUUAGACGUGCGCGGUACGAUUUUUGAUAACGAGAAAAGAUGGACAGUGUCAUGACAAAAUUUAUCCAAGUAGACCCAAAGGAAAGACUUAGGAACUUCAUAUGCAGUGGGAUAAAAUCUUAAGCUAAUUUCCUUACCUAUUUUAUAGUCAUUAAGUAAAAUGUAUAUGUAUAUUUCUAGAUGCUGACACACCAAUGUACUUACUAUUAACUCCUUUCAAAUACCCAUUCGCAGAAACGCAAAUCUCUCUUGCAUGCUUGUUGUAAUGCUCAUGUAGUGCGUAUCUAAUAUCUUAUGUGUAUAAUUUUUUGUGAUCCAUUUUUUCAUCACUAUGCCAAAAUCCCUUUAGAAUUUGCAAUUUAUCCAUUUGGUUAUGGUAAAAAAAAAAACUCGGAAUUUCAUUUAAACUCAAAAAUCUAGAAUUGGGAAAGCAAUUUUCCCUUGUUCGGCAACUUGUAGCGAUAGCAAAGGCAAAUUGUACAGGAAAAAAGUGGAAAUUGGGGAUGAAGAUCCAAUUUUAAUUUCGUCAAAAUAAGUGUAAUUUCACAAUUCCAACAACGUUGAGAACAAAUGCAUUGCGGGGAAAUCUUGCGACCACCAAACUUUACGAUUAGAGGGCCAAAUUUCAUGAUAAAACGUAAUAAGGGUUUAGGACUGCAUCGUUCACUUUGUUAACUCUCCAAUCUUCGACGGGAUUUUCAACUCGUGCAUCAUCUUUUGCUUUGUUCUAGGUCAAAGCCUACUCUUUUCUUUCUUGAAUUAUUUUAGCUUUGAGGGUAUACUCUUUAGGCCAAUUGUGAAUUUUGCUAGUUAUUUUUAUUUUCUGAUGGUCAUAUGUUUGUUUUGUUUUUUUUUUCUUCCAAUUGAGAUGUGUAUUGGUUGGAUCAGUAACUUUUUUUUUGGAUUUUUAUUUUUAUUUUUAUGGAUUUUGGUGUUAGUUCCUUGUUAUAGAUGUUGUGGAGCAAAAAAUAAUCUCAAAAAUCGUGGAGGUGACACACGGAUUUUUGGACAAGAAUGACAAAAUUAUCCUCGAAGCACAUCAGGAUUCCCACGUGCAUGCAACGGACAAUAACGGCUCAAUCAUGGAAGAGUCAAAGGUGAUCAAUAUGGUAUUUAUUCAAAUCCCUCUCAUCACUCCUCAUCAAUCCCUUUUUUAUUUUAUUCAAAAGGUAACUCCCAAAACUUCCUAUUUAAUUUAGGGAUCAUUGUCAUGUUAAUUGCAAGAUAUUAUUUCACAAAAUAUCUUGUAAUUAUUCUUCAAUUACCACCAUGUAUGGCCGGCCACUCCUCACAUUAUGGGCCGGUCACUCCUCACCCUAUGGGUCGGCCACUCCCUAUAAAUAGCCCUAUUAUUCCACUAAUAAGGAAGCCAUUUGCUACCCACAAACUCCUAAACACAUUCUUUCAGAAUUCUAACUUUGGCAUUGGAGAUUCUUAGGCCAAAUCCCCCCUCCCAUUCAUCAUGGGCGCAUAAGGCUUUUGGCCUUAGUCUUAGGUAUUAUUAUUUUGCAGGUGCAUUUUUGUCAAAGACGAAGAUGGUGAAAAUUUGCAUCCACAAAUUGGUGUUUUCAUUGAGAGUUUGAUUCAUAAGCUCGAAGAAGACUCACAUUCAAAGUUUCACAUUUCUCAUUCAUAAGUAAAUUUUUCAUACGUUCUUAUUCCUAAAAUUUUUUAAAUCUUUGAAUAGACGUAUGAGAGAAAUACAAUGGCUAGAAAUUUAGAAACCACGACGAACGAAACUUCCUACGUUCAAAGAUCCAGAUAAAAUGAUGGAAAUUGCGAUGUAGCCCCACCACGACGAUCCACGAAGCUCAACGUGGUGGCAAAAUGAGUAACUUGGCCACCACGGAGUACCACCACCACCAUAGCCAAGGCAACCCAUGUUGCAGUGGGGAGUGGGACAGCUUCAUGGCAGCAAAGCCACGAAGCAACAAUAAAUGCCAUCUUGCAGUAAUGAGCCCAGGCCCGUGUCACAAGGCAGUCAACCCAGCGCUAGGUAACCUAGAUCUAGUAGGCCCACGACGUUGCCAUAGCAGCUGAGGCCUAAAGCAAGGCCCAAACAGUUGCGGUUGCGGCAAAUGGAGCAGCACAACACUGGCGGGGCCAAUGCACCCUUGGCCUAAUGCUAAGCAGGCUAAAUCGCACCACACCCACUAUUCAAACUAACCCUAAGUUGAGUAAGUAGCAUUGAAGGUUGUCAACCGCAAGGCGUUGAAGUACGAAUAAAGUUACACACCCCGCACAUGACUUGGCCCACUUCCGCGGCCCAACUUGCUCGCAAGGUCCACCUAGUGAUCCCGACUAGUCGAAGGCCAGUUUAAUCAUCCCAUCUUCAGAUUUCUGGACUGACGAUUGAAUCGGGGGUAUUUUCACCCCGAUUUUCUACAGAUUUGACAUAUCUCAACUCAAAUCUCGCACUUGGAGUCCAUUGCACUUCCAUUACUCAAGGAGACGCAUACCAUUUAAGAUCUUCCAUCCCAAAUGGCGAACAACACUUGUCUCGACAAGUCAUAGAGUUGACAUGCGCUUUUGCGCAGUAGACGACCUUAGUGAAUCAGCUCUUGCAACGCACAUAGAUGCAGUGUGCCCCAGACGAUGUGUCCCGAAGUAAGACAAGUACAGAUGACGAUUCUCUCCAGCAGCGUCCCAACAAGCAGCCGCUCGACUAGCCACGAACCGAGCGUUCUGGCAGUGUACACUCCCGUCUAGGUCCUCAAGAAAGCGUAUACUCUCGUCUUAGCGCGCGAAUGAGCGUGCACUCAUGGUUAGGCCUAUGGACGAGCAUACAUUCACGGUUGGGACCAUACUCUUAUAAUUAACAUGGACAACCUGCUAGACGAAGUGUUCAUUCGCGGCUAGGCCCGCAAAAAGCAUUUUCCACCUCAUAUUGGAGUAAGCAGCACAGAAGACGAAGAUAAGCAGUCAAUUAAUCUGGCUCAAAUUCAAUCGGCCACCUGUAAGUAACCAGUUCGCCUGCCAAGAACGUAUCAUAUGCAAUGUAGCCACGACAUAGACUAGAUGAGCACAACGAUAAGCAACCUAGACUAACAGGUUACGACUGGGGGCAGCCAGAAGCUCUGCUGCCCCAAUAGAGGUAAAUUUAGAAAGAAGUUGAGAGGCUCAUGACCGAACAAUUGUGCGAUUUCCAACGCAACGAAGCUACUGACAAGGCGCUUAAACGAUACACGACCAACAUAAAUGGGUCACCUUUUAUUGACAAGAUUGAGCAGACAGAACCAUCCUACAUACACUGGCGGAUACAAAGAUUACAUCUAUUUUAACAUAUGCAUCAACUCAGCCUAAUGGCGUGUCGAGGGCAAAUGGGUACCAGAAUGGCACACCAGCCCAACCACCAAGAACCAGGGCCAAAUCUUAUUUUCAUCACUCCACACGAUUCAAUACUUGAGCAGCACAUCACCAGUAAUCGAGCACCGCAGACCUAAUGGUCCAAUUCCUCCUGAUGCACACAAGCUCACCCCAGCUCCACGCUCAAAGCCUUGCCUACCUGCUCCACAACACUCAGCCACCCUUGAUUUGUCACCAUGGCUCACAAUUAUGCCAAUUUUGCACCACAGCUCAUAGCCGUGCUAAUCUUGCCAUGCGGCUCUUAACUACGUUAACCAAGCCCACGAUACUUUAUACUUCAAAGCAUCCAACGACGGAGUAGAACACGAGGCUCUACUAGCAGCCCCUGCUAGUGAAAGACUUUGCGGUGAAGAGGCUUCCAAUCCAUUCAAAUUCUCAGUUGACCACCUGUUGGGUUUUACGACUCAAAAUUAGGAUGAUGCAAAAAAAAUUGUGUUACCUAUUUGGUUUUGGUGUCGUAUUUGGGUUUGGAUUUUGACCUCUUAGUUGGUUUCCGUGGUGGAGAGAUUUUGUUAAUUACCUAUUUGAUUAGGAUUUGGAUUUACUUCCUAUUAAGAUUCUUAUUGUAACCUAAGUCUUAUGCACUAUAAAUAGGACCUCAGGGUUAGUGUAUUUUGUGUGGCUCAUUCGUGUGGCAAUUUGGUGAGAGUCAAUUUGUGAGUUUGUGAGUUAGAGAGCAAUUUGGGAGAAUCUUCUCCGUUAGUUUUGGGUUCUCUACUCGUUUGGUUUAGGGUUUGUAAUUUGUGGGAUUUGGAUUGUGAGAGUCUGAACACUAUUUUGUAAUCUCCGUUUGUUUAGUGAAAUUUCUUGUCAUGCUUCGCUCGUGGACUUAGAUUUUACACCGAACCACAUAAAUCUCUUGUGUUAGUUUGAGAUUGUUUGUUUUAGUUUUCACCUACGACGUUGAUAUCGGUACUUUGUUAGAAUUCGCUUUCCUUUGCUCAUAAAAGUACAACAAGUGGUAUCAGAGCCCGGCUUUCGGCUUGGGCUUUGCUUGGCAAUCACUAUGAAGCCUUCUGUGUCGUCGGUGAAAGUUGAUAUUGAAAAGUUCGAUGGCAAUGACUUUGGUAUUUGGCAAUUGAAGAUGCGUACUUUGUUAAUUCAACAAGAGCUUUUAAAAACGCUAAAGGGUGUGAAGGCUUUCCUGAAUUCGUGGACUGAUGAAGAAAAAAAAAGAUGUUAUGGAGCGGGCACUUGGAACAAUCCUGCUAACUUUAUCGAAUGAAGUCUUGCGUCAAGUUGGUAGCAUCAAAUCUGCACCGAAGUUGUGGCUAAAAUUGGAGAGUUUGUAUAUGACCAAAUCCCUUGCUAAAUGGUUGUAUUUGAAGAAAAGUUUGCGUACUCUUCGUAUGGAUGAAGGUACGUCAAUUCAUAAGACCAAAUCCUUAUUGCUGCCAAAAGUCCUCAACAGUUCCAAGGGAGAUGGGUAAGAGUUCGUAAUAGUGAGAGAUUGAAUCUUUUCACACUCGGCCAAAUUUUAAUUUUAAUUAGAUGAAACAAUGAAUCUUGAACAAAGCAAAACAAAAUUUAAUACUGAGAGAUUGAAUCAUUGAAGUGGACGUGGAUGUUGGGUACUCAACAGUCCAAGAAUGAAAACUCUCAUAUAAGUUUUUAUCCAAAAUUUUGGAAUUAUGUGAGUAUUGCAACGAUUGUCCGAAUGAUUAUUCUUCUUUUAUUAAAUUUCCAUGGAAAAUGAGCAUGGGGCACAAAAGUUGAACGAAUGAAAUUUCAAUGAUCUGCAAAGGGAUUGUGAGUUUGACAUGCCAUUUUUCUUCCUUUUAUGCAGUCAUGUUUAUUAAAAGACAAAAAUAAAUAUGACUUUACAUAAGGAGAGAGAAAGAGUAUUUUUCCUUGAAAAAAUCAACUAUUUAUUGAAGAGGAUGUGGAUGUUGAUUGAUGCGCAUUGUGAAUAGGAAAAAAAUAACCUUGAAGGGAGACGAGACAUUCAUUAGAAGCUAAAAAAAAGUUAUAGUGAUUUAGAAAAAAAAAGUUUUAACGAAACAUUUCCGGUACUGUUUACUCUUUACGAAAAACCACAUUUUUACCUUUCCUAACUACUAUUCACUACAUCUUUAUUUAUCAUUUUUCAUUAAAACUAAAGUUUUUGUUUUAACUUUUCGUUAGUUUCCUUUAGAAAAAAGCAAGAAAGCCUCAUUUUCAAAGUGGUAGUCCUUGAAACAAUACUUGAUUAGAAGAAAAGUCAUAGUAUUGUAUUUACAAUCUCAAGUCUUGAGGGGUAACGAGAAUGCAAGUUUCUAAUUGGAAUAUGAUAUGAAAUUUCUACAUAACUAUAUAUGACAAAGAAAGAAGUCUAAGUUUCUAAGUGGAAGGGCUUCCAAUUGAUGUGAGUUUGUUGAGAAAUGAAGAUGAAGAUGAAUAUUGUUGUUGAUGUGAGUUAGUGAACAACAGAACAAGUUGCUUCUCCUUUGGCCUUCUAACAUGAUAUUACCGGAAAACAAGUUGUUACUAGUAAAUGUAACUGACUGGUGAACUAAGACAUGCGGUACGAUUUUUGAUAACUAGAGAAGAUGAACAGUGUCGUGACAAAAUUUAUCCAAGUAGACCCAAGGGAAAGACUUAGGAACUUCAUAUGCAGUGGGAUAAAAUCUUAAGCUAAUUUCCUUUUUAAUCUUAUAGUCAUUAUGUAAAAUGUAUAUGCAUAUUUCUAGAUACAUACACACCAAUGUACAUAAUAUUAACUCCUUUUAAGUAGUCAUUUGCAAAUCCCUCUCGAGUGCUCUUUGGAAUGCUCAUGUGGUGCCGUUCUAAUCUCUUAUAUAUAACUUUUUGUGAUCCAUUUUUUCAUCAAUAUGCCAAAAUCCCUUUAGAAUUUGCAACUUAUCUUUUUGGUUACGGUAAAAAAAAAACUCGGAAUUUCAUUUAAACUCGAAAAUCUAGGGAUGUGAAAGCAAUUUUCUCUUGUUCGGCAACAUGUAGCGAGAGCAAAGGCAAAUUGUACAGGAAAAAGUUAGAAAUUUGGGAUGAAGAUUCCCAAUUUUAAUUUCGUCUAAAUAAGUGUAAUUUCACAAUUCUAACUACGAUGAGAAUCACAAAUAUAUUGCAGGGAAAUCUUGCGACAACCAAACUUUACGAUUAGGGUGCCAAAUUUCGUGAUAAAACCUAAUAAGGGUUUAGGGCUACAUUGUUCACUCUGUUAACUCUCCAAAUCUUCGACGGGAUUUUCGGCUCGUGCAUCAUCUUCUUGCUUUGUUCUAGGUCAACGCCUCUACUCUCUUCUUUCUUGUAUUAUUUUAGCUUUUCAGGUAGACUCUUUAUGGCUGUUGUGAAUUUUGCUAGUUAUUUUUAUUUUCUGAUAGUCAUUUGUUUGUUGUGCGUUUUUCCUUCCAAUUGAAUUGUGUAUUGGUUGGAUUUGUAACAUUUAUUUUUUUUAUUUUAUUUUAUGGAUUUUGGUGUUAGUUCUUUGUCAUGGAUGUUGUCCUUUUGAAGGUUAACAAUAGCCAAGACUAAACAUGAUGAUUUUGGUGUUAAUUACUUUCUCAUGAUACUAAUGCCAUAUUGUUCUCUAUUUUGCACUCACAAGUAAAGAGAAAUAUCCUAGACCCUAACUGGAUAUGUUAUUGUCAUGGUCAUGCAUUGGUAUGGUAACAAUAUGUUUGGAUAAGGAAAAUAAACUUAGAAUUUGACAAAAGAUAAAAUUUAUAAAUUGAUACAAUCAAUUCCUUUGUUUAGAUUCAUAAACAUAGAAAUUUAAACUUUCCGCGUGAGAAAAAACUUGGAAUUUGGGACCUUCAAUUCUCAUGUUUAAAUUUUAUGUAAAUAGGUGUCAUUUCUAAAUUUCAGUAAGUGAGAAUUUAAAAAUAACAAACAUGUAUUCAAAUUUCAUUCAUCUUUUAGGUUAACCAAACAAGAAAUUUUAUAAAUUCUAGAAAAUAAAAUUUCGUUAUUUCAAUUUCUGUUAUUUUAAAAUUAGUAAUCUUAAAUUUUCUCAUCCAAACAAAAAGUUUCCUUGUCAUAGAACUUUCAAUUGGGAUCAAGGAAGACAAUCUUUUCACAACUGAUUAUUCUCACCAAAUUUUAUUAUUAUUUUAAAGCAGAUCAAUACCAAACUUCAAAAGCAAAGUAGGAAGGCUAAAAUUAAGGUGAAGAACCUACUUCCACUAAUUACCAUGGGAGGGAGAGAGAGAGAACCAAGCGAGAGAGAAGAGAGAGAAAACACCAAGUAGUAUUAUAAUAUAGGUGGGGUUAAAUCACCUUUCGUGAAGUUGUAGUAAGAGCAGCUCCAGCGGGAGCUCCAACUUGAUGUACCGGUGAGAUUUCCUACCCAAUAGCCCCAGCUCCUUGCUCCAGUCCAUGCGGGUGAUUGGGCUGAGGGGGGCCGAGUGAGAGGCCUGACUCGAAUCGGUGGCCUGAGAGCCUGAGACCAAAAAUUAUCUUUUUGGAUAAUGACACGUGGUGCAACGAGAACGAUUAAAAAUCUUAUCCGAAAUUACAAAUAGAAUUAUUUUGUAUUAUUUUAUAAAAUAAAAAAUACUAAUAUUUUAUUGCUUAUUGACAUGACUAUUCAAUUACGGGUGGAGAUGCAGAAGACAAUUAUUAUUCAUUAAAGGUAAUUAUUGUUCAUUGGAGGGGAUUGAAUAUGAAGUUGCACUAGAAGGCCUUUGUCACGGCAAUAGGCAAUUACUGUUCUAAGGACUUCUAUCCUAGAAGAGAGACAAAAACACCAAGUAGUAUUAUAAUAUAGGUGGGGUUAAAUCACCUUCCGUGAAGUUGCAGAUAGAGUAAGGACUUCUAUCCUAGAAGAGAGACAAAAACACCAAGUAGUAUUAUAAUAUAGGUGGGGUUAAAUCACCUUCCGUGAAGUUGCAGAUAGAGUAAGGACUUCUAUCCUAGAAGAGAGACAAAAACACCAAGUAGUAUUAUAAUAUAGGUGGGGUUAAAUCACCUUCCGCGAAGCUGCAUUAAGGACUUCUAUCCUAGAAGAGAGACAAGAACACCAAGUAGUAUUAUAAUAUAGGUGGGGUUAAAUCACCUUACGUGAAGUUGCAGUAAGGACUUCUAUCCUAGAAGAGAGACAAAAACACCAAGUAGGAUUAUAAUAUAGGUGGGGUUAAAUCACCUUACGUGAAGUUGCAGAUAGAGUAAGGACUUCUAUCCUAGAAGAGAGACAAAAACACCAAGUAGUAUUAUAAUAUAGGUGGGGUUAAAUCACCUUCCGUGAAGUUGCAGUAAGGACUUCUAUCCUAGAGAAAAGUCGGUCAAUGGUGUUUGACACAGUCAGUCAACGAUAAAGACAGAAUUGUGUAACCAUAAUUCUCUCUCUAUCUCUUUUUCAUUAACGGAGGACAGUGUAUAAUUACUACGUAUACAUCUCUGCUCAAUUAUUGAAAAGAAAAAUCCAUGUGCAUUAUUUUUAUUAUUAUUAUCUCAGAAAUGCAGAAAUUGAUCAUCUCUUCCUUCUGCAUAUUGAUACUGGUUUUCUUCAAACUAGUUGAAGCAAGCCAAUAUGUGUGCGCGAAAUCCAACUGUAGCAAUGAUCAACGCCCGGCUAUCCAUUUCCCAUUGAACAUCAGGCGCACACAUCAUUGUGGAAAUUCUGGGCUUGAAUGCAAUGGGAGAUAUGGGCAGCAAAUACUAAUAAAAUUAUUUGUCAAACACAUUGAUUACAAGCGUCAGGAAAUCCAAGUCUAUUCCCCAAGUAACUGCCUGCUGCUAAAGCAUGUUGAAAUCCCAAACAUGCCACCCUCUCCCUUCAACGUGUCAGUCGAUGACUACAUGAGUACCCUUACCUUAUUCAGUUGUCCUACUUCUGUUGCAAGACGAGAUACGUAUCAAGUCCCCUGCCUCGGCGACCCUGGCAAGAAAACUUAUGCCAUUCGUUCUUACUAUGAUUUUGGAACUCUCUUCCAGAAUCUACAAUCCUGUACAAAAAUGUAUGAUGUUUUAUCAGUUCCAAUAGCCUAUGAAUAUUAUGUUUUUCGUUUCAAAUGGUCUAUACCAAAUUGCAGAAAAUGUGGAGAGGGAAAGAAGUGUGGAUGGCAGAACAAUGAAAUUAAAUGUCUUCCCUGGAGGAAACCAAGUAAGGAUAACAUAUGUAUUCAUUGCUAGUUUUAAACAUCUUUACAUUUAUGUCUUAGUAAUUAUUAUUUGAAGGAUGUUGUCCAAUCCAUUUUUACUAGGAAUAUUACCUGACAGUCUCGUUUAAAUUCGCAAUGAUCUUCUACAGGCAACACAUGGAAAAAAGUGGUUACAGGUGGAAUCCUGUGUGCUUUGCUUCUUGUUCUACUGACGAUUGCAGCAUAUCGGGUAUAUAGCGCUGAUAGAAAGGAGAAAGAGAGUCGAUUAAGAAUUGAAAGAUUCUUGGAGGACUACAAAGCACUCAAACCAAGCAGGUAUUCGUACGCAGAUAUUAAGAGGAUUACAAAUCAAUUCAAGGACAAGUUGGGCCAAGGAGCCUAUGGAACUGUCUUCAAAGGAAUGCUCUCUUCUGAAUUUUUUAUUGCUGUCAAAGUCCUCAACAGUUCCAAGGGAGAUGGGGAAGAGUUCGUAAAUGAAGUGCGAACGAUGGGUCAUAUCCACCAUUUAAACGUGGCUCGCUUGGUUGGAUUUUGUGCUGAUGGAUUUGUACGAGCUCUUGUUUACGAGUUCUUCCCCAAUGGUUCCCUGCAGGAUUUCAUUUCAUCUGCAGAUAGUAAGAAUUCAUUUCUUGGUUGGGAUAAACUGCAAGAUAUUGCCCUAGGCAUAGCCAAAGGAAUUGAAUAUCUUCACCAGGGAUGCGAUCUACGAAUCCUGCAUUUCGACAUCAAACCCCAUAAUGUUUUGCUAGACCAAAACUUCACUCCAAAAAUUUCUGAUUUUGGUAUGGCCAAGUUAUGUUCCAAGGAUCAAAGCUUGGUGUCCAUGACUACAGCUAGGGGGACCAUGGGCUACAUUGCACCUGAAGUGUUCUCCAGGAAUUUCGGAAAUGUGUCUUACAAGGCAGAUGUCUAUAGCUUUGGAAUGCUGCUGCUUGAGAUGGUAGGAGGAAGGAAGAAUAUUGGUUCAAUCACGGAUAACACUACAAAUGAAAUUUACUAUCCACAGUGGAUUUAUAAUCUUCUAGAGGAAGGGGAUGACCUACGAAUCCACAUUGGGGAAGAAGGAGAUGGUAAAAUUCCAAAGAAACUUGCAAUUAUAGGGCUAUGGUGUAUCCAAUGGCACCCGUCGGAUCGUCCUUCCAUGAAAAUAGCGGUUCAGAUGUUAGAAGGAGGAGGAGAAAGCUUGAGUAUGCCGCCUAAUCCCUUUGUGCCUACUGGUUCUACAACUAGGAAUGCAAGACGCCUAGAGCUAGAAGCUAUUGCUGAAUUAGAGUAAAAUGUAUAUGCAGAUAUGUAGACGUAUAGAUAUAGUAAUAUUUAUAUUGAAUAAGAGGCCGUUUGAUAACCAUUUCGUUUUCAGCUUUUAAUUUUUAUUUUUCACUUUUUUGAAAACUAAAAACUAAAAUCUUGUUUGGUAAAUACUUUUAGUUUAAAAAAAUUAUGAAGACUGAGAACUAAAAUGUGAAAGCUCAAAGGAAGUAGAUUAAAAGUAGUUACCAAACAAACUGGAAUCUCAAUAAUAAAAAAAGAUUGAAUUGCACAAUGCAAUCCAAACCAAUCAAAACAUUAAAAUAGCAAAAAAAAAUUAAAAUUCUAGUUGAUUAGAUUCUAAACGUAGUAAAAAUGAACAGAUCCAAUGAAAAAACAAAAAAUUCUCAAAUAAAAAUAGGGAUAAAGUAAAAUAUUUAUAAAUAGCUCUUUGUCUCUUAUGUCAUCAAUUAUUUCUAUAGUAUAUACAGGUUUUUGGAAAAAUUAGGUUCUCAUCCCUUAUUUUCAUAUUACAUUGAUUGAAAUCUUAUUAUUUUUCUAUUUUAGAUCAAGGUCCCUUGACUUAUUCCAUGUCAUCAUUUUAGUAUUUAAAAUAUUACACGUCAUCAUAAACGAAAUCUCAUCCCUUUCUGCAUUUAAGGCAAAAUAAACUAUAUGAGUAAGUUUAAAACAAGGAAAAUCCAUUUGAACUCCUCCAUUCUUCUUCUUCCCUUAUGCACAUCUGGAAUCUACAACACCCCAAACCCAAUUUUCUCCAUUUUUUCUCCAUUCCUGAAUUGAUCCAAUGCAUAUAUGUUGAAUAAACCUAUUGUGAUUAAAAUACAAAUUAGCAUCAAUGGUUUUAUCGGCUUGUGAGAUUUGUGUGGCAUAGGCAAGGCAAUGCAGGCAUUGCUUUCUCAAGGAAUCUGGUUGAUUCAAACAUGCAGAGACUGUAGAGUGAGCGGGCUAUGUGAAAAUUGUACCAUUCUGAAGUCAUUUUCUUUUGUUCUUUAUAUUUUUUUUCUUUUUCUUUUAUUAUUAUAUAUUAGUCUUGGUUAUUCAAUGUCUGGUUGGCUACACUUAUAUCCAUGGGUACAUUUUUAAUCUACAUGUUUCGUUCUAAUAUAUCUAUUGCUAUAAUAUGUUUUGGUUGGUUCAAAUUUGUUUUACAUAAAUAUAUGGGUACAAAGUUUUUGGAGAAUAUUAUGUAAAAUGGUUUUUAAGGUUGCUGCAUUUUACGUUCCCACAUAUGCAUGUCUAUAAAACAAUGUGGUAUGAUGUACAUUCUUUUCUUUGAGUUUUUAAAUGUACCCAUGAGUUUUCUUGUAAAUUCGUAUGUACCCAUAUGCUAUUUAUGUUAUGGGUACAUACAUUAUUUUUGGUCUAAGUUCAGGAUACAUUGCUUUUGUAUGUAUGAAUUCAUGGGGUACAUUAUUUCCCUUAAUACUACUCAAUAAAAUUCACAAAAAUAUGUGUAGUGUGCAUGAUUUUUUAUUGUAGAAAUUGUUUGUUUUUUUUAAGUCUCAUAAUUCAUGAAAUUUGUACAUAUAUGAUCCCAUAAAUUUUUUAAUUUUAUUAAAUUUCUGUUAGACUUGAUCGAUUGAUUGAAUCUCAUAAUACUAGGAUUUUGAAUUACAUAAAUUCUUGGAUUUGAAUCCCUUAAAUGUUGGACUGCAAUCAAUAUUUUAAAUUACAGUUUUUUGUUUAAGAUAUCAAAAAGAUGACAUGGGAAUAUAGUAAUACUAAAAUGCUGAGGUGUACAAAGUCAAGGGACUUUGAUCAAAACAUAAAAAACAAUAAGAUUUCAAUCUAACAAUUGAAUUGACUAGGGACCGGAACCAAAAUGACCCUAGAUUUUUAUUGAGUUUAAUCUUAAUCAAAAAAAGACUUCUUGUAUCACAGAAAAUACAAGAACCAUUAUUUGAAUGAAAUAAAAGCUAUGGGAUGGAGAUAUAAAUGGAUCCUUUUAUUCACAAUCGGAUUAUAUUUAUUUGAUACACUGUUGUCAAUAUGAAUGUUGAGAAAAGACUACAAAAGAAAAAACAAUUUAUAAAUAUAACUAAAAAUUCCAAUUUCAAUCAAUUAGAUAAUUAGAAUUAUAAGAAGAAAAAAAACAGAAAUCUCAGUUUUCAGUUUAAAAAAAAAUGAAAACAAAAACUGAAAACUGAAAACAAAAUGGUUAUCAAAGCCGUCCAAAUAAUAGAAGUUUGUUUCCACUCUUUGUUUAAGCAUAGAUGCCAAUUUUUGUUUAUCAUUUUUUUAACCUCUAUUUUUUGUUACAGUAGAAGCCCUAGAAGGAAAUCGAGCACUGGACUUACCAAACUCUUAACUUAUUUCUACACACCAAGAGCUUGAUUUCGGUUCUUAUUUAUACUAUUUAAGCUAUAAGCCGUGAUAAGAAUUAGAGAACUAUCAUUUGUUGUGAGCUUCAAUUGGUUAGCACUUUGUAUGUUUUCAUUAGAAUUUAUAUUUCACUUAGACUUUCUUAUUAAAAAAGGGAUCAUUUGGUGACUUCACCAUGACAGUCCAAUUUUAUGGGGGCCAUGAGUACUCACAAAGGUAUUUCAGCCUCCCCCUAUAUCUACCGUCGCGUGAUUCACCAUUGCCGGGAAUCGAACUCAAGACGUGUUGUAUAGAAUACAAGCCUAAAAUUCGUUUCUAACCACUGAGUCACCCCGCGUUUGAUUAUAUUUCACUUAGACUUAUCUUGCGGUAUAGCAUGUCAUCCCCGCCCAAGUUUUUCUGUUCGCAUUGAGUUUGGGAUACCAAAACUUGCCAAACAAAGUAGAUUGAUUAGUAAGCGAAGCUAAUUAUUCGACUAAACAUUGUUUAGAAUUUUAAUUAAAAGAAACAAUAUGAAUCUGUUUUUUUUUUUUUUUUUUGACAAACUAUAACGUUAAGGAGUUAAAUUGUUAGUUGUUAAGAGUACAGGGAUAGGUGAGGAUCGAACCUCCACCAGAGUGCAUAGACAUUAUUGGUUCUACAACUGCGGUAAAUCACAUAAAACAAAACGUAAUACUUUGAGGAUGGAAGACACUUCGUGGAUAGCGGGCAAUCAACACUAUCAGUCGCUAUCCAAAACUUGGAAUUAUGUUUAUUGUCCGAAGGAUUUUUCUUCCAUUAAAUUGCUAAGGAAGAUGAGGAUGGGUGGAGUGUCUAAAUGUCAAGGUUGAUAAGAAAGUGUAUGGUGUUCAGCAUGCGAUUGAGAUUUGUUGAGUGGCACAACAAACCACAUAAAAUUUUCUAAAUGAUAAGCAAUGAUAAGCUUGAGUAUAAUUUUUUACCACGUAUUUAUCUUUAAAAUCAUUAUAAUUAGAUUUUCUCUUAAUUAAUAUAGACCGUUAGAUUGACCCAAGUUUUUUUCCUCUUUUCUUUCCCCUCGUUUUUUUCUUCUCUGAUUUUCCAUUCACCGUGUAGCAGUCGUUCUUCCCCAACUAAGUUUCUUAUUUUUCUUCACAAAAAAAUUGUAGAAAAUAUUAAGAAAAGAAAAGUCAUCAAUAUCAGACUCGAUCAGGUAAUCGUUCCAACCUUCCCAGCAACUCUCAGUCUUAACAAGGCACCAAAUUUUCUCCGCCACCUAACUCGUCAUUCAUUCAUGGGUGUUUCAAGCUUGGUGAAAAUUGAUAGAGUUCCAUGUGUGUACAGGGAUGUGAACAUAUUGGCCACUCUCUAAGAAUGAGUCAUUGGAAAAGUUGAAGGAAAGAUGUAACCGAUGAAAUUAAUGGAUUGGAAUUACAAUGAAGUCUGUGUUGGUUUAUCACAAAGAACCCAGAAACAAAAUUUUAAAAGCAAACAAUUACAACUUCUCAAAUAUUAUGUAACAAACUUUCAAUGAAAUGUUGCUCAUAAUUGAAAAAAGGUUGACGAAGGACGGAGUUGGGAUUAUUUUAGAUGGGGAAGAGUUAAAAGAAGGAAGCACCAUUUAAUUACUAAAAGUAAUUGGAGAAAUGGUAAUUCAAUGGUGGGCGUUUUUAAGGUGUGGACCUUGUGUCACACCCCGAUCCCAACAUACAUUGAGGAUCGACACCUGACAUGGGGACCUAGGGGACAUAAAUCUUACGUAAGAUACAGAAUGAAAUACUAUAAAUAAUAUCCCAAAAUGAAUAUGAUAGUGGGUUCACCCCCUAUAAAAUAUAUACAAGUUUGUACAUUCACAAAAAAAAAAAAAAAAAAAACACACACACACACACACAAAACUCUUGCUAGGCCAAGACUUGCCCAUGGUUCUCAAAGGAAAGUCCUAAAAGAAAUAGUACAAUGAAGGAUAAAGGGGUAACCUAAACACUCCAAGUCUCUGAUCUCUGCACUGCUACCCCCACCGGCUCCUCGUAAUCUACCUCAGACCUGUCACUUGUACAAACAGUGCCUACAUUGUGGGAAUGGUGCACCGGGCAAACAAAAACCCAGAUAAGCUGCAAAACUCGUGUGGUAGCCGGCCUGGGACAUGGGAGGGGGCCGAGUCUUUCAGAAACCCUUGGGUCAUUGAUCUUCAAGCUUACAUGGAUGGGAUUGUCUCGACGUUGCUUUAGGAAGUCUCGACAGUCGUGAAAGACGGCUUUCGAUCCUUCCACUCCUUCUGUAAGAAGGUGUCUUCCUCCACUCCUUCUGCUUCGGGUUGAAGCAGCUGGGUUGAGAGAAGUCUCAUGUUGGUCGCGAUUUCGAUGAGUAGCUCGCUCCUCAACAGGAAUACCCAUGUCGAGGGAAAAUGAGCCUCUGUGUUGGAGGCACCCAGUUGAUGGUUGACUUCCACAGGGGUGAUGAGCUCGUGUGUUUUAGUAUAUCUAGCCUCGUGGAGCAUCUCGAAGACCUUUUCAUACUGCUCUUGGAGGAUCUCAUUCUUCAUCGCUAUCUUGUUGUUCUGAGCCUCCAGCUCAUCGACUUUAGCCUGAAGAGCAAACUUCUUUUGUUCCUUCUUUCGUUGUUUCGCACCAGGUGUAAGAGGGGUGUCAUUCUGUGUGCCGUGGCUUCCUUCGCUCCCCAUGUUAGAGAGGGAUGCCUGGUCAAAAGAGAGAGUACGAAUGGUGGAAACCAGCUUGGCAAAGCUAAAGAGAGUGGGAAUAAGUGUCGUUCCCACAGACGGCGCCAAAUGUUGAUGCACAAAAUCAGUGAGGACUUUGGUACAACAGAAAGUGUUAAGUUUGUGUCCUUCGCUAGAUUGGUCCGGUCAUUAGUGUGGAUAAGUAUGUAAAUGGAUAGGGACAGGGAAGCAAACACAAGAUGUAUGUGGUUCACCCAGAUUGGCUAUGUCCAUGGAGUGGAAGAGUUCUCAUUAAUUGUGAAGGGUUUACACAAGUACAUAGGUUCAAGCUCUCCUUUAGUGAGUACAAGUGAAUGAUUUAGUACAAAUGACAUUAGGAAAUAUUGUGGGAGAAUGAUCUCCUUUUAUAGAAUAGUUUCUAGCUUUGUUCUGACAUUGACACGUGUCAUGCUGUGAUUGGCUUUUGAUGUUGACAUGUGUCGCAUUGUGAUUGGCCUCCUGGUUUGAGGGAAACUCUUCUGGGUCCUUGACAGUAUAACGUUGACAGGUGCUCAGUAGUUUCGGGAUUGGUCAAGUAUGGUACAAACAAAGUCACUGAAAACUUCGAAGGAGUCACCCAGACAUCCAACGACUUUUCUAAAUCAAAUCUCAGAGAUUCCCAAAACUAUCGUUCACAAAUACACUAAAAACUAAGGCUAGAGUGACACAGUUUGGCCAAAGCCUACAUAAGUAACCAAAUAAGAAGUGGCCCCCCCAUAGCGGAUUAAUCAAGUAGAGCCACUCCUGAGAAAGUAACCAAGUAGGUAGUGACCCCAUCACGAAUUAACCAAGCAGAGUCACUCCUACGAAACUGUUAGGUAGUGAUCACCCAUCGCGGAUUAACUAAGCAUGAUCACCCCUAAGUACGUAUGGCCAUACCUAAGAAAUAAGGAUCGCCCAUCGCGGAUUAACUAAGCAUGAUCACCCCUAAGUACGUAUGGCCAUACCUAAGAAAUAAGGAUCGCCCAUCGCGGAUUAACCAAGCACAAUCCAAAAAUAUUAUGGGUCCCCUAUCGCGGAUUAACCAAGCAGGACCAUCCAUGUACCACUGCUACAUGGUGCAGAUUCGGUGUCACCUAACCCCGUGACACUAGGGUAACGGUCCUCUACUAGCCCUCACGUUUUUCAAACAUUUCAAAUAUAUAAUUUAAAACACAAUUCAUAAACAUUUCGAAUAGGGAAGUCACAUAGUGUUUAAUAAUGUAGGUCAAUGGAAAACUUUAAAAACAAUUAUUUAGCAUAAAACAUAUUUUAGAAAUCCAUGCUGUAUCCACAAAGUAUACUAGCACGGGAGAUUUUCAGGGUAAUAACUCUAUCACAUAUAUUAAAGUCACUCACCUGGAGUCCGCACUAACGCACCCUAGCACGAAUAUCAAGAUGUCACGUACUAUCAUUUGUAACAUCCCACAUCAACCAACAGAGAGGGGGUGAUGUGUCUUAUAUGUACAUGCCCACCUCUAUAGCACGAGGCUUUUUGGGAGCUCAUUGGCUUCAUAUUCCAUCGGAACUCCAAAGUUAAGCGAGUUUGGGCGAUAGUAGUCCAAGGAUGGGUGACCCACUGGAAAGUUCUCGUGUGAGUUCCUAGAAACAAAACCGUGAAGGCGUGGCCAGGGGGGCCAAAGUGGACAAUAUUGUGUUACGACGGAAUUAAGACUGAGAUGUGACAGAAUGGUAUCAGAGCCGCUCUGCCGCGUGGUGCAAGUGUGCCGAAGAGGACAUCGAGCCCCUAAGGGGGGUGGAUUGUAACAUCCCACAUCGACCAACGAAGAGGGGGUGAUGUGCCUUAUAUGUACAUGCCCACCUUCAUUUAGCACGAGGUCUUUUGGGAGCUCACUGGUUCCGGGUUCCAUCGGAACUCCGAAGUUAAGCGAGUUCGAGCGAGAGCAUUCCCAUGAUGGGUGACCCACUGGGAAGUUCUUGUGUGAGUUCCCAGAAACAAAACUGUGAGAGCAUGGCCGGGGCCCAAAGCGGACAAUAUCGUGUUAUGGCGGAGCCGAGAUUGGGAUGUGACAUCGUCACCUAAGACAAAGUACAAGUCCACAUUUAGAGUUCUUCGAGUAUUCACAUAAUCAAAAAUUUACAUACGCACCCUACAACUAAUGAAGAGAAAUCGAGACACGUUGACAAAAAGUCAACCGUCGAUCAACGGUAGGGUCCACAACCCUACGUAACUUAAUCCGUAAGAUCCAGCCACUGUAUUUGUGAUUCAUAAGUUCCUAAGGUCCUCAAAUCUUACGUACAAUAACAUACUAAACUUUAGUGACGAUCUAAUGGUCGAAUCAUCAUUUACUAUAAUGUUCAAAUGACGCAAAUUCGUCAAUCGGAUGUCAAAUAUGGAAUCGGUCAUCGAAUUUAGCCUAGGAAGAUCAAGUGGUGUCUCAAGCCACGCACCACCAUGCGCAGCAGUUGGCAACCCAGAUUCGUCGAAAAAAUCACCUGAUUCCAAAAUGAAUGUCGUGAGACGUGGAGUAAAUUGUAUACCUGUGAGAAGCCCAAUUUGGCCAGGAAGUGGCCUGAAAUCACUUUAGACCGUCGGAAACCCUAAAAUAGGUGAAUCUCGAUUAGUCAUCUCUGGUAUUCCACCGUCCUCAAACUUGUUUAGGGUUCUCAAAAAAAUGCUAAUGAUGAUGGUGAUUGAAGGAGAACGUUUCAGAAAUAGUGAAUCGCCGGCGAGGGUUUCACGGAAUCGACAUGGGUGUUCCUCGUGGAACCAAGACCAAAUCUCAACGGUUUUGGCUAGAAAUGGAUGCUGGGAUGUCGUGGUGAGGUUUGGUAUUGAUGGGAGGUCGAAGAAAGUCAAAAAAAUCGACGAAAAAACUGUCGUCGGAGUCACAGGAAACGUGUUAGAAAAAUGAGUCGCCGAGUUUGAAACGGGUCGAAGGCUUUUGGGACAGCUACUUAAUCUCUCUUCUCUGAUUAGUCACUCCACUCACUCUCUCAUUUGAUUGGUCCAGCCUUCCCACAUGGUGGGAGUUCCCUCAUAUAGUAACCCAAAAUUUACUAUUUAAAUUUGGUAUCAAACGUCCGUAACUUUUUUGUUAUAGUUCCGAUUCACAAACGGCUUUCGCCUACGCGCUCGUAUGAUCGAAUUAUACUUGAAAACAUUAAUUGUGACCUUAAAAAGGUCUACAAGUUUUAAAAGAUUAAUUACAAAAAUUCACACCUUGUAACUAUACGAUUCAAAUUCUAAAAUUAACGGAAUUAAAAUAAACUAAAAAUAAUGUAAACACGAAAUACAGACUUUAAUAAUGAAAUACGUAAUUAAUAGUGGAAUUCUGGGGAUGGGAUUUCACACCUUGCGUCCGGACCUUGAGUGCGGAUCAGAAUCCAAAGGUCGUGAUCUGACGAGCUCAUGUAUAGAACAGAGUUGUUGUGACCCAAUGCAAUUCAAAACUUUUAUGUUUUUUUAUUUACUGGGUACGUUUUUGUAGGAGGAAAAGGGGAAGUCGAGGGAUUCUUUGCGCAAUAAAGAGGGAAAGAGAGAAAAGGGGAGCUAAGAGGUUCUUCGCGCGUUAAAUUUUUGCUUCUGAUUUUGCAACCUAGAAAUAAAGUAUUUUCUUUAUGGUUUAUGGUUCAAGAAUAUAAUGGAUGCAACCUAAAAAUGUUUAUUUUUUUAUUUUUUACUUUUUUUCUUCUUAUGUUGGCUUUUGGUUUAUUCUUAUAAUGCACUAUAUAUUAACUAAAUUUAUAAACAUUUUGUAUCUUUGUUGCAGUCAAAUUAAUCAUAUGGGUUGGCAUGACGAAGUUCGACUGAGACAUACAGAUGUUUUGCAAUCUUAAGUCUAACCUGACACACCCCGACCUCAAUAUCCAGUGGACACCAAAAUUGAGGUGUGAUGGCCAUCAUCCGGAUGGGUGACGAAACCAUUAUAUGCAUGAAAACAUAAUUACCCAAACACGUCUUAUUAAAAUAUUGAGUAAAUACCAUACAAGAUAGAAUACGUCAGAGCUGUUGCAAAAUACCUCAACGUCCGAUGUAAUCACUGAUAGAAUUACUGAAUCAUGUAUAAAUGGAAAGCUGAUAAAUACAUGUAAUUUGAGUGGAUACUUACCAGCAGCAUGGAUACAAUAUCAUCCACCAGUCGUAACUAGUGAAAGUUGGAUAAUAUAAUCAUGUCAUUGCCGAGUAAUCUCAAGGCAAUGACAAGAUGAGAAUGUAACUGAGUAAUCAUAUCAUUACUAAAUAAUCUCAAAGUAAUGACAAGCUAAGAGUAUAACCGUAUAAUCAUGUCAUUACCUCGUAAUCUCAAAAUAAUGAUAAGCUGAGAGUAUAACUGUAGUACCUCUUAUUAGUGCAAUGCAUGAUAUGAAUUCCAUCUCACAUAUAUAUGCAAGCCAUAAUCAAACCAAUAAACAUCCAACAAAAGCCACAAUCCUUUUAACAUUCGACCACAAGAUCAAUUUUCAUAUUUCCCAAACCUAGGUUCCAAAGCAUUGUUUCGAAUUAUUAAUACAAGAAACCACCACCACCUCAAUCAACUCCUAUUCACAAGUGUAAGCAAUUACUAAAUGCAUCACUUUCGACUCUAGUCUUAAUUAGAUUACUUGGGAUACUCACACCAUCAGAUCCAAGUACUAUUUUGAUAAACUUUAAAUAGCAUGGUUAAAAUAAAUGAAACACUUUUAGAAAAUAAGUGAAGAUGUUGUUUACAAAUAUAGAUGCAUCUGUAUAUAAAAGCUUUGGCGGUUGAUCCGUAUACACACUUCCAGAGAUAUAAGCAAGUUCAUUGGAAUAUACAUACAUAGUUAAUGUAUUACAAUAUAAUUAAUAAGAAAACAAUUGCAUCCCUUUCAGAUUAUAUAUAUAUAUAUAUAUAUAUAUAUAUAUAUAGACACACACAUACAUACACACAGGCCCUUUAUGCAAAGGAAUUUCCAUUUUUUUUCAAAAAUGGGGAUUAGUUGUGGGGCCCACGCUGCAUUGAACUUUAACGAUCCGAACAGUCUAUUUUGUAAGUCUCGAUUCAUAGAUCAUCCUUGUAAAAAUUCAAUUCAAUCCGAACCCAUUUGCCUAUUUAAUUAUCAAGAUAAAAUUUUAUUGUUUCUUAUAUAACAAAGUAUUCGUUAAUUUCUUUGAACUCAAUUAGAUAUCUUAAACAUUUCCGAUUUGGUUAAUAUUGUGUAAGGAUGAUCUAUGUGGUGCAACUUGAAAAAUAGACGAUUACGAUCGUUAAAGUUCGAUGUGGUGAGAACCCUACAAUUAAUCUUCAUUUUUAUAAAAGAAUGGGAACCCCUUCCCUUAAAGGUUUCCUAUGUAUAUAUUUGUUCUCCAGACAUAUGCAAAAGGUAAUGUAAAACCAAUGAGAACUUAAAUAGAUAUUCCAUACAUAGGACAAUUCCAUAUAUGCUUUUUCAACAUUUAUAUCGAAAAGCCAAAUUGUUUUGAGGAAAUUAAUUGUAGCAAUGAUCCCUUAACUUUUAUCUUAUUGGAGCAAUGGUCUCUCAACUAAAAAUUCAUAACCAUUGGUUCCUUAACUCCACACAACGUGUAGUUAUGGUCAUUUUCAUUAACUCCGUCAGAACUUUUGUUAAAACAAGUAAUGUUAGAAGAAUCAUUGCUACAAUUAAGUUAAAGUUGGGGACCAUUGCUCUAAUUAAAUUAAAAUUGAGGGAUCAUUUCUCCAAAUUGCUUAAAGUUCAAGGACCAUUUCUACAAUUUUCUCAUCUAGUUUCCCAUAUUUACCCCAUGAUUCAGCUUCACAUGCAUUGCACAUGACUCAUUUUGAAAUUUUUUUUAACGAAAUUGAUGAAAAUGACCAUAAAUGCACGUUUUGAAGAGUUAAGAGACCAAUGGUCGUGGAUUUUAGUUGAGGGAUCAUUGCUCCAAUUUAGUUAAAGUUAAGGGACCCUUGCUACAAUUUUCUCAAAUGUUUUGUAUGCGAAAAUAGGCAUUUGUAAAGUUUGGCUUGUUCAUGGCAUUAUUACUUUAGUCUAAAGUAAGGCUGGAAAUGGCACUGUAGAAAUGAAUAGUGUUCCAAUCCGAAUUUCAGUUUAAUUACAACAAUGCCAUUGCUCUUUGUGUUGCCUUUAGGUGAGCAGCCCGGCUUGCAGCCAGGCCCAAAUGUAUUGGUUUUAGCUGAGAAGCCCGGCCCUUAGUCAAGCCCAAAAUUUUAAAUUACAGUUUUGCCCAUACAAAAUAACAAUCCGAUUGUAUCGAGAAGGACAAUUUUGUCCUUUCAGUUUUGGGUGAGAUAGGGGGUAACAGGGUAAGUUUCAUUUGCUGUCGUUGAAUGAGGGUUUCGAGGAUGAGGGCUCUGUGUGUGUGGGUGUGUGAGAGAGAGAGAGAGAUAGAGAGAGAUAGAGAGGGAUAUGGCGAUGGAAGGAGAGCGAGGGGGAAGGGAAGGGUUCUCGGCACUGUUGCUGCAUGUGAAUUUCACAAGUGGGAGAGUGGGUAUGGUCAGAGAAGACCAUAUAGGUCGUUGGGAUUUCAGGGAAACGGGGUAGGGGUCAUGAAUGAACCCUGCUGAGAGUGGGUACUGGAUCUUGCGCUGCAUGCCUCAAAUCAAAGAUAAGUUCGUUUUUUUUAUUGUAUUUUUUAUGGUAGCUUAGCUUUUGGAAUUGUUUAGUAUGUUAGGUCCGAUUUUGGGGGAUUUAUCUUUUUAGAGAGAGAGAUGGACAGGGAGAUAGAGAUAGAGAGAGAGAGAGAGAGAGAGAGAGAGAGAGAGAUGAGGAAGCAUGACUGUGUGCAAUUUUUUAUGUUAAUUAAUGGGUUGGUGCGCAGGGUGAGUGACAGAGUGACAGAGUGAAGGAGGGACGUGUGGGAGGGUAUGAGUUUUCAGUUCUUUCUUUUGAUUCAACAGGUUAUACACUGUUUGAAAAACCUUUUUUUUAUUAUUUUGUUCUCGUUUGCUUUGUUAAAACCAUCAUUUGAAUUUUUGGGUUUCAUUGUGCUUAUUUCUCUGCUUCUUCAUAAUUUGCUGGUGUUUGCUUCUCAUCCCUCUGUUGGUAGAUCUUUUUCUCAUUUCUUGGUUCCUUAUGUAUUCUUUGGUACAAAUCUGUUUACUUUUUGGCUGUGUGAUAAUCUUAGCAGGUGAACUAUAUGAACGUUUUUUUGAAACGAGUUAAGAAGAUCCAGCUGAAAAGAGCAUACAAGAUAGAGAACUGGUAUGCUGCUCGCCAGGGAAAGGCUGCUGGAAAGGUUGAGACGGAUGCCUCUUUCAGAAACCAGGUCAGUUUCCUGCUGCUCGGCGUCUUAAUGUAUCCAAAUUGUUUAUCUUUUGAUGAAAUUAGCUGGCUAUAUUUUCUAUUUUAUUUAUCUGCAUAUUAUUUUGGUUUGUUGAAAUUUUGACUAUAGUCAUUGUCACAUGGGCGCCUAGCCCAACCCAAAUUAGUUGAGGAUAUUUAAAUCUUCACCAUGGUAUUAUAGUACUCACUCACAGUUGUGAAUACUAAGGUGCAUGCAUGGCAUGAAGAAGUGGACCGUGCACGCCAAGGUCAGAGGGAUGCAGAAGGCAAGCUUUUUUCUUUGGAGGUAAGUAUCCUUUGUUUAUUGCCCAACAGUGUUGUUAUUAUCAAUUUGUAGCUUUGCGUUCUGAAUUUUUUGCUUUGUCAAACAACCUUCUUGAAAUGCUCGAUUUCAAGCCGAAGUCCAAAAAAUGAAAGUUGAGAUGGCUUCCAUGAAGAGGGAUGUAGAGCAUUACUCGCGCUAGGUGAAAUCUGCUUCCUCUCUUUUCGUAUAUCUUCAUAUGAAGAGUUUUACUAAGUUAUAUUGAGAACUAUGUUAUUUAUAGGUUAUAUUUUCCAUUUUGCAGGAACACAUGGAGCUAAGGAAGAGCUAUCGUGAACUCACUGAUCUACUGGUAAUGUCACUCAAACUGCUUUAUUUGUGCAUGCUGCUACUAUGCGCUUGAAUGCAUUUUAUUACUGGCGGGAUGCGAAGAAAGCUAGAUAUAUGUGCUGGAUCGCUUGAUUAAUGUUAGGGUUUUAACAACUAAUUGUUAGCAGCUAGAAGCCCUGGUUAGAUUAAUGCUAAUUUGAUUUUCCUUACAGUACUUGAGUGCCAGUUUCAUAUUGUUUGUUCCCUGUUGGAUACCUGCUGUACAGUUUCAUUUCUGUUUCUUCAUAACUUUCUUGGCCCUGGGAUAUAUGCAUAUUGAGUACAAUGAAUAUCCAUUGUUCUCUAACUGUUGGGCUUUACUAUCUUUGUAGCAGCCUGCCUAACAUUUUUUAGGCUCUACACUCUACCAUCCAAUUUAUGAAAAAUUCAAAGAUUGGACGAUAUUGAUUGCAGAAAUGAAAAAAAUACUAUGAUAUUAGAAAGGUGAAUGUAAUUGUGUUAGAAUAAGCGUCUAGCAUGAUGGGUAAUAUUUUAAGUUUGUAUUUCUAAAAUUUUUUCGUUCUGGAGUAUGAUUUACCUCAAUUGUUUUGUACUUUAAUCUUUACUAAUUUUCAUUGUGGAGUAUGAUUUGCCUCAACUAACAACUUUUCAUUGUUUAACUUUUUCCUCCCUUAGAUAGUUGCAUAUGUUUGAUUUGUUAAUCUGCUUCUUACACAUGUUGUUUCCUAAUGGUGUAGGUGGGUUGUCGGAUGCAUGUGCAGAUUACUUGAAUAGACGAAGCUAAGAAUGACUUAGUAUUAAGUGAGACAGAAGCUUGGGUCAGUUGGAUUUUGACAUUUGAUUUAUUCAUGUUUUUUGUUGCUUGCAAUGUUCUCGCAUUGUUUGUUCUGAGAUUCUGUGAUCUUAUUUUUCAUAGGAACUGACAUUGGUUUGCCAUAUAAUGUUUCAGGAACUAAUACAACAACUAAUCACCUUGCUUAGCUCUCAAGACACAUACUUAACAGGUUAACAAACACUAACCUAUAAACUGAUCUGCUAAGCUGGACCAUUAACCUCUGUUUAUAUCCCUGCCACUCAUCUUUUGGCACUUAUCAAUAGCAAAAUCUAGAGUUGUUGAAACCCCAAUUUUAAUGAAUAUUAUUUUUAGUUGAUAAUUAAAAUUAAUUGAUGAUUAAUCUAUUCCAUUGUGCAUUAUUUUAUCGCCAAAUACUUUGAAUAUUCAUUAGCAAAAGAUAUAGGGUUCACUAUUUAAUGAAUAGAAUUUUGAUGGUGGAUUGCAUUUCCUGAGUUAUAAAUGUGGUGAAUCCAUUAUUUACUAGCUGAAUAAUCAUAAUGUUUUGGCCACUUACCUUGAAUUUUGUUCAAAUUGAAGAAGUCACAUGUUUCUUUCUGUUGUUGAGGUAAUCUCUCUGUUGAAAGCUUCUAUUUCUUUUUUUUUUUUCUUUUUUUCAUUUGGGUAGAUUUUUUUUUUUAUGGAUUUAUGUAUUUUUUUUCCAGAGAAUUCGAAAUGAAAUAAGAAUAGCGGAUUGAGCAUAAACAAAUUGAUGAAAUUUUUAUUUGAGUGUUUGUGUUAGUCCUUUUUUGAUUUGUUGAGGUUUGGAAUUAUUUGAGUUUUUUUGCUGUUAGUACUAUGAAGGAUGCUUGGCAAUCGCGAAAUGGGGGCUACCUCUUUGGAAAGAGAAGUCUCGCUAUCCAACCUCUCAUGAAUUACAAACAGGGUGAUUUCUUGCUGAAAAACCACUGAACCAGUAGAACUUUCCUCGGUUCUUCAAUUCGAUUCGAAUAAUUUUUUUACCCAGAAAAGCCAGCGUUUCCUGGUGGGUUUUACAGCUUUCUCAAUGUUUUUGUGAUUUUGGAUUUGCAAAUUUGUUUUCUGUUCAAAUUUCCUUUUGUGAUUUUGGAGGUUUUGUUUAUCGAUUCUCUCACUCAUCUCUCAGCUCUCUCUCACUUUUGAGGUACAUGCCGUUGGAUUCCGUUUGCUGCUGCUGAUCUGUAGGUAAAGCUUCAAUUACCAUAUAAAGUUUACAUUUUUCAUGAUUUCUUGAAUUUGGGUUUUAAACAAAGGAAAUAUUGCUAGAUUCUUAUCUUAUGUGCAAAUUACUGGCUAUUUGGAUUGGUGCCUGAGAUUUAGAGAAUGCCUCGCAGCUUUAAUUUCUUUUUCCUUCAUUAUUACUGUUUUCAAAAUUUUUAUUGCUGGGUAUUGAUAAUUUGUAGUAUGUGAGGGCUUCAAUAUGUUGGAAUUUUGAAUGGUUAUUGCUUCAUCGGAAUUUGGGUGGUCCAAAUUUUGAAUUAGAAGAAACCCAUUUGAUUAAUAUUUUUGGUGGAUUGGUUCUCUGUGUUUUCCUUGCUAUUUCUCCCCCAGUUGGAAAUUGGAAGCCCCAACUUUGAGCUCAGAGCUUGAAUUUCUCAAUCGUUCGUUUCUCUGCACUCUCAUCAAUCACUCUUGAUCCUCUAUCUAAAGAACUGGGUAAUUUUCCAGCUCUAUCAAGUAAUACUCCAUUUAAUUGCUUAAUUGAGGUUUUUUGUUUCUCUUUUUCGCUCUUUCAUCAGUUCAUUGACUUUGAUGUUGAGCUUAAGUAAAUGGGAGAUCAUUAAUUGGCAUUGUUCAAGAUAUAAUUCUGUGUUUUUGGAUUUGUGAAACGAUUUGCCUAAUGAUGAUAGUGGUUAAAAUAAAUUUUUCGUUAUGAAGAGAACAUUGUUCUUCAUUUGCCUACGGUUUUAACUACAAAGUUAAACUACUAUGCUUUUGUUCAAUUGACUGCAACUCAUGCCGCAGUUUGCUUCACAAACCUCUACGGUUAGCUUCCAUACAGUAUGUUGCAAGUUUGAGGAUAUCUUUACAUCUUAAUUUUUGCUCUCUCUGGUUGCUUCAAGUUUGUAAUUUUACGUGUUACAUUGCUACUUGAUUUGAUUAUAAAAAUGCAAAACAAAAUCCGUUUUGCUUUUAUUCAACUUAAAUGUAUCCUUUUGUUUGUUCAUAAUUGUGUUGAAUUUAUUCAACUUAAAUGUGUUUUAUUCAUCUAUUUACGCUUAAAACAACUGGUUCCCCUAGCAAUGCGCGGGCCUAAUUUCUAGUACAUAUACUAAAAGCCAGCAGAAAAUUACUGUUCAUCAUGGGAGAUAGAGCACUGUUCAUUAACAGUGAAAGGGCGAAAAUGCCCUCGGUUUCUUCUUUACUUCACGUACUGUUUACGAAUUGCUACAGUAUAAAGUCCGUUUUGUCCUUCCUGUCCACACAUCUUUCAUCGUCCGUUUCUCUUGCUUCGACCGUAUCUUUUUUGCUUUACCUUUCCUCUUCAUUUUUCGCAUUCGUUAGGCUGCGAUUUUCGGAGGUGGAUUGUUUGCCCUCCCAUUUCCAUGCUCUCCCCAUGCCUAUGUGGUCACAGUUAAACCACGUCAAUAUUUUAUAUUAAUUUUUUAUAAAAAUAAUAAAACAAAAAGUAAUAAGAAUAUAAAAUAUUGACGUGGCUUAACGUGGUCCGUGAUCACAGUAGGCAUGGAAAUGGUCCGCGACUUUCUCCCUUUUCGCCAGCCCCUCUUUUGCUCUCAAAUCCUUGCUCUUUCUUUUGCAAAAUAGUCUCAGAAGAGAUCCUGGGUUUAUCGAAUCCUUUGUUGUUCGGCGUUUUGUUCUCAUCUUGUGAUCGUCGGGUCAGCAGCUUUAAGGUAAGUUUGUUUUUAAUGAUUUAUCCUCAUUUUACGAUGUCUGGGCUAACAAAUUUAAGAUCUUUAUUUUUCUUUUUGCUGCGGAUCUGCAGGUUUUGACAAGUUUUUUGUGAAAUUGGUGCUGUCAGUGGGUGUUAACAUCAGGUACCCAUGUUCAGUUUUUCGUUUUGAUUUGAAGGAAUUUCUUGCGCAGAAGUGCUAGGGUUUCUUGGUGAGUUCUUCGGGUUGUGCAUAUGGGUAAUUUUCUUUUCGGUUUAACCCGCUGCUUCUGCUGCUCUCUCUCUUUCUCUCAUCCCUGCCUGCUCCUCUCCAAUUGUUUGCUGUUCUUAAAUAUUGUGUUCAUUGCCUGAUACAAGGAGCUGCAGCAAUCUGUUUUAUCCUACACGGGACAACGAGGCAAUGGCGUGACAACAGGUGAGCUUGGAUAUCCAAAGAAAGAGAACAGUUGGUUCAUCUGCUGGAGUCUGAAGCUCAGAGAAGUGGAGGAAAAUUGCAGGUGUGCGAGAAAUUUUAUUUUGCUGAUAGGACUCCUUAUUUACGGAUGCAUUUUGAAAUAAUUGAAAAGUUGGAUUUGAGUUAACAGCUAUAAAAAUGUAGACAUGAUUGCUGAGAUUAUGCUAUGAAAGUGGAAUAAAAAAAUGGUAGUUUAUAAUAUUGCGUACCAAUUUUUUUCUCUCUUUUUUACCAAAUGAUAAGGGUGGUGGCUCAGGCCGCCCCCCCUACGCGUCCCCACUCUUCGACAAGUUGAAAUCAUGGUGAUAGUUUAUGGGCUGUGGUCUUGGGAUUCUGCAAAUAGAUUAAAAAACAGACACUUAACUAUCUUGUUAUUAAACAUUUCUGCAUCAUUCAGUUGCUCUUGAUUUUCGUCUUUUAAGCGAUCUUAUUUCUGCGAUCUGACUUGAGGAGGGUUUUUAGACCUAUGGUUGUGGGUGUUUUGUCUGACCCCAUUAAAUUGGUUUCCGAGAUUUGUAGACUUGCGAUCGGCAGUCAAACAUUUUGUGAUUCUUGCUUUUUUUCCGACUGGGAUUGACGAAUUUUGGCCGAAUCUGUUUCCUGUUUUCUUCUCUGUUUGAGCGGCCGCUGCCUUUCGGUCGUUGAGCGCCGGCAGUCUUUAGAUCUUUGGCAAAUCAAUUUAAUACAACCGAGGUAUGUUUUAUAACUGCUGUCUUUCAAUUUUUGUUCUGUAUUUUUGUUAAUUUGGAUGAAGCUCUAAUAAUUUUGUUUUGGAUCAGUUGUGGUCCUCUGUUAGGAUUUUCCUGGCUAAGAGGGUAUUUGCGUUUUUGUUGCUUGGUUGGUCGAUCACAGAUUUACGAACAGCUGUGGUGGUCCUGUUAUUUUUUUGGUAUGUUUUUUCUCCUUUUUGGUUUUUUCCCGGUUUGAGCACCCAUUCAUGAAGAAUUAAAAUGUGUUUAUAGUUUUUCAGGAGAGAUUAGAAAAGUGAUUUCAAUUUGGGAAAAUUUAAUGUUGGUUAAAAUUUGUCUAUAAUUUUUGGGAAGGAAUGAGAGGACCCAUUGAAGUAUGUGUUGUGAUUAUUUUUUAUUCAUAUUUUUAACAAAUUGGGCAUGAAUUGGUAGGUUAACUGUGUGUGUUUAUUAUUUGAAUCGGCCAUGUUUGUCUUUCUAUGGUUCUAAAAAAUUUGUAAAGGCUGUUAACUUGGAAGAAAAUGGGAUCGAGGGUGAGGGGAAAACGGCAGAGAAAGCAUGGAAGAGAGAUUUGGGAUUAGGGGUAGGAAAACAGAUGAAAAGAAUAUGAUAGAGGAAUGAGUUCAGUUCAUUUUCACUAUUUUUUUUAACUGAUUUGGAUUUUGUUUGGGUUUGAGGCCAUCAUUGGCGUUAAGACGUUUAUUAUCAGAUCGUGUGUGUUUUUUGCUAACUUUUAUUGGUCAUUUUUAUGUUGUUCUUAUGAUUUUGUGUGGUAGGGUUUCUGAAUUUUAUCGUUAUUCAUUUGGUUUUUUGUGUGUGUUGGUUUGUUUAUUUUGCAGGUUGUGUUUGUGCUGGGACAACAUUUUCCACCUUCUGUUUGCACUGGGAUGAUUGCGUUUUAAAACUGUUGGGGUGAGAUUUACAUAUGGAAUCAUUCCAUUUUUUUUCUUCCAAAUAUGUGCAUUUAGUUCUUUUUAUUUUAAAUUUUAAAAAUUAAAUCGUUAUUUGAGUAAAAUGUUUUAUUAAUUUAUGUUAUGUGUUGUGAUCAGGAAUUCUGUUGGAUUUGCAAAUUUUGGUUUGAUGAGAGAGAUGAGGAGUUUUUUUUGUUUGAAUUUUUUAUUGGACCGAUUUUCAAUUGGAUUGCAUUCUGCCUUUUUGCACCAUUCUUAUGCAAGCAAUUCAUUGUUUUAAAUACAAUUUGAAGAGAGCUGGGUUGCGGGUUGGAUAUAAAAUGUUAAGGUGAGAUAAAAUCGAGAUACCAAGGGUGGAAGAAUGAUUCAGAAUUGGGGGAGGAAAACAGAGGGAAGAUGGAAGAGUAUAAGAGAAGGAUAGGGUUGACCUCAUUUAGAGUUUUUAUUUACUUUUUUUUUUAUUAUUUAUAAAUUGAUUCAGGACUAGCAUAUCAUUUCUAAAUUUCUAACAUUUUUGUUUAAUUUGACUCCAGUUGAUGGAAAACAGAGCUCUUACUCCUAUCAAUCAGUUGGUCCCGUACAUAAAUGCAGAAAAAUCAAGGUUCGAGUUUGCAGAGUAUGCAGACCAAGGUUUCCUGAAACUACUGGUGCUGUCACGCCCCAAUCCCGACCUAUGUCCAGGAUCGACACGUGACGUUAACAAAUACCCAUAUCUCUAACAUACCCCGCCUCCGGAAUAUGGGCAAAGCACAACUGCGUAAUAAUUUUUCGUAUACUUUAUGGCUGCAUCUAACAUCCUCGUUAGAUUAUCAUACCUUAUGGCUACAUCUAACAUCCUUGUUAGACUGCCUACGUACUCUCAAAAGGGAUCAAACCAUUCGUAGUUCACCACACUCCAAUCCACAAAAAUUUGCACAUGCACUGAUUAUAAAAUGGAACUGCACCUAUAGAAACCUAAUCAUAACCCGUGGGCGAUUUGCUCCCACAUAAGAAAGACGUCCACAGUACCAUGAAAUACUUCCACAUCUUUCCUUCCCAUUUACACAAUAUUUUAUUUCACCUCCCUGAUAAAUAUAGCAUUUACAUUACAUGUGGCAGACAAAUUUGCAUAUUCAACUAUAAUAAAAUACAAUCUUAGUAGGAAAAACCUACAAGACCACCACUCGUUUGAGCCAAACUUUAGCUUAGCACUCAACUGGUGCUCACACCAUGUGAGUGCACGAUCCUUUAAGAUGGAUGCGAUGGUUCUCUUUUGAGAUUAAUUUUGUUACAGGUAUAACAUAGUUGGCAACCGUUUAGAAAUAGAUGCCUCAUGUUCAAAACUCUCAUUACCAAAUGUUCUAACAAGUUAGUAGAGAAGGUAAAAGAACCCAAAUGGCGAGAAAUAGUGUCCUGAUGAAACAAAAGAUGUAACCCUCAUUCAAGCACGAACAUCAUUUCCUUGAGAAUCUGCGAUUUCUUCCCUCAUUUGGUCAAUAUAGCUUGUAUUCCAACUGCAACUUACUAAUAGCAUUUGUUCUCUCCUCGAAUGAAACCAUAACCAGCCAUUUUAAAUAAAGCUGAACAGUUUCACGUUGGGAAAAUAAAGAUUAUAACAUACAGGUUUUGGAUUAGAUUCCCAAACCAACAGAAAAUUAAGAUAGGAAUCUAUUUUGGGUUAACUGAGGUAUGAGUGGUAUACAAAUGAGAAAUUCCCUACAAAAGUCAAUAAAACCAGUUACAUAACAUGUUGAAUAUAAUACAACAUGAAAUAAGAAGCACCACUUGUUUAUCUGACUUUUUAUACAUGUAUUUUCCUAAGGGAUAAAAACGUGCGGGUUUUGGGAUCAAUCUGAAGAGGGCUUCACCACGAAUACAUAGCCUUUGACCGUGCAUGAUUUCGUUGCCGUAUGAGAAAGUUAUCAUUUUUUUUUUUUGUGAAGAAGAAUUAAGGGGGAGAAGAACAGCUGCCCCCUCUGUUUCUGCAUCUGCCCAGCGGGGAAAGAAAAAGAAGAGAAGCCCUUGGCUUCUAGAAUACUCCCUCCCCAAAAUUACAAUUUUGCUCUCUAACUUUGAUUGUUUAUAUCUUAUUCGUUAUAACUCUGUUUCACGAACAGCUUUUGCUUACAUGCUCACAUAGUCGUCAUCUAUUUAAAUAUAUCAAGAAAUACAAUAAAAUACAUCCUCGUAUAAGUAUGUUAACCAAUUAGGGCACUUUCGUCAUUUCCACUUAUCGAUAGAUUUUAACACGUUAAUUAUAAUAAUGUCCGGAAACAGCUUUAAAAUUUCCAAAUUCUAUUUCCAUAACCAUAAAUCGAUUUAUUAAUUUUUCAGGGUAUCACAGGUGCAUAUUCAGGCUUGCAUUGUAUAUUACUUUCCUAUUAAAAAUUUGUUUGGAAUUUGCUUUUCCCACAAAGGAGAAGAGCUGACAGUUACGCUGUGGGCAGAUGUUGCUCGAAGUAUUGCUUCUUUAUCCAUUGAAUCAUUGUCUCUGCCGAUCUUUGCGGUUUUCACAAGUUUAAAGGUCAAGCUGUACCUAGGUGUUUGACUUAAUUAAAAACUAAUCUAUUUAUUUCGGAGGCGGAGCAAAAUGCUAUCUGUCUUACCCCUCUUGGUGAUCUUAGUCGGAAAGAUCGGCUAGUUUGGGAUGUGAGUAAGAAUGGGCAGUACUCGGUUCGAUCGGGCUAUCAUUGGCUGCAAUCUAGGUCUGUUGGGUUCAGGGAUCAACGCCAGCUUGGUGCUUGCUUAGUUCCGAGGCAUUUGUGGCGCAUGGUUUGGUAGUUGAGUGGGCCUCAUAAGCUCCGUCAUUUCUUUUGGUUAUCUUUGCAUAAUGCAUUACCGUCAUUUCUUUUGGUCCGUGACCAGGCAUGAGGAGAGCAUGGAAAUGAGAGGGCAGACAAUCCACCUCCGCGACUUUCUCCCUUUUCGCCAGCCCCUCUUUUGCUCUCAAAUCCUUGCUCUUUCUUUUGCAAAAUAGUCUCAGAAGAGAUCCUGGGUUUAUCGAAUCCUUUGUUGUUCGGCGUUUUGUUCUCAUCUUGCGAUCGUCGGGGUAGCAGCUUUAAGGUAAGUUUGUUUUUAAUGAUUUAUCCUCAUUUUACUAAACUAUUUAUGGUAACUUAGUAUGGUAACUUAACUAAGUAAGUUUGCUUUUAGCCCAAGGGUUGGAGAUGGUCUUAGUAUGGUAACUUAACUAUUUAAUUCCAUCUCAUUAAACUAAAAAAAACAAUUACAUAAAAAUAAGGGAAACCUUGUCCAGAGAGACCUGAGAAAGUCCACCCCUAAGGACUUUGCGCCAGCACCCAGCGUAUUUAUCUACUCAAGUGAACAGUAAUAGACUGGAGUGAACAGUAAUAGGCCAAGGCAUCUCCACCCCUAAAAAAAUGCGCUGGCACCCAGUGCAUUUAUUUGGUGUGUUUUUUUUUUAAAGUUUAUUUCAGAUAAGAUUUUUAACCAAUUUCGGAUAAAAUUUCAAAUAAACUUAAAAAAAAACACUCUAAAAUAAAAUUACAUACUCAUCAAAUAAACUUAAAAAAACACACUAAAAUAAAAUUACAUAAACUCAUCAAAUAAAUUAAGGAUGAGCUUUUUGGUAUUUUUUUUUCACACAAAAAGUAUAUGAAAGCUUUGGUAGAAGGUCUAGAAAAUAUUGAAAUGUGGUGUAAGGUGGAAGAUGAGGGUUAGGUAUUUAUAGAAAAAAAAUAAUAACUUUUUUAAAAUUUUACUGUAUUUUAAAAAAAAAUCUGUAUUUUUUUAUAUUUUUAAUUAAUUUUAAUGUAGUUAAUUAAUUUGGACCGUUGGAUUUGAAAAAUAUUCAAAUCCAAUAGCCCAGGAUCGGCCACGUGGCCAACGCCAGCAAAUGGCCCAGCUUCUUGGUCAGCCUGUUUUGUGCUGGCCCAGAGACCAGUUUGGGCUGGGUGCCAGUCUGUUUUGUGGGCUGGAGUGAAUGGACAGGGUCCCAGCCUGUUUUUUGUGCUGAGUGCUGGCCUAAUCCACCACCGGUGGACUUGCUCUGAGAGAAAGUGACGACUUCUCCUCUCAUUCCACUCCAUACUUGAUCUCUAAAGUCCAUUUGGCAUGUAAUUGAUGUUCAAUUUCAAAUUUAGUGGUAGCAAUUAGCAAAGCUAAUGAAAGAAUCAAAUAAAAUGAAAGAAAAAGCAUCAUGAAAUAAAUCAAGAUGAAGAAUGAAAUUUUGGCAACUCGCCAUUCUCUUCUUUUAUAUAAAAGAUACAUCCUAUUUGUAGUGAAAACAGGUCCCGACAAACCCAGUUAUCCUCAAGAAGUAUUUUGUAUGACUUUAAAAACAUAAUCCGUGAAAUUAUCUCUUGGCUGAGAACAACAACAAAUCUUCAUGCAUAGCUUGUACAGAAAGACAUCAGGCAUACAAAAGAACACGCAAGCAUAAAAUAAACGACGCAGGGAAAACCAAAAAUACUAUAGAACACGUCGCUGUCAAAAGAACAUGAAUAAAUGAAAAUUACAAAACAAAGAAGUGAUGAGAAACCAAAGUACCCAUUUCAUAAUCUAGUUGCUUUUUAGUUUGCUUGCCAUUUUUAGUUCUUCAAUUUAGAGAGAAACGAUAAUUCAGCACAUGAAUAAAGUGAAAACGUAAAAGAUAUGUGGGAUAAGCUGACAGCCAUCCCUGAGUAAUGCAUUCACUUAUGAACCCCAAACACAACGAAACAAAAAUUCACACAUGAACUACAGCUCCGCUAUGUAACAAGAAUUAAAAGCAUCUCAAGACAAAAUGGCAAACUAUAAGAGCACUGUAAAAGUAAAAUUGCAAGAAAUCUAAUACUUGGAGGGCAAGUACUACUCAGACGAAAAUGAAAGAUUGAACUACCUCGCGUGGAACUGUGCCUUGGUUUUUUCCCAUGCUUACAGGAAGCUUUGCACUGAGCUCUUAUAGCCCAAAUUUUCUCUGAAAGAAAAAAACACAAUUUUGAAAUAAGAUUUUCAUAUUAUACCUUAAAGAGAAGAAUUAGAAAACAAAAAAGAGAACAAUGAGUACUAUUCAUCAUAUAUUGUUAGAGUGUGUGGUCCUUUGGUCCAAUGGUCCUGCAGCCAUAUUUACUUUAUAACUCUUUCUUUUAGUCUAAAAAACAUCUUGGAUCUCAAAUUAAUAUGAAUACGGAUUCAUACGCAUGCAUUGCAUUACAACCACAAUGCAAUAUCUCAUUAGAAAUCCCCACACAAAAUUUUUUUAUUUCUACUUUGAUUUUAGUUUAUAUUUUUUCUAAAGCACGAGGGAGCUAAUUUUUUUUUAAAUUUUUUUUAUUCCAAUAAUGUUAUAGGGUUGAAAGGAUAUUAUCAAUUUAAUUGAUUGUAUUUGAUUGGUGGAACUUCUAUAUCUAUAUUUCAGUUUUUCAAAUUCAGCACUGGGAGAGUCAUUCAUAAAAUGUUUGACAGUGAGAUUACCUCCAUGGAUUAUGCUCACAAUGGACAGCUCAUUUUCCGCAGUGAUGGGACAAUAUAUUUCAGUCAUUCGCCAUUCAAUCAAUUCAAACCGAGGAACAAGCAACAUCAAGAAGAGGAUCUGCCAUGUCAGGAUCACUGUCGUCCAAUUAAUACAAAAAAUCUAGAUAAAAACGAUCAAUUUACAUAAAAGCCUUUCAUUUUCUCAGCAACCAAGCAAAAGAAAAUACCUAUCCGUUAACACUCGAUUUGGGAGUAAAUGUUGCUGAAACUGGACUUCAAUCCCCUCAACCGCAACAACCGAAUCGAGGUGUGCAAGUCAUUGAAAAACUCACCCAAGAUUUCAAAAUCUGCAUAAAUAAAUAAAUAAGCACAUAAAUUAGCCAACCCUGUUAUGAUCCCACAUCGGGUACACAAGAAAUUGUGUAGUGGUACUUAAGUGCAAGGGGUCCUCCCACCUAUUGGACUAGUUUUUUGGAUUGGGCUCUUCCCUUGGGCUUGAGUACCUAACAUUGGUAUCAGAGCCUAGGUUCCCGACGCUGCGGGACUUGGCGAGUGGUGCAGCCUCGUGGUGCCGCCUUGAGAGUAUGGGCUCCUAAGGGUCUUGGCGACGGGCAAGGUAUGAAAUGCCGAUAUUAUCGCGAUAUUUCGCCGAUAAUAUCGGUUUUUUGAGUUACCGAUAUUUUAAUACUUAUCCACUGAGUUUUCGUCAAAAUAUCGCGAUAAUAUCAACAAUAUCGCGAUAUUACCGAUAAUAUCGCGAUAUUUUGGAGAUGUGCGAAUCGGAGAAGAACGCCGGAGCUUUUACAGCUCCGGCCGACUGUAAAAGAGCACCCUAGACUCCGAUCUAGGUAUCAAAAUGAAAUACAAGAUGAGAGGAAUGUUUUUAUAACUUCCGUUUGCCGUGAAACGGUCGAAGGUGUUCGGAAAGUUCGUCGACACCCACGGCCUCGCCAGAGAUGGGUGUGCCUAUUCCCGAGCCGAUUUCGUCCCAAAAACCUUGCAAAAACACGAGAUAGAACUUAAAUUUCACGUCUAAGCUUCAAUCUAGAAUAGAAUGAGGUAAACCCGAAGCUUACCUAACCGGAGAAAUUCAAGAAACUCGUCGGAGGGUUCCUGCGUCGCCGAGUUGCAGAGACGAGAAGGAGAGGGAGAAAGACGAGGUUGCUGAUGACGAUGGGUGUCUUCCUCAAGCAAGUGCGAUGGUGUGCGUGUGUGUAUGUGGGUCUCGGUGCAGAGAGAAAGGAGAGAGAUGAGAGUUUCGAGAGAGAGACGGCACCGACGAGAGCUAUUUGUUUUUUUUUAUCUUAAAAAGAGAGAGGUCUAAGAGAAAUGGGAAGAGAGGGCCGAGUGAAAUGAAAGGAGGUCCUUGAAUUAUUGAGAGAUAUCUCUGAGAGAGGCCUAGGAUUUCUAAAAGGUAAUCAUAAAUGGGAAAAAUGGGGCACAUCUUAGCCUUUAUUUUGGAAUCCUAAGAAGUUCACCACAUGGAUGCAUGACAUGUGUGCAUGCCAUGUUUGUUGAAUGGGAAAAGUCUGACACGGAAAGACAAAGAGUCGUUUGGGGCUCUGGGCUCGAGGCAAGACAGAAAGUGCUAGGGUUUUUUUCUGAAAUGAACAUAAGCUGCUAAAUUCGCAUAUAUUAUAGUUGUUGCUAAAGAUUGUCACUAGUGUGGACUUGGACGUGUUGGUCAACAUGUCCUCACAAUCCCCAAGUUCUCUGGUUCGAACCCUUGCGCCCAUCAAAUUUUCUUUCUUUUUGAUGCGCUUUUCCCAUGGCUCUAGGUCUUGAUUUCGAAUCCAAGUGAGCCCUUUCCUUUUUCUUUUUUGUUCUUUUUGUUUUAUUAUUUGUUUAUUUUAAUUUAUUUGUUUCUUUUAUGUUUUUCUUUUCUUUUAGUUUCUUUGUCUUAGGCGUUCGUUUUUAUUAAAGUAGGAUGUAAAAUCAAUUAUCUUAAAAUUAUGUGUUUUUAAAUUUUGGACUUGUUUGUUGGAUACUUUUUUUUCAUUUUAUCAUUCUUUUAUUAUGAAAAUAUGCUAAAAUAUGCUAAAAUAUCACUUAUGUUUUUGUGAAAAUAUGCUAAAAUAUUUAUAUAUAUGAUUUUGUUUUGAAUUCUUUUUGUACUAAUUCAUUAUAUAUAAAUGAUUAUGGUGUGUUUAAACUUCUUUAAUUAAUUACUACAUAUUUUCUAUACUCACAAUGUUUGCCAGCUCGCUAUAUAAUCAACUUAAAUCAGUUAAAUCCAUCAUGCAAUGCAUUUCCUUCCAAUUUUUUGUGAUAAACUUGUGAACACGGAAAAUUCCUGAAACGAAAGAGACAAGAACGAACGUGCACAAACAAAUAUUAUGUAUUUGAUGAUUUUGGGUUACAAUCUCUCUCUAUUUGAUCCUCUGAUUCAAUCUCCGUAAGGUGUGUAUUUGUGGAUGUGUGAUUGAUCCAAAGGGCCGUUGGGCUUGAUCUAAUGAUGAACGUUCUUCAAGGGCCGUGGACUUGAUCUUGAAGGUGGAUUUGAGCGGAUCUUCAAAGGGGCUUUUGGGCUUGAUCUUGAAGAACGGUUGGAUGUGUGGAUUUGUCGAAGUUGUUGAUCCAAAGGGCCGUUGGGGCUUGAUCUUGGAUGAACGGAUGAUGAACGAUGGUGCUUUCUUCAAGGGUCGUCGGGGCUUGAUCUUGAAUUGGUGGAUGGUUGAUCCAAGGGCCGUCGGGGCUUGAUCUUGGAAGAACGAUGAACGAAGAACGAAGAACACUUUCUUCAAGGGCCGUCGGGGCUUGAUCUUGAAUUGGUGGAUGAUUGUUGAUCCAAAGGGCCGUUGGGGCUUGAUCUUGGAAGAACGAUGAACGAAGAACAAAGAACGCUUUCUUCAAGGGCCGUCGGGGCUUGAUCUUGAAGGUGGAUGAUUGUUGAUCCAAAGGCUGUCGAGGCUUGAUCUUGGAAGAACGAUGAACGAAGAACACUUUCUUGAUUCUUCGGGAACCUGGACGCUUGAGAGCUUCGGAGUUUCAGAGCUUCAGAGCUUCAAGGUGUAAUAUGAAUUGGUCCCCCCUAAAUGAAUGAAAUGGGCUUGUAUUUAUAGAAUUUUCCAAGGCCUAAUUUUGAAUAUAAUAUCUCAGAUGAAAUAAGUCGUUUCUGCCAGGUGUUAACACGUGUCCUAUUUGAUGACUUUUCCAACUCAUUUCAAUUUUCGUUUAGUCACACGCUACGUGUAAAAUUUAUGUAAUACAUGAGCGUUGACACUUUGAUUUAUCGGUCAACAUUUAUUUACCGAAAUUUCGAUGUCUACAAAUGCCCCCACUUCAAGGCACGUCGUAUACCUGUGCUUGUCACGUGUAGGAGAUGCGUUUUGAAGUCCCUUACCGUAGAUGCCGAUUCAAGGGCCGUUGAAGCUUGAUCUUGAAUUGGGCUUGAGAUUUCUUCAAGGGCCGUUGAGGCUUGAUCUUGAAUUUUUGUUUGAAAUUUCUUCAGGGGCCGUCGAGGCUUGAUCUUGAAGGUUGAAAUUGGGCCACAAGGAGCUUCAUGUGGUAGAUGAUCUUUGGCUUUGGUAGUGGAUGAAUCGGCACGUAUUUUAUUGCGCUUGUUGACUUUCCACAGCUUUGAUCUUGAACUGGGUUGGAGGAUUUUCUGGAUUCCUCCAAUUGUUGAUUUUCCACAGCUUAUUCUUGAACUAGGUUUUGAUUCAAGGGUGGUAGACACUUGAUCUUGAAUCGGACUUGUGAUUUCCUCGAUGGCCGUCGAGGCUUGAUCUUGAAUUUGGUUGGAAACUUCUUCAAGGGCCGUCGAGGCUUGAUUCUUGAAGGUUGACUCGAACAUAUGGCAAGCAGGCACGAGGUGAAGGUGACGACUUGUUGCUUUGUUCAAUCUUUCUAAUUCACACCUGAGCAGUUUGGUCAACGGUAUGAUCCUCAAGAUUGAUGGGCUCUUCUUCCAGUUGGUGACUUGAUCUUUAAGGAUUUGAUUCAAGGGUGGUGAAUCGGCACGUGCAGCCCACAACGCCUAGUAAGCCGACCCAAGAAUUUGAGGGUCAAAACGGAUUCACCGUCAGAGUGAUUGCAACUUUGAUGAUAUGAGAUACUCUUGCUUUUGAAGAAGUAGUGGAUGAAUCAGCACGUGCUUUGUUGCGCUUGUCUCCACAUGCUUCAAGGUAUCAUCUUUAUUUCCUUUAUCUAUUCCUCAGGCAGAUGUGGCAUCUUCUCGAGUUCUUCAUCUCAGACUCUUUCUGCUGAGUUGACUGUUCAUGCUGCAUUCUUCUCUGCUUGUUCAUUCUGCACGUUGUCUCCACAUGCUGCAAGGUAUCAUUUUCACUUGCCUUAUCUGUUCUCCGGGCAAAUGUGGCAGCUUCUUUGAAAGUACAGUAGCAGCGGGAGGCGAGUACUCGAGAGCAGUGCUAGGUAGGCAAUCAGGGAAGGGUUCCAAGCAGUCGGUUCCUUACCCGAGUUUGAGUGGAAGUUCCGGCAUAUUGUUUUUUUUAUCCUUGUCUUUGUAGGUAAGAACAAGGACAAAGGAAAGGACAGGGAGAACGCAUGAUAUGAGAUACUCUUGCUUUCUACCCUGGUGAUAUGAGAUACUUUUGCUUUGGAGUCAUUGGCUUGCAGAGGUACCCCAAGGAAUAAGGAACACUGAAUGACUCGAGAGGCUUCGUUGGGAAAACAUCUUUGGAGAUGAAGAAAGACUUUGUGUGUCUGCCUUGCUAUGGAAGGCGAAGGUAGACAAUUAUAGGAAGUUCUUUGAUACCUGUAGAUGUACUAUUCUUUCACUCGUGUCGGCAACCAAUGCGUGAUUGAUCUAUAUGGCUUCACGUGCUUCCUUCUUUAUCAGAAAUCUUCGACAAACUGUCCGUAAUUUCCGCCAAGCUGAGUGUGCAUGUGAUAGGUGUUGACGCGGCUGAAAAAGACUGGCGCUUAUUCGAUAACUGGGAUCUGCGCUUCGACAAAUUACCCGUGAUUUCCGCAAAGCUGAGUUUGCGUGUGAUGGGUGCUGACGUGUCUGGAAAAGACUGGCGUCUCUUCGAUGUCUGGGAUCGGCACUUCGACAAAUUGCCCGUGAUUUUCGCAAAGCUGAGCUUGCGUGUGACGGGUGCUGACGCGUCUGGAAAAGCAAGAUGCUUCUUCGAUUUCUGAGCUUGCCUCUUCGAUUUUUGAAUGGCCUCUUCGAAUUCUGAGCUCGCCUCUUCGAUCUCUGAAAUCCCGUCGAGUGUUGAUUUUUUAUAGAGGCAUGCUGUUCGUUUCAAAGCACACUUGAAUUUUACUUGUGAAAACUCCCUUCUUGCACUUCUAAGAUCUUGAUUCGUCUGACCUCUUCUUCCUUCAACACUUUGAAAAUGUCUGGACCCUCCGACCGUCGUUUUGAUUUGAACUUUGGUGAAGAUGUAGUCCCGUCUUCUCCAGAUAACAUAUGGCGCCCAUCCUUCAUAUCCCCUACUGGUCCUCUUACUGUUGGGGAUUCGGUGGUGAAGAAUGAUAUGACCGCUGCGGUGGUGGCCCGAAACCUUGUCACUCCCAGAGAUAACAGACUACUUUCCAAACGGUCUGAUGAGUUGGCUGUUAAGGAUUCUCUGGCUCUCAGUGUGCAGUGUGCGGGUUCUGUGUCCAACAUGGCCCAACGCCUAUUUGCUCGAACCCGUCAAGUUGAAUCGUUGGCGGCUGAAGUGAUGAGUCUUAAACAGGAGAUUAGAGGGCUCAAGCAUGAGAAUAAACAGUUGCACAAGCUUGCACACAACUAUGCCACAAACAUGAAGAUGAAGAUUGACCAGAUGCAGGAAUCUGAUGGUCAGAUUUUACUUGAUCAUCAGCGGUUUGUGGGUUCGUUCCAACAGCAUUUGCCUUUGUCUUCUGGGGCUGUACCGCGUAGUGAAGCUCCUCAUGAUCAACCUCCAGCCCCUCUUCUUUCUGGAGUUCCACCGAGUGGUGUGACUUCAAACAGUCAACCUCCGACGUCUCUUUUCCCUAGAGCUCCACCGAGCACUGAGACACCACCUGAGCAAUAAAGACUCCCUCCCGUUUGUUUGCACAUUUGUAAAUUUUUUUUUUUUUUUUUUUUUUUUUUUUUUUUGGUAUGUAGAAUGCAAUUUUAUGUAAAAUUUCCAGAAAAAAUAAAUAAAAUGGAUUUUUAUUUCUCUUAAUGCUUUUUUUUUUUUUUUUUUUUUUGCUGUAUAUAUUAUACACACACAUUUAUACAUACAUAUAUACAUACAUAUAUAUAUAUUUUCACGUGGAGUGAUCCACCAUCCCAAAACCCAUUUUCCCUUUGUUUUUUUUUGCAUGGUGCUAGCCACCAAGAAUUCACCUUUUUUUUUUUUUUAAUUAAUUAAUUAAUUUAUUUAUUUAUUAAUUUAUUAUUAUUAUUUCUUUUUCGUCUGCUUUCACAUGGUGCUUGAUCCACCACUCUCUUUUCUUUUUUCACGUGGUGCCAGAUGCACGCCCCUUUUUUUUUCACGUGGUGACAGCACCACUCUGCUUUGCUCUACCACAUUUUUUUUUUUUUUGUAUAAAUUAGGAUGCUUGGCUGAGGGAUUUUGUAGGGAAGGACGAAGACGGACGGAGAGCCGGAGUUUGAGGAAGAGCUUCUCGGCCGGCUAGUCGUUUGACAGCGGUCUUUGAAGUUGGUGGCAGCUGCGAGGCAAGAGACGGAGGAGGACAGGGCAGCUGUGACGGACAGAGACGCCAUGGCAGGACCUCGAGGAGUUUUAAGAUACUGGUGCAGGUACUGGCGAGGUGAUUUUGACGAGAAAAGCAUGAAGAGGGCGUCGAGCACCAUGGGCCUGCAAUCCUUAAGGUUGAUCUCGUAGUCCUUGAGCUCUUGUUCAGGCAUGACGGGAUCCGCUGCGGUCUUUUUUAUCGGCAAUAAAGUUCUUUGCCUCAUAAAACAGCCCAGAACGCGAUAGAAGAGUUACGAACAAAGCACAAUGUGCAACUGUAGGUGUCUUGAUGCAGUUGAAGUAAAACUUCCCUUCCUCGACCAUGCGUGCUGCAACGCAAGCAUGAAGGACAGCAGCAUAGGUGAUUUCAUCGAUCUGUGUACUCGUUUCCUUCUCCAUUUGGCAGAAUAAAUCUACUCCGAUCUUUCCUUGUCCGUGUAAGCUGUACCCAGUUAUCAUCACUGUCCACGAAACAAGAUCUCUUGUACUUCGACCCUGGCAAAAACUUUUGCAGCUGAUUUGAUAAAUCCCGACUUGACAUACAUGUCCAUAAGAGCAUUCAGAACGGUGAGAUUCAUUCGAAUACCAUGUCGCAGCAAGAAUCCAUGAGUCUCUUUUGCCAUGUUUACCUGCAGACAUUCUUGCGCAUGCUGGGAGAACACUAGAGACCGAGAGCGGAUCAGGUUUCACCCCGUCUCCAACCAUCUGCCUAAACAGCUUAAGACCCUCAUUGAAGCAUCCCCUCUUCACAUUGGCAUGAAUCAUUUCUGUCCAAGAAAUGACAUCUUUCUCCGGUAUUUGGUUGAAAACUGCCCAAGCUUCGUCGACACAGCCACAGUCCAUGUAUAUUUUCAAGAUGGUAUUGCUCACCAACACAUCAUACUCCAAUCCACGUUCCUUGGCAACCCUGUGGACUUUUGUUCCAUCAAUCAACGAUCUCAACAUGCCACAGGCACCAGCCGCCGUCGCCACAGCCACAGAAUCUAUCUGUGCUCCGGACUCCACCAUUCUCUCAAACACAUGAACCGCCUUGCCGGGUUUACCUUCCGCAAUGUACAGCCUGGCCAGCAUUGUCCAUGAAACAGAGUCCGUAACCAGGGACUUGUCAAACAGCCCUUUCGCGGAGUCCGCGCUGUCGAGGCGACCGUACAACUCAAUGAGAGCAGCAACCACGUACCGGUCACCAGAGCAGCCGAGCUUGUGAGCGUGGGCAUGGAGUUGCUUGCCGAGGGAGAGAUCAACCGAAAGGCGAGAGGCAGACAAGACGCGAGGAAGAGUGUGUCUGUCGGGCGACGAACGCGCGGAUGAGCAUUUGGUGGUAAGUGGCGAGGGCGUGGUGGAAGUCGGCAUUGGCGAUAUGGGUCUGGAUAAGUCUGUUCCAUGCAAAGGUAUCUGAGUGGGGCAUUUUGUCGAACACCUUGUGGGUGACGGCCACCUUCGUGGUGGGUUUAGCAUUUCGGGAGUGCUUGUAGUGGGCUGUGUUGAUUGGGUUCUCGGUGACGAUCAAGCGCUGGAUUUGGGCGGAUGGAAGGGCUUCCAUUUCAGUUCAGUCGCACCCAAUUCAGCAUUGCCCGUACGGAUUCGAGCGCAGUUAUCGAGGAGGAGUUUCCUUAAGAAUAGAACCAAUCACCGACUCCUCAAACCCAUCCGGAUAUGCGAUUUUCAUGAGGUGCAAACAAGAACCCUCUGCCAUAAGUGGCAUGAUCACCCAAAGGUUUCUUUCAACGACAAAUGAACAAAACGCCCUCACGACAUUGGGAUGAUCUAUUAAUCUCAUCGUCUGCGCCUCCCUCCGGAUAUCCUCGAAAUUGCUAUUGCACCGAUCGAGAUCCAAGCACUUGACGGCGACGACUUCAUUGAAAGGGAGAUAGAUCGCUCUGUAAACCGUUGCGCUGGCGCCAUAUCCGACCUCUUCCAGAAGCUUGUAGUCGUUCGGAUUCGCCGAGUGAAGCCUCGAAUUGCUACCCAUCCUCCCCAUCUGUUCGAGGACUUGUGCUUCAGAUAUGUCGUUUUGAGGCUACGGGCUCUGCGUUUGGGCUGUGUGCCAGUUUGGGCUUAGUGUUGCUUUGGAGAGAUCUAGGUUUGGUUGAAGAGGUACGGUGAAGCCAUGGGCAAGGGAGAUGACGAAUUGGGCUUGGAGGCUGACACUUGGGCCUGGAUGGCCUCCUUUUGAGAGGCUUGCUGCUGAUGGAUAUACAUAUAUAUAUUUGUAUGUAUAUGUAUGUAAAAGAAAUCUUUUUUUUUUUUUUUAAUUUUUUAAUUUUUUUUUUUAUGUGACUGAACUCGAAAAAAUUGAACAUUCGAGCUGCCUACGUACCCCUCCAAAGAAGAGAUCAAGUCGCAACGUAGUUCAAAUACAUUUUUGGUAUUUUCUUUUUGUGUCGUUUGCAGUUUUAACUCAUGCAGGCAAGGAGUGUUGGUGUCGUUUGCAGUUCCAACUCUUGCAUACAAGGAGCGUUGGUGUUGCCUUUUAUGCUCGUGUAGGCCAGGAGCGUUGGUUCGUGCAGUUUAGGCUCGUGCAGGCGAGGAGCCUUUGGUGUCGUUCGCAGUUUCAACUCGUGCAAACAAGGAGCAUUUGGUGUCGUUCGCAGUUUCAACUCGUGCAGACAAGGAGCAUUUGAUGCCGUGUUGCAGUUUAGGCUCAUGCAGGCGAGGAGCGUUGGUGUCUUGUAGUUUAGGCUCUUACAGACAAGGAGCUUUGGUUCGUGCAGUUUAGGCUCGUGCGAACAAGGAGCAUUGUUGGUUCGUCAAGCGAUCCGAGAGAGUUGUUCCUCACAAUCUUCAUAGCAAGGAGCCUUGACCGCGUGAUUGAAGAAGUCUUCGGGUAAAAAGUCGCGCAUCGUGAUGGCAACAGACAAUCUUUGUGUCGUAGUUUCAUCAUCUUCAACACGUUCACGUUGCUUUGAAGGUUGACAAUAGCUGCUUUGCCCCCUUUUCAAUUGGCGGACUUGUGGAGGAGACGUAUGCUUCUUGUGCAAUUUCUUAGGAGUGACUUGAGUCCAUCCUUCAAUUUUGCUUGUCUUGGACGAUGCCCCCAGCGGUUGAGGUGAAAACUUUGAGUCGGAAGAGCCAGAAGUGAAGGUGGUAUAGUUUGACUUUGCCACUUCGUCAAGAUCUAGCUCGAUGAUUCCUUUCUGAGCCAGCUUCAUGAUGAGAUCUUUCAGCACGAAACAUUUUUCUGUCGGAUGACUGAUGAAGCGGUGGAAUUUACAGUACUUUGGACUGUCGGUGCGAUUCAUCUCUUCUGGCCGUUUGCACUCAGGCAAACCAAUCACCUUCUUUUCCAACAGGUCAUCCAGUAUGGCAACCACAUCAGAGUCGGGGAAUGGAUAAGUCUUCUCCUCAAGCUCCUUUAAAGUGCGUCUACGCAUUUCUUGAUCACGAAAAGCUUCGGUUUGAAUCGCCUUGCCUCGUGUGGAUAUUUUGACGGGAGAUGUGUUGACCGUCAUCGCUUCCUUGGUGGGUUUCCAUGCAGCCUUUUCCACCUUUGUCCCAAGAACUUUGUCGUUCUUGUAGUCGGCGAUUGGUUCUUUCUUCCCAUGAUGGGCGAUGCUCAACUCCAUGUCAUGGGCGCGAGUGGCCAAUUCCUCGAAGGUCCGCGGUUUAAUGCCUUGAAGGAUGUAUUGCAAACCCCAUUGCAUGCCUUGGAUGCACAUCUCGAUUGAAGAGGUUUCCGAGAGCCUGUCUUUACAGUCGAGGCUUAGAGUGCGCCAUCUGUUGAUGUAGUCAAUGACUGGCUCGUCCUUCCACUGCUUUGUGCUUGUUAGCUCUAGCAUGCUCACAGUGCGGCGAGUGCUGUAGAAGCGGUUGAGGAAUUCCCGCUCCAAUUGCUCCCAGUUGUUGAUGGACUCAGGCUCUAGGUCAGUGUACCACUCAAAGGCGUUUCCUUUUAGUGAGCGCACAAACUGCUUGGCGAGGUAGUCCCCUUCGGUCCCUGCGUUGUUGCAAGUUUCAACAAAGUGGGCAAUGUGUUGUUUCGGGUUUCCCUUUCCAUCAAAUUGCAUGAACUUUGGCGGUUGAUAACCCUUCGGCAUCCUUAAGGCGUCGAUUUUCUUUGAAUACGGCUUCGAGUACAACCCGGAGGUAUUUGAGCUCCCUUCGUACUGUGCCUUGAUGGUGUUGGUGAUCAUCUAUUGCAGCUGCUGGAUAGAAAGAGAUCCCAUGAGUGCCGCUGCUUGGUCUGGCUCCGGCUUUGCAUCGUUUUUCUCCACCUGAGGCUCAUCUUCUUCGUCAUCUCUUCUCUUUAGUGGAUCAUUCUCUGGGUCGGGUUUAUCGCCGUCCUGCGCCUUUAGUCGAUUGACGAGUGCUGCAAUUUGCAAGUCUUUUUUCUUCCACCGUUCGGGUCAGCCUUGCGAUUGCUUCAUUCAUCUGAGCCAGUUGUUCUUCAACGGAGGUAACGCCGAUAGUCAUGACUUGUGCGACCAAUAUACGUGACUUUCCUUUAGACAUCCAGGAUGCUGAUGAAGAACGUCGUUGGCUGCUUUGGGAUGUCAUCUUAUGUGCCUCAGCAUCAUGCUUCGGUGCCCCCAGCGAGGUCAGGUUGAUGACAGACUCGCACCUUGGAUGCUCCCCUUGCUCUUUUAGCGGCACCAAUUUUGAAGUAGCAUGUUGGGGAGCGGUUGUGGCGCCAAUGGAUUGUCUGUUUGCGGCAGAAGUGCUUAGGAUCCUUCCCUCAGUGGUUGCGAGAAUGGCUUGUCCUUUGCUUGAUGCCAUUGACUUUGAGGUGUGCUUGGAUUCCUUGAACGAAGAAAGAGAUGAGAGGUAGAGAUUGUCCCACCGGGCGUGCCAAUUUGUGAACACGGAAAAUUCCUGAAACGAAAGAGACAAGAACGAACGUGCACAAACAAAUAUUAUGUAUUUGAUGAUUUUGGGUUACAAUCUCUCUCUAUUUGAUCCUCUGAUUCAAUCUCCGUAAGGUGUGUAUUUGUGGAUGUGUGAUUGAUCCAAAGGGCCGUUGGGCUUGAUCUAAGGAUGAACGUUCUUCAAGGGCCGUGGACUUGAUCUUGAAGGUGGAUUUGAGCGGAUCUUUAAAGGGGCUUUUGGGCUUGAUCUUGAAGAACGGUUGGAUGUGUGGAUUUGUCGAAGUUGUUGAUCCAAAGGGCCGUUGGGGCUUGAUCUUGGAUGAACGGAUGAUGAACGAUGGUGCUUUCUUCAAGGGCCGUCGGGGCUUGAUCUUGAAUUGGUGGAUGGUUGAUCCAAGGGCCGUCGGGGCUUGAUCUUGGAAGAACGAUGAACGAAGAACGAAGAACACUUUCUUCAAGGGCCGUCGGGGCUUGAUCUUGAAUUGGUGGAUGAUUGUUGAUCCAAAGGGCCGUUGGGGCUUGAUCUUGGAAGAACGAUGAACGAAGAACAAAGAACGCUUUCUUCAAGGGCCGUCGGGGCUUGAUCUUGAAGGUGGAUGAUUGUUGAUCCAAGGGCUGUCGAGGCUUGAUCUUGGAAGAACGAUGAACGAAGAACACUUUCUUGAUUCUUCGGGAACCUGGACGCUUGAGAGCUUCGGAGUUUCAGAGCUUCAGAGCUUCAAGGUGUAAUAUGAAUUGGUCCCCCCUAAAUGAAUGAAAUGGGCUUGUAUUUAUAGAAUUUUCCAAGGCCUAAUUUUGAAUAUAAUAUCCCAGAUGAAAUAAGUCGUUUCUGCCAGGUGUUGACACGUGUCCUAUUUGAUGACUUUUCCAACUCAUUUCAAUUUUCGUUUAGUCACACGCUACGUGUAAAAUUUAUGUAAUACAUGAGCGUUGACACUUUGAUUUAUCGGUCAACAUUUAUUUACCGAAAUUUCGAUGUCUACAAAACUAAUAGAUAAUUGACUAAAUAAACAUCCUGCAAAGUUUCAAUAAAAAUUUCCAAGUUUUUCUUACAAUUUCUGUGGUUUCCAUAUUAUUUUUAUCGAUAUCGAUAAUAUCCCGAUAUUUCAAUCGAUAUUUCCGUGUUUUUGGACUACCGAUAUUUCCGAUAUCAUCGAUAUUUUAUACCUUGGCGACGGGGGACUUGCCGACUGGUGCCACCGUGGACGUUGGGUCUUUCGAAAUGUGGUGUAAUGUUAUGAUCCCACAUCGGCUACACAAGAAAUUGUGUAGUGGUACUUAAGUGCAAGGGGUCCUCCCACCUAUUGGACUAGUCUUUUGAGUUGGGCUCUUCCCUUAGGCUUGAGUACCUAACAAACCCAUAAAUCAAAGAAAUCAAAAUCCACCCAGAAUCAAAGAAAUCAAAAUCCAUCCAGAACCAAAGAAAUCAAAAUCACACACAGAUAUACAAGGUGUACAGUACUGACAUGCCUUAAAUGAUAUUAUUCACAAGAUUUAUAAAGCUCAUGUCGUAAUACUUGUGCAGAAUCUAUCAUUCACGGCGUCACUUUUGUGCAAGUUGUAAAUAAAAUUAUUCACAAUUUAAACAUUGUGUGUCGUAUUUGACAAUUUAUACUACGCACUUUCUUUUUCUUUUAAAGCUUUGCGUUAUGUCGUGAAGUUGACUUUCUAUAUAUUUGGGUUGUACCUUUUAUGGCGCAAAUAACACGUCGUAAAUAAUGGCUUUUAGCACAGAAGUUUUGUGGUAAAGAAGCCCGCGCACUAAUUCAUUCUCGCGCCUUCUCUUUUUUAUUUAGCCGCUUCUUUUUUUAUUUUUUAUUUUUUUUGUUAAAUUCCCCUCAAAUGUUAAAAGAAAAAUUAAUGAAAUAUUUGAAAACUUUGAGUUUUAACGAUAAGGAUAAAAUAAAAGGUAAAAUGAAUAGUACCAAAAUUGACUUUUUAGUGUUAAAAUAUGAUUUUUCGUUAAAGUGAACAGUGCCGAAAGUUUUUCGUUAAAGUUCAAUGUUAAAAGGUUUGUAUUUUCUUGGUAAACUUGAAAGACAAACAUUGCAAUUGCAUUUUCAUUUACCCAAUAUUAAUUGUCGAGAGCCCACCCCCUUCCCUUCUCACUGACAUCGUAACUCUCUCCUCUCCAUCGAUCUCGCUCCAUCUGCUCGCCGUCGCUCUAUAUGCUCGUCAUCACCGUCGAUUCGUCUGCUCGUCGUCACCGUCGCCCAUCUGCUUUCCGUCACCGUCGAAGUGCCCCGCCAUUCAAGAUCUGAAAUCCCCAAUACAGGGUGCUUUGCGGCAUUUCGUUCUCCAAAACUUUAGGUAUGCUCUCAAUCUGUAUCAACCCUAUCCUGUCCCCUCUAGAUUUUUGUUUAGUCUCAACUUUAUGGUGCUUUUCUUAGAUUUGUUCUAUCACUGUAAUUUUAAGGGAUUUUAGGUAAUAAAUUUGGUUGAGAAUCUCAGUUAGGUUUGUAAUUGUUUUCUUGGUUGCCUGGGUUUGAGGAUGAUUAAUCCACUUUCUGAAGUUUAAUUACUUUGAACUUUGAUUUGUGGGAAACUGCAAUCAAAAUGUUGCUAUGGCUUUAUAGUUAGAAUCGAUUGUGAGUCUUUGCACCACAUCAAGCAAUACCCCGGUGUUGUAAUUCCGAGGUUUGUAAUUGCCGCUGUUAAUGAUGGUUUGGUCCAUCCUUUUUAGGGAGAUGACUUCAAUGAUUGAAACUAGUUUAUCAUUAUUUCAGAACUCUGUAAUACGAGACAUGAUAUUCCAAAAAAUAUUUGCAUGAAUAUAUGUGCAUUGACUGACUAUUUUUCAGUCUUUGAUAGUGGAGAUAACUCUUUCAGGUCAUAUGUAGUUCUUACAGAAAUUGUAUGGUAUUUUGGUUGGUUUUGUGUUCUGGUUGUAGCAAACUGGUGGAUGCCCUGAGAUGAGUAGUUAUCUACAAAGUGGAUGGAUCCUGAAGAGUACAAAGUCUAAGGCAUUUUAUGUAAAGGUAAAUCCUGUUACUUUUAAUUACUUAUAUGUGAAUGCCUGCCAUUUGAAGUAAAAAUUCUUUUAGCCAUUACAUUCUUCAUAAAGAUCUUUAUAUGCUCAAAAGAAGGAUUUUUUUUAGAUGCCAUGUAACUGGUGGUGGCUAGCCUCUUCUUUUUAAGACUCUAGUGUGUUUCAAUUACACUAGUCAAUCGUUCUUAUGUGUAUUAUGUUUUGUUGAUAAGAUGGCCAAGACAAAGUUGUAGAGCCCUAGUAGCAGGGUGCUGUUGGCAUUUAUAUUUUUCUUUUGAAGGGGUGUUUAUUGCUUUUAUACUUUCAUUGUUUACUCUCAUACAUACAAUACUGAAAAAUAAGCAUGUAUUGACGCGUAAUUUUAGAUCCAUAUUUAUACAUAAUUUUGAUUACAUGUCCAAAUUACCCAAGAUUCUUUUUCCUUUACAAAUUUGUGGAGUGCAUUACAUGGAUAUGAUUCAUGUAUGAAAUACACAUGACUCUCACUAAUUUAAGGGCAGCAUCAUUGACUGUACAGUUUUCAAUUCUUUAUAAUCAUGAGUAUAGACAUUUUUUAAUUCUUUAUAAUCAUGAGUACAACAAUAGUUUCUAUAACAAAAUUCUGUUAAAUAUGUAAUAUCAGUAUUUGUUUUCCAGGUUCAUUAGUUGAGGAUGAUUUUUCCAAGAAAGAAAAGAUCGCGGCUUUCAGGCCGAUCUAAAGAACAUUAUGUUGAUAUUGCACCUGAGAUCUUACAAGAAGAGGACGAAGAAGUACCAGAUGACCUAUUUACAGAGGAGUCGAAUCAAACUAAAAGAAAGAGGGGUCCUACUAGAAUGAAGACAAUUUCCACAAAUGAUGGUCAACGAAUUGAGAUUGAAUGGAAUGAAAACGGCCAGUUUAUUGGUGACGGAUCUAUUGACUUAUCUUCUUACAUGGGUUCUUUGGUCCGAGAGGUUGUCCCUAUAACAUUUGAUACUUGGAAGGAUGUUCCUAAGAAAACAAAGGACAUCCUAAUCAAGGUAAUAUGCAGAUAAGUCAAUUCUGAUCCCUCUACUUCAAGGUGAACAAUUUAUAGUUUAUAAAUUUUACUUGUGUUAAUAUAUAUUUUUUGGUAAAUGUUAUGGAUAUUUUAUCAAAUCAGAGAGUAAAUUCGUAUUAAGUGAAGAUUGGCAAAGAACAUAUUGUUUUGAAAGGAUGAAUAAUGUUUGCAGAUCACAUAUAUCAGUAGUUGUGAAGUCCAUAAGAGAAGCAAGAAAUUGGAAAGCAAGGCUUCGUCUAAAACCAAAUAAUGUCAAAUUAAUUCAAGAUUGGAAGACUUCCCUUGCAAAGUGUAAGCUCAUUUUCCUUUUCUUUUAUUUCUAAGAUUAGUUAUCUUCUUUUGAGUUCAAAAUUGGGUCAGAGAAAUCAAACUGAUAGUAGUUAAAAGUCUAUUUCAACACCAAGCCUUGUCUACACAAGAAUUUGGUGUUAGUUAAACAUGUGUAUGAUUCUAUCUUGAUUGCAUGUUAAUUUAGUUUGAAGAUAGAUUUGGUACAUGCUAGCUAAUUGAUACGUGAUAUGAAUCUUUGGUUUCCUUUUGAUAGGACAAAAGCGAAACAUUCAGAGAGAUGAAGUCUAAGCAACUCCGCACACAUGUAGUCGCAAGGGAUAUGGUAGGUUGGCGGAGGAUUUGGUAAUUACAUUUCAUUCUAGUGCCUUCUUUUCUACAGGACAAGAACAAUUUACUAAUUUUAUUCUGUGUUCUACUGUGUGUUUACUACAUUUAUGUUUCUAUUUUGUAGAAAAGAAAAAGUGUAGACCCUUCUCUAGUUUCUAGAGGUGAUGUUUGGAUUGCAGCACAUACUAAAAAGGGUGGUGGACCAUCCAAUUUGCUUGCUGCAGAGACUAUUGUAAGUAAUUUUUAACCAUUUAUUUCUUCUUGUUUGUUGAUAUGCAAUGAUGAAUGAGGUCUUAACUUUGAUGUGCAACGUUAGGAAAAAAAUUAAGCAAUAUGGAAAUGGAUCAUCAUCUGGUUUUCGAGGUGACGUUCUUUCCAAAGUUUUUGGUGCUGAGCGACAUGGUCGUGCAAGAGGAGUUGGAGGUGGUGUUCCUCCUACAAAGCUUGGAAUAUUUUCACAACAAAAAUUGCGUAAUCACCAAAUGGAUGAAAAGGUGCACAAUUUAACUAAUCAGGUCAGAGCACUGACAGAAUUGGUGUAUCUUUUUAUGAAAAAUCAGGUUAGUGAUUUAAUAACAUUGGUAUCAUAUUGAAUAUUUGUGAAAUCAGUUUUAGUGACACAUCAAAUCACAGGGUAAUGAUCUACCAAGUGAGGCAUCUCCUGACACACAGGUUGCAGCUCCUGAGGCACAUGUUGAUACUGUCGCAAGAACUGAAACUUGUCUUUCCCAUUGCGCAACAAAUGAAUCGUGGUGGCGAGGUUGAUACACUUUUUCAAUGAGCCUUCUAACUAUUAAUGCUCAUUGACUCUGUUAAAAGCUCUGCCAUUUUCAAUCUAACUAGACACUAGAAAUGAUCAUUGACUCUGUUAAAAGUUAUGAUGUUUUGGUCCUUCUCCAUAGUUGCGCAUCUACUGAUGUCUAUUUUUUUUCAAAUACUGCAGGUUAUUUCUGAAAACAUUGAAACAUCGUGGUGUACCAGAUGGUUUGAUUAUAAGACACCUUCCUUUUGGUCCACCAACUUAUUUAUAACUGCUAAAUGGUACGUAGUGUGAUAAUUUUCAAAUAUUUUGAUAUUAAGACAGGUGUAGGACAACAUAGAAAUUCUUAGGGCCUUCAGCAACAAAAUUAUGAAAAAGUGAGUGAGAUACAAUUAAAAAAAUGAAAGAGAAGGAUCAUGAUUCAUGAUCUAAAGGUUUGAAUAGGGUAGAAAGGAUUUAGUUUCGUUGUUAAAAUCGAUUGUGAGUCUAUUGUUAUUGUAUUGUCAAUUUGUUUAUUUACUUGAACUUCCUAGUAUCAAUUUGGUUCGAUAUAUCUAGCACCACCAUAGAUAUAUCUAGUAUCAAUUUGGUUAGAUAUUGUCAAUUUGUUAUUGUAUUGUCAACUAUAGAAUGUGCAUCAGUUGUAAAAGGAACAAAACAAUUCAGAUUUUUUGUUUAUGUCCAAACUUAGAAUUGUAUUGUAAUUGACAAUUUCUACUAAUUAAUUUAAAGUAUUUGGAGUUUAAUAUGUUUAUGAUCAAUAUUGUUAUCCUUCUAUUGUAUCAGUUUAGAUGUUAUGAAGUGAGGUCUGUCUAAAAAUGAUAUGCUAAAUAUAGAUGUAAAUUACGGCAUCUAAAAUCAGCAAUAAUUGUUGAUGGUAGUCUUUUUUUACGAUGCACGAUGUAUGCCGUAAUCACCUUCACAAUAUUACGACACUCAACAAAUGCUGUAUCAAAUAUAAAUUACUGCACACAAGUAUGUCGUAAUUGUUUUUCAGUAUUACGACACCCUAUUAACGCUGUAACUAAUACCAAUUAAGGCGCGUAGGACAUGCCUUAAGAACAUUUAUGGCGUGUUUUACUUAAAUUAUUCACUACUAUUAGAGUACGUCGUAUUUGUCAAAACAUCUUUUACAACAGGGGCUUUUACUGCUUGGAGGCUCACGUCGUGAAUUUCCAUUUACGGCACCCUUUGUGCGCCGUAAAAGGCCAAUUCUAUUGUAGUGAUCCAUGGGUACAUUUUUAAUCUACAUGUUUCGUUUUAAUAUAUCUAUUGCUAUAAUAUGUUUUGGUUGGUUCAAAUUCGUUUUACAUAAAUAUAUGGGUACAAAGUUUUUGGAGAAUAUUAUGUAAAAUGGUUUUUAAGGUUGUUGCAUUUUAUGUACCCACAUAUGCAUGUCUAUAAAACAAUGUGGUAUGAUGUACAUUCUUUUCCUUGAGUUUUUAAAUGUACCCAUGAGUUUUCUUGUAAAUUCAGUAUGUAUCCAUAUGCUAUUUAUGUUAUGGGUACAUAAAUUAUUUUUGGUCUAAGUUGGUGGGUACAUUGCUUUUGUAUGUAUGAAUUCAUUGGGUACAUUAUUUCCCUUAAUACUACUCAAUAAAAUUCACAAAAAUAUGUGCAGUGUGCAUGAAUUUUUAUUGUAGAAAUUGUUUUUUUUUAAUUUUUAAUUUUUAAGUCUCAUAAUUCGUGAAUUUUGUACAUAUUGAUCCCAUAAAUUUUUGAAUUUUAUUAAAUUUCUUUUAGACUUGAUCGAUUGAUUGAAUCUCAUAAUAAUCCCUUAAAUGUUCCAAUCAAUAUUUUAAAUUACAGCUUUUUAUUUAAGAUUUCAAAAAGAUGACAUGAAAAUAUAGUAAUACUAAAAUUUUAUUUUAAAUUACAUUUGUGUAACAAUCAAUGGUAUGUUAAAACUGGGCAAAAAAAAAAGGUAUAUUAAAAAAUUAUAAUUUAUUCUUUUUUUCAUAACUGUCUUCUGCUUAGAUUAAAUUUUUACCAAUUUGGGGGAAUUAGUUCUUACCAAUAUAUAUGCACAGUAUUUGCUUUUUACCUGGGCUUAACACAUGAUUAAUUACUUUCCUACCUGCUAACGCGUUGAUUUGCGCAUCCAAAGUAUUAUCAAAGUCACUGCCACCAAAAAGGUGCCCACUCCACAACCUUUGGUUGAACCAAAGAACAUCACAACAAUAAGGAAAUCGUUAAAUCUAUCUCCGCAACAUUUUUAUUAAUCAUUAGAUAGAUUAAACGAUUCCCCUGUUCAUAUUGUGUUCUUUUGUUGAACCAAACCAUGUCAACAAAAUAUAUCUAUGGUUAAGCAUCUAGAUUCAUGCUUUUGGAUGUGCAUCUUAAACCCCUCAAUGAAUAGCCAAGCAAUUUAUCAUGUGUUUACAGUAGGUCAAAAGAAGAAAGUGUUUGUCUAUAUAUUGGUAGGAACCAAUUCCUCUGAAGAGGAGAGAUGGAAGUGAUGAUAAUACUUUAAAUAAUCAAAGCCCAAACAUUUUAUCAAAUUUCAUCUCUGUACUCCACGGAGACACUAAAUGAGACAUAUCUGGUCCAUCUCUGAACAUCUUUUCUUACCGUUCUUACAAUAGAAAGGGCACAAAAUUGACUUACACAGUCUUGCACAAUACUCACUUUGCUUCAACCCAUAUUUCACUUUGUCAAAUCAUACACGUUCCUGCAAUAGGUGAACUCAUAUGUAUCUACCACUUCUUGCUAAUUUUAAUUUUUCCAUUCCCAUUUUUGCUACAAGUUUCACAUAAAUUUUUUAUUGCACUUGUCAAUUCUUUAUACUUUUUUAUUGUAUUUUUUUUUUGUCUUUUUUUUGUAUUAAACAAUUACAUGUCCUCCAAAAGUUUUGCUUAUUGCCCUAUUUCAUCAAGCUCGGUAUAAAUAGAUCUUAAUUUUUUACUACAGUUAAAUACAUGGACAUGCCUCCACAAAUACAAAUUAGUUCUUGCUUAAAUACUUUGUGUGUUUACAUAGAAAAUGUUCCCAUCGUCUACCAAAAUCCUCCACACAUGAAAACAAAAAUUCUUACUCAAAAAUACAUAUUACAAUACCACCAUAUCUGUUGUUUUUUAUUAAAUUAACACACUGUUUUCAAUUUUAUCUUUAACACAAAAGAAAAUGCUCUUACACAAUAUGCUUGUUUACAUUUUAUAACUUAUCUACCACAUGUUAAUCGCAAUUAUAUAAAUAGGAAAACACGUGUCAAUAGAAGUGUGAUGCAUGCUACUUCGUUAACAAUAGUGGCAACUAAACAAUUAAAUAAUUUGUUUCAAUUAGUUAGUACAUUUUAUAAAUUUCUUAAUUAGAACUGUUUCAGUAUAUUCAAUACAUUUUUAAACAACUUUCCAGUUAGUUGCCCAAACUAAUUAUUCCAGCUUAUUCAUAGUAUAAUACCAACAAUUUAACAACCAAUGAUACUUCGUUUAACAUAAACUUCAUUUGGAAAAAACAAAAAAAUAUCUUUUUCUCUGCUGAAAAAUCCAACAGAGUUAUUGAUGCAGAUCAGUUAUACCAACAAAUUACCAUAGUUUACCCAAUGCUAUACAGGUUUGACUUUUGUUUAUAUUCUUGGAUCUGUUGCUUGGUUGUAUAAUUUGGUUGUGUGUUUUGUUUCAGGACAAUUUGUUCUUCGUUUCUUGAGGCUUUUGUGUGUAGAUUUGAAACCGUUUAGCUUUCAAGCCGUGUAUACUCAAGGUAAAUAAUUUCGUUUUUUUCUUUGUAACCUUUUUUGUAAGAAAUUUUUAUUUAAUGUUGUGAGAGUUGUGUUUUCUAGAGUAUGAAAAUUGAAUCUUUGUGAUCUUAUAUCCUUAGAUAUGUUUCUUGGUUAUAUGAUUUGGCUGUGUGCAUUGUUUCAGGACAAUUUGUUCUUCGUUUUUUGGGGCUUCGGUGUGUAGCUUUGAAGCCUUUUGUAGUCAACAUAAAUAAUUUUAUUUUUCUUUGUUUCUAGUCUUCUUUGAAAGAAUUUCUUAGUUAAUAUUCUGAGAAUUAUGUUUACUAUAGUAUGAAAAUUGAAUCUUUGUGAUCUUGUAAGUGAUGUAACGUCAUUGCAACAUGUAUGACUGCCAUUAUCGAACAUGAAGAGCUUUUUGAUUUUUGUACUCCGUCCUUUCAUACGAUCUGACUCAAAAAUUGUUUCAUCACAGGUUCUAACAUGAUUUUUGCGACGUCUUAUGAAAAUACAAUGUCACUUCUGGUAUUCCAACUUAAACAAAUUACAAGGGAUGUCUAGUUUUAAACCUGCAGUUAGUAUAUACUAAAACGACGGUUUUGGCCCUGCUCUCGACUUCUUCAGAAACCUCGAGAAACUUCAAACUGAGAAAGCUUCUCCCUUCCAUCUCUGCUACGCGAUCUCUGCUUUGCGAUCUCUGCUUCCUCCGUGAUUUCUUCCCUCCUGAUCGACAUCUAUUCGAAUUGAAAACCUUCUGGAGCUCUCUUCCCCAAAUUUCAGCAGCAACUUUGCUCCAGAUCUUUCCAAUUGAAAUUCCUCUCCUUCACAUUUUGCAUAUUGAAUUUCGCAUCAUUAUCAUCUCCCUAGAACCUAGGAGUUUGGUUCGGUUUCGAGUUUUCCGACGGAAAUCCGGCGACAGCGGCCAUCGAGGUUGGUCUGAAACUAUUCCUCAUCACCACAAGUACUUUCUACACCUAUUACACUUUAGAAAAAAUUUCAUGAUUUGGUGGAAUCCAAUUUAAUGAUUAGAAAAAUUUUCAUUAAUUUUCUGGGUUCGUGGGUUGGAGGUGGAUUAGAAAUUUUUUCAUUAUUUUUCUGGGUUUGUGGUUUUUUUCCAAAACGUUUUUCCUUUCUACUAAUCCAAGUUCCUUCACAUCAAUCUCUCUGUUUCGUUCUUGAUCUUCCGCGAGUAGAAUACCUCUCCUUGCUCUCGAGCGCGUGGGCAGUCGCUCCAAGGCAGCCCAUGACGUCAUUUUCCGAUUCGACUCGGAGGAGGUUGGCUGCUCUUCUUGGCUGAGCUUCAUGGCUGGCCGAAUUCCCCUAUUCCCUUCCUCUUAUACUCUUUUGUAUUCGUUCACCAAAACAAUAGGAAAACGUCUCCGUCUGUUUGAUUGACGGCGAAGAAAAAAAGACGGAGAUAAAAGCCUGACGGAAGCUGAAAGCUUGGACUCUGUUUGUAUUUUUAAUGGAUUUUCAGAACACAGGUCAAGAAUACUGCGAUUUGAGAAAGAAAGAAAGAACCACGUUGACAUAAUAUAUUCACAAUAGGCGUACAUAAAGCUUUACUGUGGUUCCAUUUUUUUGCAUAUUUCAAAGGCUCUGAAUUGUUAAGGGAAUUAGCCUUUUGUUUUAGGAAGAACUUGGAACCCCCUCCGUCCAUUCUAUUCCCGAUGGAAUUAACACUUAGAUAGUACUAUGACAAUGUGUCAUUAAUUGAUGCAUACCUGUAUAAAUUUAGGCCAAGUGUUUUAUACACAAAUUGAUACAGAUUAAGCUUCUGGGUCGAAAUCAUAUACCGGUGAGCUAACUACACAAUGAUACAUUCUUAUCUGUUAAUUAUCUUUGGUUACCAGCUAUCCAUGUUGCUGACAUAUUAAACUACACAACAUCUAUUGUAAUUUAUGUCUUAUUAGUAUCAUCACUUUUGUUCUUUAUUUCAAUGUCUAACAUAAUGAUCUGGUUUCAAUUUGCUACAGGCAUUAUUUCCAGACAAUAGCUAUGGUUUUGAUUGUAGCGGUGACUGAAAAAUUAUUCCGAAACUAACAUUUGAGGAAUUCAAGGUUUGUUAGUUAAUUUGUACAUCAGAAUACCAUGACAAACUAUGAAGUUGUAAUUGUUGACCUUACAAUGUAUCUUUUUUGGUUUGGAGCAUUAGACUUAUAUGUGUUGCUUUCACUUCAUGAAGGCUAACUCUUUAUUUUAGGCCUUAGAAUAUAAUUUUUUGGAGAAUCUACAUUGUUGAUAAUUUUUUGAACAAUAUUAUCCCCAAAAUUUCUCCGCAUGUUACCCUCAACGUAGACAUCAUAUAACCAUCAUUGAACUUCUGAACCAAAAAUUUGAGUUUUAUGAUUAUAACUAAACGUCUAUAAACACAUGAUACAGAUUGAGACGAAUGUCAAAUUUAAAAUGGCAUUAAUCAGGACAGCUGCAAACUCUGAUUUGCGGCCUUUGAAAUGGAGCAGUUACUUCUUGCUUCACUUCAACAGCAUAGUCCAGCUUCUAAAUUCAGUUCUCAGGUAUGAGGUUUCUCAGUUACCUCUUUUUUGUAAUAAAACAUUUGAUCAGUACUUGCCAGGAUAUCCAAUUAAUUAGGUCAGUUUUUGUUAGCGGUAAUAAUUUGUUUUUGUAGCUUUAUAUGUGUCUCUGUCUCCAAAUAUGAUGAUCUCUUAAUUUGCUUCUAUAGCUUUUGUAAUAUAAUGAUCUCUUAAUUUGCUUUUGCAUAUCUUCUUUGCUUCCUCUGCUAGCUCUAUAUGAGAUUCCAUCUCCAAAUAAUUAUUCCUUAUUUCCUAUUUUUACAGGAAGCAAAUCAUUGAAUACACAUGGAAAAUUAAAAGGGUUUUAGUUUUUGGAGUAGUUUAAAUUUUUUGUUUGUUAUUGCUUGUAUUGCUGUUAAAUAUUUGAUGGGUAGUUUGAAAUGGGGAACUUGGUUGAUUGAGUAUUAACUUUUAUUAAAUUAAUAUUCUUAUUCAAUAUUGAAUUAAGACUCCUCUUAUUAAAUUAAGACUCUUAGAGUGCGUUUGUUGCGCCAGACUGUCUCGGACUGGACUAGCUGCCGGGACUAAGCUGGACUGGCUUAGACUGGACUAAGCUAGACUAACUUAGUGAAGCGUUUGGUGUAAUGUCGGACUAAGAAGCAGGAUAAGAAAAACAGUACUGUUCACCAGAUUUGUGUUUGCUUAGACUAGGAUUACAAAUUUUUGCCAUUGUGUAAUAGAGUAAUGCUACAAAUCUCAUGAUAUGGGUUAAUUGGAGCAUAUUUUUGCCAUGUAUAUUAUGAAUCUUAAAAAAAAUUGACAAUUGUUUUGUUUCUAUUACCUGCUAAUAGAAUUGGGUUUAAUUUGCAAAUGUAGCUUAGUUUAAACUCUAUCACCCAACAGAAGAAAAAUAAUAGUGCCCAAUACAUGCAACUUCAACAAAUACAAGUACAUAAGAAGAUCUCCAUAAUUUAGAAAAUCCUAGUUAACAUUAGUUAACAUUAGCCAAAAUAGAUCUCCAUAAUUUACAAAAUGGCUAGUUAACAUAAGCCAAAAUACUAGUGCAAAGCUAAGUUAUAAGCCAUAACAUAAGAUUGUAUGAUUAAUAAAAUACAUCCAUGUUAACAUUAAUAAAAUACAUCCAUGUUAACAUUAGCCAAAAUCCUCAUCCGCUUGCGUUGUCGCUUAAAAGCCUUUGGACGAACACUUUCUUGAGUUCCGGUUUGAUUGCCCUGAACACUCCCACAUUUUUUGGUUUAUCCAAAAUAAGAGACAAUGCAUCAAUUUGAUCCAUAGGAGAGAGACCCAUUACUUCAAGUUCAUUAGCUAUGUCAGUAUGAUCUGCAAUACCUUGAACUAAAGCUUCAGUUACCAUUUGCAUCCUCUUCCCACUUUCAACAUAAAAAUCUUUCAGUCCACUGAUAAUUGCCUCGGUUCCAUCACUUGAAUUUCCCACAGCUCUUUUCCUCUUUCUUUGGCUAUUUUCAGAUGGGGUGCUUUGUUGGCUUUGUUGGUUCAUUGAAGAAACAAAAUUUUCACCUCCAAUAUCACUUUCACCAACAUGAUCAUGACUUUGUUCCUCCACCAUUUGAGCAGGGGUUUCGGCUACAUUACCCGUAGCCCGAUCUUUUCCAAAUAUAUAUGCAAAUCUAUCAAACAGUGGAAAAGGUUUGCUUCUCCAUCCAUCGGCUUCUUUAUUUCUCUAAGAUUAUAUCAACAUAGCAAAACUAAAAUUUAGCAUGCGUAACAAAUAUAGCAGCAAGAAUAUAACUAAUGUAUAAAUAAAAUAGGAUAUGAACCUGCACAUAAGUUUGCCAUGAGUCAUCACUGUCAACUUCAACGCACUUUUUGACAUCAUUUCAUGCAAAUCCACUUGUGUUUAUCAUGUCAACGACCAUACUAUAUGUUUUUUUCCAUUUCUUCAACUUGGACUCAAUAUGUGGAUUUGCCUUUAUAUUUGAAUGAGGACAUAAAACAUUGACAACUUUUGCUAUUUCAACCAAAGUACCUUGUUUGAAAGCACCGGUGUCACACCGUUGCUUCCGAGCAACAAAAUCCUCAAGAACUCCUAGUAAUACUUCUUCCUCAAAUGCUUCCCAUUUACGCCUUCUUCCUUUUGGCUCUUGAGUAGCAUUCAAAAUAUUUUCGUUAUCCAUACCUAAACAAAAAAUAUUUUAAUGAAGGAAAAUACCAUACAAAUAAUCAAUUUGCAUAAUAUCCAAUCAACUUGCAUAAUAUCCAAUUAAUUUGCAUACCAUCCAAUCUUUGUGCUAAUAUCUAACAAAUGCAUGAUAAAAAGGAAUACUAAAAUAAAAUGUUAUCAUUAACACAUAUAGCUAGUUCGGUUGCUGGUUCCUAAUUGCUCUCCAUUCAUUAUACAUUUCCUGAGCCAUGUCAUUCCUCUUUGCAGUCCACUGGUCAGAUGUUUGAACACUACCAACAUAUUCACCUUCUUCUGUAUUUUGUCCAUCUUCUAUUAUUGGAAAAUUCUCCAUUGGAUCUACAGACAUCUCUUGCCUAAUAAGAUUGUGUAGUAGGCAACAAGCGGUAAUUAUUCGACCUUGUGUCCUUAUCGGAUAGAAAGAUGGACUCCUUAGUAUCGACCACCUUCCUUUUAGCAAGCCAAAACAGCGUUCAAUUACAUUCCUUGCCUUAGAAUGCUUCAUGUUAAAAUAUUCUUCCUUAUUAGAAGGUGUUCGUCCCUCCCAUUCAGAUAAAUGAUAAGGUAUUCCUCUAUAGGGUGCAAGGAAUCCUUCACCAUUUGUAUAACCACCAUCUACAAGGUAAUAAUAACCUAAUGAAAAAAAAAACAGACCUUAUUAGUGUUUUGUAGUUGACAAACAGAACUAGACCUAACUUACAAAGUUGAGACUAAGUAAUAGUCUUACCCGCUGGUACCUUAAAACCAUUAGGCCUAGUAAUUGCAUCAUGUAGCACUCUAGAGUCUGAUGCAGAACCCUCCCACCCCGUAAACACAUAUAUGAACUGCAUAUCUCCUGAACACACACCUAACACAUUAGUUGCGACUCGACCCUUUCUUGUUCGGUAUCUUGGUUUGUCAAUUUCAGGUACAUGCACAUCAAUGUGUGUUCCAUCCAAUGCUCCCAAGCAAUUCUUAAAAAAAAAAAAAAAAGUUUUUGUUAAUUUAUACAAAGGGAAUGAAGAGUUAAAGCUUAGGGAAAAUGAAAAAAAAUUCUCAUCAUACCUUAAAACAUCGCCACCUAGGAUCUGUAGAAUCAAUAGGCACAGGCUGAGGGACUUUUAGUAGGAUACCUUGUAAUCGCAAAAUUCCUUGCAAUACGAUAUUGAAAUACCUACUUAUAGUCUCUCCCGACCUAUAAAAUCUACCGCCAACACUACGAUUCUUAGUAUGAUGUGCUAAUAUUUGUAAAGUCAUACACACAUGCUCCUCUACAGACACCAAACCAUCAGUUUUUACCCUCCCAUCUUGACGAAGUAAGUCACAUAAUAUGCCAAAAGUCCUUCUAUCCAUUCUCAAUUCGUUGACACAUUCAGUAUCAGUAUUCCCUAUUAUACCAUUCAGAUAACACAAACUAAUCUCUCGUCUAAUAAGUGAACGGUUAGUCAAUGUGGGUCGUUCAACAUGUCUCUGUUUGCCACGUAGCAUCAUCAACACAAGAAUCGUACAAAUGCAAAUUGUCUCCAAAUAAGACAUCUCUAACAAUAAGAUCAAUAAAAGCUUCCUUCGAUCCAUAUCUAUCCAAACAAAAAAAAACAAAAAACAAAUUAAGGACAUUAUAUAUGUAAUAUUUACUGUUAUUAAGGGUUAUGGAAAUGAAGUGAUUAUGAUACGAAAUGAACUAGAUCAAAGUAACUAGCGAAGUCACAAUCCGAGGCAUCAAAUAUACGGGUGGUGUUGGAAAAAAAAAAGUUAUCAUUAACCCGAGGCAACAAAUAUACAGGUCAGAUGCACACACUGCAUACACACUCACACACAUACUCACACGGACAUACACACUAUCACACACGGACAUACACUCACACACACCCUACAUACAUACAUACAUACACACACACACUGCAUACAUACACACACACACACACUGCAUAUAUACACACACACACACACUGCAUACAUACACACACACACACACACUGCAUACAUACACACACACACACACACACACACACUGCAUACAUACACACACACACACGACAUACAUACACACACACACACACACACUGGUCAGAUGCACUGCACUCACACGGACAUACACACUCUCACACACUGACAUACAUACACACACACCCUGCAUACAUACACACACACACACUACAUACACACACACACACACACACACACACACUGCAUACAUACAUACACACGCACACACACUGCAUACACACACACACACACAUUGCUUUAUGAAAACCCCAAAUUCCAAAUUUGAAACCCCAAAUUCCAAAUUUCUAAUCUCAAUUUCAAACCCCAAAUUCCAAAUUUCUACUACAUACUUACAUACACACACACUGCUUUAUGAAAACCCCAAAUUCCAAAUUUCAAACCCCAAAUUCCAAAUUUCUAAUCUCAAUUUCAAACCCCAAAUUCCAAGCUUUAUGAAAACCCCAAUUUCUAAUCUCAAUUUCACCCAAAUAUCAAAACCCUAAAAUUUGUUCAACUGCAGAAUCAAAUAAAGCUCAAACCCAAAACAAAUCCGCCCAAAUCGACGAAAAAAAUCCACCCAAAUCGACGAAAAAAAUCGAACAAUCGAAGCUUACCAGACAACUGGAGGCAGAUGAGGGCGAGCAGAUCUGUUACGUGAAGACGAGGGAGUGGACGACGAGAGGAACAGAUGAGGAGCAUGAUGCAGAUGAGGGCGACCAGGAUGCAGCUGACGGCAAGCAGGAUGCAAAGAUAAGGAUGAGGAGGACGACGUGAGGGAGGAGGACGUCGACGACACUCUCUCCUAGGAUGAUCGAGGUUCUUUCUCGCAAGAGCGCAAUCGGAUGAGGAGGACGACGUGAGGGAGGAGGUUUUAUGAAUCUGGACGUUUUUGGGGUGGUUCGCUAAGAACUCCUAGCGAGGGUUUAAUCCGUGCGAGUCAGAUCUAAUCCCAUUAAACCUAAUCCUUGCCCCUACCAAACAUCAGACUACAAUACCAAUUAGUGGAGUCCAGAACAGUCCCCCCUAAGAAGGUCAAACAAACACGCCCUUAAGGCUCUAAUCUAAUGUUCAUGCUCAACAUCUCCUCUAUCUUUCUACGAUUGGUAAAACUUUUGUAUUAUUAUUCCAAUUUUGGUUACUGGGUUGUGGAAUUUUCCAUUUUUUUUCUCGGUAAUCAAUACUAUAUAUAUGCAUGACAAGUAUAAACAAUAUUUUGGGGCAAAUUUAGUUGUUUAAUUUUUAAUUUUUAUGUGACAGUGAGAUUAUGGUAGGAUUUCGUUUAGAUUCUGCGGCCCAAUGGGAGUCUCUGCUUUGAUAAGAUUGGGGUUGAUGCCAAGAAAGCCAAUAAGCCUACUGUGGACGCCGUAGCCGCCUGGCGCUGUUUUCCAAAAUCCUCUCUCACUUGGUUAAGCAAUUAAGACUUUUUGGUUCAGUUUUUAUUAUGCCCAAUUUUGUAUUUAAACCUUAAAAAAAUUUAAACUGAUUUGGGGAUACUGAAAUAGGCUGCAGAGCUGCCAUCCCUGAAUCAGAAGAUGUUCAGAAGGAAGAAGAAGAAGAAGAAGAAGAAAGUCGUGGAAUAUCAAAAGCUUUUAGCUUUGUGAAAGUAUGCUUUUUCCCAACUCACCUCUUGCUUUUGUUGCACUGAAUUGGUAGAUUGGGUUCAAAAAUAUAUAUAUGUGAUUUUUCGUGUAACUAUUUCUUUACAUAAUUACCAAUUGGAGGUGAUUUUAGAUCAUGUAACAUUUCCUCGCUAGAACCAAAGAUUGUCGUCGCUCAGAGCUGCGUUUCAUGAAACAAGUUCAUCUCCUGCCAAAUUUGUGUACCCACCUUUUAUUCAUGAGGGUUGGUGCUUGCUUGCAACACAAUUUGGUGUUAUUAAGUUUUGCGGUUUUACAAUUUGUUCAUGCUUAAACCUCUUUCAAAUUUUCAUUUCUGUGUAAAUCUUGCAGGUAGGACGACACACCUAUCUUGGCAAUGUCGGGAUGUCUAGGCUUGGUGGAGACGUGGUCUUAUGGAAGAGGUGAAGUAGCUUAGCUCGAUCUCAUUAGCUCUUAUCUGUUCUAUUAUGUUAAGAUCAAUAGUAAAAAGUUCUAUUGAUUUUAUAAUCAAAGAUACAUAUAUUAUAGAAAUAGAGGGUAUAUCAUUAAUUUCUUGAUGUAAACAAUCAUAACUUGAGGAACCAUUUAAAGUAUUUUGGUAAUCAACAUACUUAAACUUAAAUGUGAUAUAUCCAUUUAGUAUUUUUUUUAUACAAUGAUAAUACUUAAGUAUAAUUUACAUCAUAUAUCUUUUGAAGUACAUGAAACUAUGAAGAAAAUGAUAAACCAAAUCCCAUUCCAUCUCUGUUUGCUACUGCACAAUCACAAUCCAAUUCCAACAUGGAAUCCUCAGACGACAUGCCUACUGCAGAACAAGUUUCAUACUGACUUAACUUAUAUUUAGUCCACGUCCUGUUUAGAUUGUAAUCCUAGUUCUACGUGUGUUUGUAUAGUACUCCUAUAAAUAUCAAUGAACAUCGCUCACUCUAAUUAAGAGUUGAGAUUUUGCAAAUCAUAUUUACUAUCUUUCAUGGUAUCACGAGCCAGCGUCUAACGACAACGGUUCCUAUUAUAAUUUUUUUCUCUUUUGCAGAUCCUAAACUAUGGCAUCUUCUUCCUCCUCCGCUGCUCCCUCCAUCACAAAUUUUCUUACGAUCAAGCUCGACCGCAACAACUACCCUCUCUGGCAUGCUCAGUUUCUUCCCUUGCUGCGCAGCCGCAACUUACUCUCUUAUGUUACUGGCGAAACUCAAUGCCCCUCUGCCUUUCUUCUUGAUGACAAUGGUAAAUUCACCGACAAAGUCAUUCCAUUAUAUAAUGAAUGGAUCCAGACUGACCAGAUGAUCCUAUCUUGGAUUACGAGUUCUCUUACUCCCAAGGUUCUUGCUACGAUCGUCAACAAAAUUGAUUCGGCCUCUGCUUGGUCGUCAAACCCGAAUUAAUCUAAUUGUGGGGGUUUUGUUUUAUAUCAAUAUAUUGCAACAGAAGUCACACUUUGAAGAGUUCAUGCUGCACAGAAAGAUGAUGAAAUGUUACCCGUUGAGUCUAUCAUUGCUCCAUUGGAGACAGAGCUGAAGCUUACUGCAGGAGUUAUACAGUUGUUAUGCAAUAUGACCCCUUUAAUUUUAUUUUAAAACUGAUACAAAAUACUACAAAAAUUUAUGUAGUAUUUUUGUAUUAGUUUUGAGUGUCUAUUUUGGCUUCCAUAUAUCGUCUGUACAUGUGAGAGGUAUAGUGUUCAAUAUGUAUUUGGUUUCUAUAUUGUUAAUGGAUCCUUUUUUUUUUAAUUUAAUUUAAUUUUAUUAAGGUAACCAAGUUGCAGGAUGACAUCAGAACACUUGAUCUGCAGGUAAACCUUCAAUUUCCAUAUGAAGUUUGCAUGUUCGUUGUUUCUGGAAUUUGAGUUUUUAUUAUUUCUCAAUUCUAUCACAUAGAUUAUGAUUUCACAUAUGGGAUUAUUAAUGGCAAUUAUAUGAUAGAAGAAUUGGGAUUAGAAGAAGAUAUUGAGUUGUUUUAUUUAUGGGGAUUAGAAAAUGAUUAUCAUACGAGUGAUAUUUAUUUUUGUGUGGAUUGUUAAUAUAUAAAACUAUAAGCUUUUGAGAUUGGGAGAUAAAACCCACAAAUUCAAAUCAGACAAAAUAAAUAAAAAAUUUAACUGACUUAAAGAUCAAACUCCAAAAGGGUAUUAAAAACAAGGCUUAUUUGAUCCAUUGAGUGUGAAAGUUUUGAGCUUUGAAGAAGCAUAGGAGGAGAGUUGUUAACCAAGCUGCAUUAUCCAUGUAUUAGGAUGUUGAGGGUAGGCAGGAAAAAUACUUUUUGACGCCAUAUCCAGAGGAGCAUAACGACAGGCCUGCAUUUUUGCAGCAAGGACCAAAACAAGUAGAAGUGAAGGCUUGACUAUUUGGGUAUUAAUCCUAAACCUAAUUAUUCUUAUUUAGGUUUAGGAUAAAUGAUUGAGUGUGUCUCGAUGAUUGUAUUACCAUGUUUGAUGAAUGACUUGAGGAGUUGGAAAUGCUUUAUUGCUUAUGUUUUUCUUAGGUGUGUACUUUGGUUAUUUCCGAGCUUUUCACGACUCUUGAUACCUAAUAGAGAAUAUGGAAACCCCAACUUUAAUUUUAUGAAUUGGUUUUGGUGCCUAAAAUGAAAUCUAGCAUAGUGAAAUCUUGCAUAAUGAAAUUAUGACAAAUUUCCCUUCAUCUUUAGAUUUUCAUUUAGUUCAAUUUGUAUGCAAUUUAGGGUUAUUCAAUUCAUGAGUGAUCAAAUUAUGUUUUUAAUUCCUUCUUCUUUUGAUUUACAGUUCAGCAUUGUCGUACAAAAUGAAAAAGGUGCCAGUAACAGAGUUAUGGAUUUGGAUGCCUUUAGUGGAAUAAAACUGAAUUUUUUAACUUUGUAUAGUUGUAAACAUAAAAUACUCCAUCAGAUAGACUCAUAGCAUUUGAAAACAAUCCUUGAGGAUGGCAUAACAACAUCUCCAACUUUUGUCAUGUAAUGUAUGAAUGUAAAUAGCACUUUGUAAACAUAUGGAUGUAAUAUAUGUAUAUAAACAGUCUUUAGCAUGUAUAUUUUUCAAAACUUUCUACAUCUUCAACAAUGUUUCAAUGAUUUCUUGAUGUAAACAAUGAUAAUUUGAAGAACCAUUUAAAGUAUUUCGGUAAUCAGCAUACUUAAGCUUAAAUGUGAUAUAUCCGUUUAGUAUUUUUUAUACAGUGAUAAUACUCAAGUAUAAUUUACAUCAUAUAUCUUGUGAAGUACAUGAAACUAUGAAGAAAAAACCCUAAUUAAUCUGAUUAUGGGGGUUUUGUUUUAUAUCAAAAUAUUGCAGCAGAAGUCACACUUUGAAGAGUUCACGCUGCACAGAAAGACGAUGAAAUGCUAUCUGUUGAGUCCAUCAUUGCUCCAUUGGAGACAAAGCUGAAGCACACUCCAGGUGGUAUACUUUUGUUCUGCAAUAUGACCACUUUAAUUUUAUUUUAAGACAGAUAGGGUUGAAAAGAAUUUAUGUAGUAUUUUUGUAUCAGUUUUGAGUGUCUAUUUGGACUUCCAUAUUUGGUCCGUACAUGUGAGGUAUAGAGUGUUCAAUAUGUAUUUGGUUUCUAUAUUGUUAAUGGAUCUUUUUUUUUGUUUUAUAGGUAACCAAGUUGCAAGAUGAAAACAGAACACUUGAUCAGCAGGUAAACCUUCAAUUUCCGUAUGAAGUUUGCAUUUUUGUUGUUUCUGGAAUUUGAGUUUUUUGCAGGAUGAAAACAGAACACUUAAUCUGCAGGUAAACACUUGAUUGGUUAUUUCCAAGCUUUUCACGACUUUCGAUACCCAAUAGAGAAUAUGGAAACCCCAACUUUAAUUUUAUGAAUUUGUUUUGGUGCCUAAAAUGAAAUCUAGCAUAGUGAAAUCUUGCAUAAUGAAAUUAUGACAAAUUUCCCUUCAUCUUUACAUUUUCAUUUAGUUCAAAUCGUAUGGUUUAGGGUUAUUCAAUUCAUGAGUGAUCAAAUUAGGUUUUUAAUUCCUUCUUCUUUUGAUUUUCAGUUCAGCAUUGUCGUAUUUUGGAUGCCUUUAGUGGAAUAAAACUGAUUUUUUUUUAACUUUGUAUAGUUGUAAACAUAAAAUACUCCAUGAGAUAGACUCAUAACUUUUGAAAACAAUCUUUGAGGAUGGCAUAACAACAUCUCCAACUUUUGUCAUGUAAUGUAUGAAUGUAAAUAGCACUUUGUAAACAUAUGUAUGUAAUAUAUGUAUAUAAACACCACUCUUUAGCAUAUAUAUUUUUCAAAACUUUCUACAUCUUCAACAAUGUUUCAAGCCCCGCAGCAACGGGCGGGUACACUUGAUAGUAUACAUCUAAAAUUAUAAGACUAAAUCCUUUAGUUCUUGGAUUCAUCUAAGAACUACUUAUUCCAGCAGAUGCUAUGCUUGCACUACUAGAAUUUAUGGCUUGCCCUGUCAACUAUUGCGCGACAGAAGAUUUCGUCGGUUUCACUUUUUUUAACCGACAUAAUAUAAGUUUAGUAGGGCAAAAUCAGUCAACAAACUGGGUUGACUGAAUAAAUUUACAGGAUGGCUAGAGUUCGUAGGUUAAGACAUCAGUCGUUGGGCAAACAUUUGGAGCGAAGAUGUGAGUGUUUUAACUGACGAAUAAGCUGGUCGUCAUGUAGAUCUUCUUUCCCGACUGACGGUUCAACAUGUAGCUCUUUGGAUAAUAAUUCAUCUUCAAGGGGAACAGGUUGCCCCUCAGAUGAAUGGUUAGAGGCAAUUGUGAGACUAUAAUUUUCUAGGGCCGAAAUAAAAAAUACAUAAACCCUCACUCAUUCUGUCUCUGUAACCAUCCACCAAAUACCCUUUCUUCCCUUUCUAUUUCUCUCCUAGUAAUAUCCCCUGACCGAAUCACACAAUCCAACCAACUCUCUUUAAGCCUCCCUCACUGAUUCCAUGGAUUUCAUGGACUUAUCCCACCCUCUCUCCUUCCCUCUAUAUAUAGCAAGUCCCCUUGCCUCAGUGUCCCUGGCAACAGAAUUUAUGGCAUUUCUUCGUUCUUUCAAUUAUUUGAAAGCUUCCUAGCCCUGCAAUCUUGUACAAAGGCGUAUGGUGUUUCAUCAGUUCCAUUUGGUGGUUGGGUGGGAAAUGAAAUUAAAACACUGCAUUUCAAAUGCAUUUCAAAUGGUCUAAACCAAAUUGAAUCAAAUGUGAAGCAAAGGGCAAGAGGUGUAGAUUGAAGAACAAUGGCACCAAGAGCGAAAUUGAACUUGUUGACAGGAGGAAACCAAGUAAGGAUAACACGUCUAAAUCUUAUUUUGAAUCCAUUCAGCUCAUGAUGUUUUGAAUGAUGAUGAUCGGUAUACUCUGCUACAUGCUGUGAUUUUUCCGCUUUCAUGUAAUUAACGGCUUAUAUGUGGUAACGAUAUUGAUUAAAAAAGGUCGUACCCAGUGCAUAAGGCUCCCGCUUUACGCAGGGUCUGGGAGAGGUGAAUGUCGGCUAGCCUUACCCCCAUUUUAUGGAGAGGAUGCUCCAAAGUCUCAAACCCGAGACCUACCGCUCAUGGGCGAAGGCAUUUGCCAUCGCACCAAAUGCGAUAUUAAUUAAUUUCGAGAAAUGACAGUCUGAUUUUUGCAACUGUCUUUUGCAGGCAAAACAAAGACGUUUGCAAGGGUGAGUUGUGUAGGAGCUUUGUUUCAUGUCCAAAUGACACUUGAGAAUAAAUGUUUACACUCAUGGAUAAUAUCUAUCUAUUUGCAGGAGCAACCCUGGGUUCAUUUGUUCUGUAACUGCUGGUCAUUGCGGCAUAUCACGCCUAUAGCACUGACAAAAGUAAAAAGAGAAUCGAAUGAAAUUUGAUAAGUUUUCAGCGGACUACAAAGAUCUUAAGCCAAGCAUAUAUUCCCAUGCAGAUAUUAAGAGGUUUACAAAUCAAUUCAAGUACAAGUUGGGCCAAGGAGCAUACGGAACUGUUUUUAAACGAAAGUUUUUUUCUGAAUGCUUUGUUGCCAUGAAAGUACUUAACAUUUCCAAGGGUGACGGGGAAGAGCUUGUAAAUGAAGUGGGAACAAUGGGCCAUAUUCACCAUGUCAAUGUGGUUCACUUGGUUGGUUUUUGUGCUGAUGGAUUUAGAUGAGCUCUGGUUUAUGAGUUCUUUCCCUUUGGUUCACUCCAGGAUUAUAUUUCAUCAGCAGAUAGAUUUCUUUCCUUGGUUGGCAUAAGUUGCAAGAUCUUGCUAUCAGCAUAGCCAAAGGAACUAGGAAUGUGAUCUACAAAUCCUCCAUUUCGAUAUCAAACCCCAUAAUGUUUUGCUCGACCAAAAAAUCACGCCAAAAAUCUCUGAUUUUGGUCUGGCCAAGUUAUGCCAAACAAUUACAGACAACAGUUAUUCACUAAAUCACUUUAAGGCAAGAAUUUAAUUAAUAAUACAUUACUGCACUUUCUUAACCAUUUGACUAUCACCUAGCUGACAAUGAACACGUUAGCUCCGCGUUAGAACAUCUUGGGUUCAAUUCAUUGUCUUGAAUAUCACCCAUUGUCACAGGCGUCUGUUGGGGGCAUAGAGAAGGCCUGAGAGGCAUUUGCAGACAUUCAACAUCUCCUCCAAGCAUUUUGACAACUUUGGACAUCGAAGGGCGAUCAUUUGGUUUCAUUUGAAUACACCACAAGGCGGUUAUAACCAUCUUUCUUAUUACUUUCUUUUCCUCCUCUGUAACAUUGUCCAUUUCCAGGUCAUUUCCCACAAUAUAUUGAUCGUAUACCCACAUUGGGAAGUAGAUUUGGCUUGAAUGCUCUACCGUUGGAUUCAAAUUCUUCCUUCUGCUUGCCAUUUCCAUCAACAACAUUCCAAAACUAUAGACAUCUGACUUGUAUGAGACGCAUCCAAUAUUUUUGUAGAACAACUCAGGAGCAAUAUAUCCCAGUGUACCCCGUGCUGCCGUCAAAGAGACAAUGCUAUUAUCUACAGGAUACAAUUUUGCAAGCCCAAAGUCAGAAACCUUUGCUUUAAAGUUCUCAUCAAGAAGGAUGUUAUGAGGCUUGAUGUCGAAAUGUAGAAUUUGCAUUUCACAACCUUGGUGUAGAUAUUCGAUCCCUUGAGCCACUCCAAGAGAAAUCUCGUACAUGUUCUUGAUAGUUAAGGGGACACUUCCUUCUUUGGAAUAAAUGUAUUUAUCAAGAGAACCAUUAGGCAUGAAGUCAUAUACUAGAGCGCGUUUUGAUCCCUCAACACAGUAUCCAACAAGUUGUACCACAUUGGCAUGGUGAAUCCUUCCGAUUGUAGCUAUUUCGCUAAUGAAAUCUUGGCCAUCAGCUUUGGGCUUGCCCAAAACUUUAACUGCUACAAAUCGACCACUGCGUAGCUUUCCCUUAAAUACAGAGCCAAAGCCACCUUCGCCCAACUUGUCCUUAAACCUGCGAGUCAUUUUCUUGACGUCCGAGUAAGAGUACCUUAUAAGCAUGAUGUUGUUAUUGCAUUGCAGAAAAUCUUCUAUUGUGCUAUACAUUGAUAAAUGUCUUCUGCGCCAUGUGUAGAUUAGAAAUGCAGUCACAACUGGAACUCCAAAAACAAAUCUGGCUAGGAAAAAUAACCCUGCAUGCAUGGACAAUAAUAUGUUAGAUCCACUGUGUACUACUUUUUCUUCCCUUUCUUUCCAAAUUACUUUAUCUUUGAUGUAAUUAAAGAGAGAGAAUGGGAAAUCUACAUAUGUUGAUAAUAUAAUCUCGUCUUAGUCCUUACCGAUCCAUAUGAGUAUAAACCAUCCAAGUGCUGCAAAAAAAUCAAUCGACUAUGAGUUUGAAAAGUGCAUAAAGUGAAAAAAAAAAAAAAAAAAAAAAAAAUCAAAGGGUGCCUUUAUUGACACCCAAAUUUUAGUUAGUUUUACUCAACUAAAAAAUUUUUGUCAUCAAACUUUUUAAUUUGCCGUCGAAAUUGAGUUCACCCAACCACAAAGCAGCAACUACCACUCACAAAAAAACCAACAACACACAGCCACCAGUACCAUUCACCAAUAGAAAGAGAAGGAACACACAGACCCACCAAGGAGCCGGCAUCGACGCAUCUACGAGGGAGGGACCGGAGGGUGGUGUAGUUUUGUUGGGCGCGCGGUGGUUGUUUUGUUUGUUCAUUUUCUCUUUCUUUUGGUAGGUGGAGGCUGGUGUGGAUUUGGGCGAACUUAAAAAUGAGGGGAAACUAUGAAGUUUGACAAAAUGUUUUAGUUAGGGGAACUUAACUAAAAUUUGGGUGCCGAUAAAGAUACCCAAUUUCAAAAAUACUUGAGCUUAUAGACUAAUUAAAUGAAGUUGAUCUUACAGAUCUCGUGGCUGUAUGAUGAAUGCCACUUGCCAGCUGCAAUAGAUACCACGGAAAAGUGAAUAAAGACAUACAGUUACUAGGUUUAAGAAGUACAGAUAGAGCACACAAAAAAUAAAAGAAGCUUUUGGGAAGAAACUUCUUACGCCAAUAGUUGUGUUCUUGACCUACAGUAAAAAAUGUGAAGAAGAAUACACAACAUUAGCAAUAGCUCACCCAGUCUUCGGAAUUUAAAAAAUCAAGUUUGUCUCGAUCGAAAACUUGUAAAUAAAACAAAAAGAGGACCCCUUACGGAUUUGGUGCCAUAGAUAUUGAAAGAAACCUACAAAAACAAAGAAAGAACAAGACCACAUGCAUUAGCAUAACAAGUGUGAGGUGUAUAAGCCGUUAGAAAAUAAAUUUAAAAUUCUAGUGCUGUCAAUACAUUGAUAAUAUAUAUAUAUAUAUAUAUAUAUAUAUAUAUAUAUAUAUGUAUUAUUUUUCUGAAAAUUUAACUUUCUCCCUCCAAACUCAUUUUUCUAGUCUCUAGCCCAUCAUAUAAUAUUUAUCAGAAUAAAACCAAAUGAUUAGGAUCCAACUAAGAAACUUACCAAAUUAAGUUUGUGUGUCCAUUUUUAUAUUUUUUGGAUCCCUAAUAUACCCCAUCUAAGCCAGUAUGGAAAGUUCUUGUAAUUUUGCUUUAAGUGAUCACGUGCAUUGAAUUUGGCAAGGUCUUGUAGCCAUGAAAUAUGGUUCCAGAUGGAGGAAUGAAUUUGGAUUUUUUUUUAAUUUCGGCAACAAAUUUCAAUUUGAAUAUACCUAAUUUAGUGUUUAUUUUCAACAAUAUCUAUUGUUUAAUUUUAUGAAAAUAAUUAACCUAAUAUGAAAAUUAAUUUUAUGAAAACAAUAUCUAUUGUUUAAUUUUAUACCUACAGGAUAAUUACAUGAAAAUAGUUUACCUACUAUGAAAAUUAAUUUUUUGAAAGCAAUAUCUAUUGUUUAAUUUUAUGAAGAUAAUUUACCUACUAUAAUUACAUGAAAAAAUUUACCUACUAUGAAAAUUAAUUUUUUGAAAACAAUAUUAUUGUUUAAUUUUAUGAAAAUAAUUUACCUACUGUAUAAUUACAUAAAAAUUAGGGAAAAUUAGAAUCCCCUACAGUUUUUAUAUAUCAUUUAGAUUAAACAUUUGUACUUUUUUAAAAUUUGAUUAAAGUGCUUUGACCAAUAGUUACCUCUAUUUUUUUAAAUUAAAAUAAUUUUUGAAUUUAUCCUUUUAUCUGCACAAUGCACUUUUCCUUAUUUAGUGGAGAUAUUAGUAAUGAAACUAUAUUUUCCCUUCUUCCAAAUAUGUUUUUUCGAUCACAGUUUUUUUUUUUUUGGGUAUGCAAACAUUUGAUAUUAUUUUUUUUCCAAAUGGUUUUUUCUUUUUCAAAUAGUUGGUGAUCAACAUAUAAGCUCUGUGUAUUUUUUUCAAUGUUUUUGUGAAAUUAUAUUUUUUUUGCUGUUUUUUAAGUAUAGUUGUUGACGAAUUAUUAUUAGGUACAAUACAUUACGUAUAUAUUAUCUGCGGGUACGUUUGAAUUUACUAAAAUCAUUAAUUGGUACGUUUGAUUUGAUACAUAUUGUUAAUAUUGGUACAUUAUUUUUAUUUUGGUACGUUUUAUUUUGAACACAUUUUGUAUUGGUACGUUUAUAGUAUUCUCAAUCCUAUUUUCUCUUAACGUACUAAAAGAAAAACUCAUUUUGGUACGUUUGAUUUUGGGGGAUUUAAAAAUAUUUUAAACUAUUUUGGAAAAAAAAAAAUCUUAAAUCGUAGAUAAUUAUUGCUAAAUUGUAGCAUUAUUGUGAAAAUAAAUUGAAUCUAACCAACUUUUUUUUUUACAAUUAUCUCUAAUGGAGGAGAGUGUAAUCAAAAGGCUAGAUUAUAGGAAAUUUGUUACAAUAUAAUGGGCAUAUAGCACCAAAAUUAUGAUAAAAAAAAGUUUAAUCAAAUCAUUAAAAGGCAUGGAUGUUUGAUCUAGAAAAUUCAAAACUGAGGCGUCUAUAUCAAAAGAUCCCUAAAAAUUAAUGUGCCUACUUUUUAAAUUUGUAACAAAAUUAAUUUACCUACUUUUUAUGGUAUUAGUAUACAUAAAUGUAGAAUAUAUGUCCGUAUAUAUUUGAUCUAAUUAGGUUUUGGAUUGGAGGAGUUGACACAAAAUUAUAAAUAUAUUAAACAAAUUUAUCUAUUCUAAAGUUGGAGGGGAAUUGGUCUGUACAUUGCUACAGUAAACAAAUGCUACUCAAUUUCACGUUAUUUACAACAAAGCUAUCAGAUUUGGGUUGGGUUGGAGGGUAAUUUGUUAAAAGUUAGGAGGGUAAUUUUGUGCAUAGGGUUUAGGUGCCCUCCUAUACAUGACCCUUGAGUUUACUUUAUUUACACCACUGCCAUCAAAUAUGUGGCUGAAUUGGAGGGUAUUAUUAAAAGUUAAGAGGGUAGUUUUGUUCAAGGGGUGGGGGCGACAUUCGCAGACGGAGGCCGAUGGGAGCCAUGCCCAUUGCACAGAGAGAAAGGGAGUGAUGGGGGAAAUUACAGACAGAAAAGGAAGGGAUGGGAGGAUUUGAUGGAUGGUCACAGAGAGAGAUUCGGUGAGGGAUGUGAGGGGAGAUUACAGAGAGAUAAAUAAAAGGGAGGGAUCGGGGGAUUUGAGGGAUGGUCAGAGAGAGAAAUAGUGAGGGAGGGAGGGAUGGGGGGGCUGAUUUUCGGUUCCUCCUUCAGAUUUGUUCCGUAAAACCUGUUGGGUACAAUUCAAUUUCCUCCCCCUUUCCCCUGAACGAAAAAUUCGAAACCUACAAUUCAAUUUCCUCCCUCCUUGGCUUUCCGCUUUACUCAUCUCCCGGUGGUUCUUUCUCUCCAUACGAUUCGAUUUCGGUGAGUUCUUCGUUGCCCUCAUGAUUUCCCAGUUUGAUUUUUUGAGCGUCCUUAGUCGUUGUUUUUAUCUGGGUUUACUGCAUUGUUGCUUUUAGUUUCUGGAUUUUUAUUUGUUCCGCGGUUCGAUGAAUCGGUUAAUAAUUUCACACCAUGGGAUUUUCGCAUGGAAUUGAGCGCGGGGAUUCGGGGUGGGGUUUUACUGAUAAUUUGUCUUCAUUCAAAUGAAUGGUUAAAAUUUCUGAAGUGAGUGUGCAGGUGGGCCCGUUCACUAACUAAGCUUUCAAGGGAACCCAUCAGCGGUUUGCUUGCUGGGGGAAUUCGGAGACUACCAGUGUAUGAUUUAGUUAUCAUUUAUUUUUUUACUUAAAUUUAUCCAUAUAUAAUAUGUGGGUAAAUUUACACUAAACAAUUGUGAUAAGCCAAUAUGCCAUACGACUUUGAAAGCAUUGAUUUUGUGUUUAGUUUGCAUUUUUGCAUUGUGAAUGUUGAAUUUUGUGUUUGAAUUUGUAGCAUGAUCUUCCGCUGCAGCAUCCAAAUUUUGCAUUUGUAAAUUGUCAAAGAAAAACGAAGUAUGAGGAAAUUAUAGGAGAUUGUGUCGGCUUUGGCCAUGAAGGGUAUCAGCAGCUUGUUCCCCCAUACAGGUGAUUAAUCGUUUUUCAGUCUGUGUUCUAUUUGGAUGAGAAAGUGAUUGAAAAUAUGAUUUUUUUAUUUGUUGGUUGAUUUUGUAUGGACGAUGUAUUAAUUUUAUUUUUUUUGGGAUUUUGUGUAUUGGGCAUUGUGUAGAACCAGCAAUGCAAGAGCAGGAUCUGAUCAGUCAUGCCUGAAAAGGGGUUUGUUUCUCAAAUCACAUUAAUUAAUUAGAUUAUUAACGUGCGUUGGAAGGCUCUUCAAUAUGAUUUCUAAUUUCUCCUUUCCAGCAUUCUCUUUUUGGUUUUUGGAGUAUGUAUGUGAUUUGUAUUUUUUUAUAGAAUAAAAAUUAAUAAAACACGAGAUGCAGCAAUUAAUUUGCAUCCUUAUGACAACACAUAUGAAAGUGCAUUCAAUUUCAAUGUGCGAAUGUGUGACAGGAUGUGCCUGCCCGCUGCUGCUGGUAUGCUUGCUGUUGUUUCUCGCGUUGUUAAUUUUUUGUGUGUGUUGAUUUGAUUAACAACUCAAGCGUAUCUUUUUUUUUUGUGUUGGUUAGCAGCCAGUUUUAUGGCCCCGAUCUAGUGAUGCUUCUCAGUGACUGUGGUAAUUGCAGUUCAUUGCCACCAGUUGGUCAGCUACCUGCUCUGAAAGAGCUAUACGUAGAAGGGAUGAAAGUUGUUAAGAGUGUUGGUGUUGAGUUGUACGGGGGAAAUCAACCAUUUCAAUGUUUAGAGAAGCUAAAGUUUCGGGAGCUAUAGCAGCCUAGUCCAAGUGGAUGUGAAAGUCCAGACUUUCCUCAUCUUAAGGAGCUGGGGUUAUACGAAUGUCCGAAGCUGAGAGGAAACUUGCCCACUCAUCUUCCCUCCUUGAAAACACUUCAUGUGAACAAGUGUGAGGUUCUACAUAAAAACAGGGCCAGUAAUACCCUGAACGUGGAAUCCUUACGAGGAUCUCUUGAAAAACUGACAAUAAAUGGAUGCCCGGGUCUCUCAUUGUUACUAGAGUCGACGGAGACGCUGCCGUCGCUUCAGAAGCUUGAUAUUGAUAAUGUGGUGGGAAAGAGUUGUUGGCGCAAAUGGUGCACAACAGCAAUCGUCUUCAAAGUUUGACUUUAUAUAAAUGUUCCUCACCCUUGUCGUUCCUUACAAAUGGUCUGCCCACCACGCUGACAUCACUGAGCAUAACAGAUUGCAAGAAAUUAGAAUUCCCAUCACGUGAGAUGAUGGCCAAAUUGACUUCCCUUCAGUCUUUGCGUCUAUCCAACAGCUGUGAACGCAAAGGCUUGAGUAUUUGCAGUUUAGUUUUUUUUUUCUUCAUUUUAGAGAUUUUUCUACUGUUUGGUUUUUGGGUUUUGUCUAAUUUUUGUGGUCUGCUUUAUAGAUUGUUCUCUUUGGAAGCUUCUUUCCAGCCUUGACCUUCUUCUUGCCUGGUGCCUUCUCAUUGAGUAUUGGAGGAGCAUUAAAACACAGGUGUGUGUGUUUUGUCGACAUAAGAGAUGAAUGACAUAAAAACAUCCGUCUCUGUAUUUUUUUGUGCUUUUUCUAACCCAUCAAUUUCUUUUGAGUCAACCAAAUAGUCCCAAAUUGCAACUUAUGUUGUGAGGUAUUAUUGUCUAAAAUUAAGUAUGCAUGUAUAUUUUAUGUUUGUGCCCGCGCACACAUCCGCAUGGUGUUAAUCUCUGUGGGUCAUCUAUGUAUAUGUAGAUAUAUCUAUAUGUGUGUGUGGAAUGCAACAUAUCGGAUUUAGGUUAUACUGUGCAUAGUUUUAUUGCCUGUUAUUAUCUACGAUAUCACUAUGCCAUUUCUAUGCAGGCUCUGAAAGUUAUUCAUGAGCUUUAUAAGCACUUACCAUAAUUUAAGCAGUCUGUUUUGGGUUCUUUUUCAUUAGGUCAUUAGCUACAGAUUAAUGGAGAAACGAGGACCAUGCCACUGAUUUGGGUUCUUUUUCUAAUUUUCUGAUUUUGGGGUUUUGCAGGGAGAACUCCGCCUAUGUACUUACAUUGCCGAUCCCAAGCUCGGAUAAAGGAGGAGGGGGAGGGCGUCAGGUAGUCGACAGUCGGCACUCCAUGAUCACGUCGAAUCCUUAUGAAAAUGAAUUCAGAAUAAAAUUGCGCUAAAGCUAGGGCGUCACCCGUAAGUGGCGCGCUGUGUGGCCCGAGCACAGUGAUAAGUGAGCAAGGGUCGCUGUAUCUCCAUCGGCACCCGGAUGCAGUGUUAAAUGAGCAAGGGGGGCAUAGGAACUUCUUUUCGAACGACUCCACUCAAAGUUGUUUGGGAGCAUAUGCUCCUAUCAACUUUACACGGGACACACAAAAGAAGUACUUUGAUCCUAUUAGACGGGGGAGGGUGAAGAAGCUAGGACAGAAGGGUAGAGUUCAAGAAAGCAAAAUGCGUUUAGGAACGUGGAAUAUAGGAACCUUAACGGGAAAAUCUAUGGAAGUAGUGGAAGUUAUGGUGAGGAGAAGGAUAAAUAUUAUGUGCCUACAAGAAACUAAGUGGGUUGGUAGUAAGGCAAUUGAUCUAGAAAACUCAGGGUUUAAACUUUGGUAUUCGGGCACAAAUAGAACGAGAAACGGUGUUGGCAUCAUCGUGGACAAGACCUUGACACAAGAUGUUGUAGAUGUCAAGAGGGUAGGAGAUAGAAUCAUGGCAAUCAAGAUUGUAAUAGGACAAGAACUUAUCAAUGUGGUUAGUGCGUACGCACCUCAAGUAGGGUUGGAUACGAGUUCGAAGGAGAAAUUUUGGGAAGACCUUGGAGACUUGGUGUAAGGAAUUGCUCAGACGGAGAAGUUAUUUAUAGGAGGAGAUUUAAAUGGACACGUGGGCAGAGAGACAGGCAACUAUGGAGGUUUUCAUGGUGGCCAUGGUUUUGGGGAGAGAAAUGAGGAUGGGGAAGCUAUCUUGGAUUUUGCAAUGGCAUAUGAUCUCUUUUUAGCCAACACCUUCUUUAAGAAGAAAGAAGAACAUGUGAUCACCUACAAGAGUGGGUUGUCAAAAACACAAAUAGAUUUUCUUCUAAUGAGAAACGAGGAUGGGGAAGCUAUCUUGGAUUUUGCAAUGGCAUAUGAUCUCUUCUUAGCCAACACAUUCUUUAAGAAGAGAGAAGAACAUGUGAUCACCUACAAGAGUGGGUCGUCAAAAACACAAAUAGAUUUUCUUCUAAUGAGGAAAGGGGAUCGUAUAACUUGUAAGGAUUGCAAAGUUAUACCAGGAGAGAGCGUGGCUAAUCAACAUCGCUUGUUGGUGAUUGAUGUACAUAUCAAAAGAGUGAGACAAAAGAACAAGACUUGGAAGUGCCCAAGGACUAGAUGGUGGAAUCUAAAAGAAGAAAAACAAGCCAUUUUCAAAGAGAAAGUAAUCAUCCAGUGUGUGGGAUAGAGAUGGGGAAGCUAGCCAAAUGUGGGAUUCAAUGGCUAGUUGUAUCCGAAAAGUAGCAAAAGAGGUAUUAGGAGAGUCAAAAGGCUUUGCCCCACACCAAAAAGAAUCUUAGUGGUGGAAUGAGGAGGUACAAACAAAGGUGAAGGCUAAGAAGGAAUGUUGUAAAGCCUUAUACAAGGAUAGAACUGAUGAAAAUGGUGAAAGGUAUAGAAAAGCGAAGCAAGCUGUGAGAGAAGCUAAGUUAGCGGCUUACGACGAUAUGUAUAAACGACUAGAUACCAAAGAAGGAGAGUUGGAUAUCUAUAAACUAGCUAGAGCAAGGGAAAAGAAGACAAGGGACCUAAACCAAGUGAGGUGCAUCAAGGAUGAGGAUGGAAAUGUUCUUGCUACAGAGAACGCGGUUAAAGACAGAUGGAGAGGUUAUUUUCAUAAUCUUUUCAAUGAAGGACAUGGAAGGAGUGCUUCUUUAGGGGAGUUGAGUAACUCAGAAGAGUGUAGAAACUACUCUUUUUAUCGUCGAAUCCGGAAGGAAGAAGUGAUUGUAGCUUUGAAGAAGAUGAAACAUAGAAAAGCAAUAGGCCCAGACGAUGUACCAAUCGAAGUGUGGAAAGUUUUGGGAGAGACAUGUAUAACAUGGCUCACUGACCUUUUCAAUAGGAUUUUGAAAACGAAGAAGAUGCCAAAUGAGUGGCGAACGAGCACUUUGGUGCCUAUCUACAAGAAUAAGGGCGACGUACAAAAUUGCAUGAACUAUAGGGGUAUUAAGCUAAUGAGUCAUACAAUGAAGCUCUGGGAGAGAGUCAUUGAGCAUAGAUUGAGGCAAGAGACACGGGUUUCGGACAACCAAUUUGGGUUCAUGCCAAGGCGCUUAACCAUGGAGGCAAUCUAUCUCUUACGAAGAUUGGUGGAAAGAUAUAGAGAUGGGAAAAAGGAUUUACACAUGGUUUUUAUAGAUUUGGAGAAAUUCGUAUGAUAGGGUCCCAAUAGACAUUCUUUGGAGGAUUUUAGAGAAGAAAGGAGUACGAGUAGCAUAUAUCCAAGCUAUAAAUGAUAUGUAUGAAUGAGCAAAGACUGCUGUAAGAACUCAUGAAGGACAAACUGAAAGUUUUCCCAUAACUGUAGGAUUACACCAAGGCUCAUCCUUAAGUCCCUACCUUUUUGCGUUGGUAAUGGAUGAGUUAACAAGACAUAUUCAAGAUGAUAUUCCUUGGUGUAUGCUUUUCGCAGACGAUAUAGUGUUGAUAGAUGAAACACAGGAAUGGGUAAAUGCAAAGCUUAACCUUUGGAGAGAAGUGUUGGAAUCUAAAGGUCUUCGCCUAAGCCGAUCAAAGACAAAAUAUAUGGAGUGCAAGUUCAGUGCAAAUGGAGGCCAAAACGAGUUAGGGGUGAGGAUCGGAGAUCAAGAAAUACCAAAGAGCGACCGUUUUCGUUACCUAGGAUCUAUCUUGCAAAAGAACGGAGAAUUAGAUGGAGAUCUCAACCAUAGAAUACAAGCUGGAUGGAUGAAGUGGAAGAGUGCAUCCGGCGUGUUGUGUGACCGCCGUAUGCCACUGAAGCUCAAGGGAAAAUUUUAUAGGACGGCAAUAAGGCCGGCGAUGCUGUAUGGCACAUAAUGUUGGGCGGUGAAGCAUCAACACGUACACAAAAUGGGUGUAGCGGAGAUGAAGAUGCUUCGUUGGAUGUGUGGGCACACGAGAAAGGAUAAGAUUAGGAAUGAGGAUAUCCGGGGUAAAGUAGGAGUAGCCGAAAUUGUAGGAAAGAUGAGAGAAAAUCGGUGACGGUGGUUUGGACAUGUGCCAAGAAGGCCUACUGACGCUCCGAUUAGAAGAUGUGACUACUGGACAGAGGUUCAGGGCCGAAGGGGUAGAGGAAGACCUAGAAAAACUUUGGAAGAGACUCUAAGAAAGACUUAGAGUACCUGGAUCUAACGAAGGACAUGACACAGGACCGAGCAUAAUGGCGUUCUAAGAUUCAUAUAGCCGAUCCCACUCAGUGACUUGGAUUUUCCAAGUCUCCAGCCGAGAAGUUUUCCUCACUCAGGAAAUUAAGGGAACACUACCCCAACCUACAUGCUCCACUCACAAAGCUUCAACAAAAGAAAAUUCAAAGAACUUAGCGAAGAAGGCUUUGAUGUAUUUAACACAAUACGUUGAAAUGAAGGAAAGCUUAUUUAUUGAUAUCAUCGAUAAGCUACAAAUAUGUACAUAUACAUAAGUCAAAAUAAACAAACAAGAGGGAGCCUUCACAAAGGUUGCUUAGGAGAAGUCUCAGCAGUCGGUAGAGCCCCAGAAAGAGAAGGCACCGGAGGGGGAUCAUUCGGAGCCUCAGUACUGGACAGAACCCUAGAAGGAGGAGGCAUAAGAGGUUGAUCAUUUGGUGCUUCAUUACGCGGUACAGCCCCAGAAGACGAAGGCAAUAAAUGCCUUUGGAACAAACCCACAAAUCUCUGAUGAUCAAGUAAAACCUGACCAUCAGAUUCCUUCAUCUGGUCAAGCUUCCUCUUCAUGUUUGUAGCAUAGUCAUGUGCGAGCCGGUGCAACUGUUUAUUCUCAUGCUUGAGCCCUCUAAUCUCCUGUUUGAGACUCAUCACUUCAGCCGCCAAUGAUUCAACUUGGCGGGUUCGAGCAAAUAGGUGUUGGGCCAUAUUAGACACAGAACCUGCACACUGAACACUGAGAGCCAGAGAAUCCUUAACAGCUAACUCAUCAGACCGUUUGGAAAGUAGUCUGUUAUCUUUGGGAGUGAGAAGGUUCCUGGCCACCACCGCAGCGGUCAUAUCAUUCUUCAUCACGGAAUCCCCAACGGUAAGAGGACCAGUAGGGGAGACGAAGGAUGGGCGCCAUAUGUUGUCUGGAGAAGGCGGGGCUUCCUCUUCAACAAGGUUCAAGUCAAAACGACGGUCGGAGGGGCCAGACAUUUUCAAAUGUGUUGAAGAGAGAAGAGGUCGGACAAAUCAAGAUCUUAGAAGUGUAAGAAUGGAGCUUCUACUGGUGGAGAUUCAAGUGUGCUUUGGAACUUAAUGUCAGCCCCUAUAAAAAUCUGCACUCAACGGAGCUUCAGAAAUCGAAGAGGCGCCUGCUCAGAAAUCGAAGAGGCGUUUGCUUUCUCAAAAGCAAGGCUGCUCAGAUACCACGAGGGUCGAUCUCAGAAAUCGAAGAGGCGUUUGCUUUCUCAAAAGCUGGGCAGCGCAAAGACCACGAAGGCCGAUCUCAGAAAUCGAAGAGGCGCUCAAAAGUUGGGCUGCUCAGAGACCACGAGGGCCGAUCUCAGAAAUCGAAGAGGCACCUACUUUUCCAGCCUUGUCAGUACCUGUCACACACACACUCAGCUUUGCGAAAAUUAUGGGGAUUCGGUCGAAGACUUCUGGUGAAGUAGAAAGCACAUGAGUCUUACUGUUCAAUCACCCACUUCCCACACGCAACAGUAGCUCAUGGGUACCACAUAUAACUUUUCCAAAGUUCUCUGCCAAAGUUGAACACGUGAAGUUUGCAGCUCCCACUACAUCGCUCUGAUCAAGAAGGGUAAAAGAAUAGCAAAGAAACAACACUAACAAAGUUUAGACACAUAAAUUUUGAUGGUCGAGCUACCAUAUUAUUACCCACAAGGGUAAAGGAACAGUACCACUGCUGGAUAAUUGGAAAGUCCCUGUGUGUCAACCUCUGUGCUUCGUGGCAAGGUAGACUAUCAAACAUGCCCAACCUUUACUCACAUUCGAGAAAACACUCCCAACAAGAUUGCUUGCUCCAAAAUCGAAGAGGCACCGUCCUUCGAAUCUCGAGAGCCAGACUCCCAACAUGACUACUUUCUCAAAAAUCGAAGAGGGUAAAGGAACAGUACCAUUGCUGGAUAAUUUGAAAGUCCCUGUGUGUCAACCUCUGUGCUUCGUGGCAAGGUAGACUAGCAAACAUGCCCAACCUUUACUCACAUUCGAGAAAACACUCCCAACAAGAUUGCUUGCUCCAAAAUCGAAGAAGCAUCGCCCUCCGAAUCUCGAGAGCCACUCCCAACAUGACUACUUUCUCAAAAAUCGAAGAGACAUCGCUCUCCGAAUCUCGAGAGCCAGACCCCCAGCAUGAUUGCUUUCUCAAAAAUCGAAGAGGCACCGUUCUCCGAAUCUCGAGAGCCAGAUCCCCGAUAGGAUUGCUUGUUCGAAAACCGAAGAGGCAACACUUUCCCAAUUUCAAGAGCCGGAUCUCCUUGGAUAAAGCUAUCUGUAAUCUUCACUCGCAACAUUAGCUUUCCAGCUACCACAGACCACUUUUUCAAAGUGAUCUGACAACGUUAAAACAUGUGAAGCUGGCAGCUUCCACUACCGUGCUAUGACCAAGUAGGGUAAAGGAAUAGCAUUACUACUUGUUGUUAAGGAGACUCCUAUAUAUGUCGACCUCCAUCCCCAACGGAUAGGCAGACCUGCAAAAAUGCUCAACUCUUCCUCAUAUCUGAGAGGGCACUCCCAACGAAGCCUUUCGAAAUAUUCAGCUUUCUUUCCCCCCGAUAAUACCUCUGCAAACAAGCUAUACUAGAGCAAGAAUAUCUCAUAUCAUCAGGGUUAAAAGCAAGAGUAUCCCAUAUCAUGCUUUUUCCUUGUCUUUUUCUUUGGCCUUGUUCUUACCUGCAAGACAAGAAGAAAGAGAGCAAUCAGUCAGUACUUGGAAUCAAGCUUCCAGCCAGGAACUGACUGCCUGGAACCCCUUACCUGAUUACUUACCUGACAUUGUUCUCGAGUACUCAUCUUCAACAUCUUAUGCUUCCAGGGAAGAUACCGCAUCUGCCUGAGGAACAGAUAGGGCAAGGGAGAAGGAUAUAAGGAAGCAUGUGGAGACAAGCGUAACAGCACACGUGCCGAUACAUCCAUUACUCUGUCAAAGCAAAAGUAUCCCAUAUCAGUAGGGUCGAACGUACUCUAGAUUUGAUGGACUUGUUUUGACCCUCAAAUUCUUCAGUCGGCCUUAUACUCUGGAGGAAACCAGAAAUUUCUCCAGCUCAGUGCAAGAAUAAGCUUGUGGAAAGUUACUUCUUCAAAAGCAAAAGUAUCACAUAUCAUCUCUUCUCAUUUUCUUCUCUUUAUCCUUCAUGCUGCCUGCAAGAUAGGGAGAUUGUGAACAAUCAGCUGGAGCUAUGAUUGCUUACCUUGUCUGUCACCUCUUUCAGCAGAUCCCCUAGCUCGGCGAUUUGGGGGACUCCUACUACAUGGUUUGUAUCGCGCUUGACCAAGCCUGAAACUACAAGUAAGCUUCAAGUGAAAUUGAUACAUUACCUUGUGCAUCUCCACCAGUUAAAGAUACUACCCCUGGAUGGAGGAAGAGUACUUCCAGAGAAGAUGCCCCAUCUACCUAUGAGACAGAUAAGGCACGUCAAGACGAUACCACACUCUGAUACUUAGAAGUUUCGUGAUUACGAGAUCAUUCUCCCACAAUAUUUCCUAAUGUCAUUUGUACUAAAUCAUUCACUUGUACUCACUAAAGGAGAGCUUGAACCUAUGUACUUGUGUAAACCCUUCACAAUUAAUGAGAACUCCUCUAUUCCGUGGACGUAGCCAAUCUGGGUGAACCACGUACAUCUUGUGUUUGCUUUCCUAUCUCUAUCCAUUUAUAUACUUAUCCAUACUAAUGACCGGAGCAAUCUAGCGAAGAUCACAAAAAGCGACCGUUUUCGCUACCUAAGAUCUAUCGUGCAAGAGAACGGAGAAUUAGAUGGAGAUCUCAACCAUAGAAUACAAGCUGGAUAGAUGAAGUGUAAGAGUGCAUCCGACGUGUUGUGUGACCGUCAUAGGUCACUGAAGCUCAAGGGAAAAUUUUAUAGGACGACAAUAAGGCCAGCGAUGUUGUAUGGCACAGAAUGUUGGGCGGUGAAGCAUCAAUACGUACACAAAAAUGGGUGUGGCGGAGAUGAGGAUGCUUCGUGGGAUGUGUGGGCACACGAGAAAGGAUAAGAUUGGGAAUGAGUAUAUCCGAGGUAAAGUAGGAGUAGCCGAAAUUGAAGGAAAGAUGAGAGAAAAUCGGUUCCGGUGAUUUGGACAUGUGCAAAGAAGGCCUACUGACGCUCCGGUUCGAAGAUGUGACUACUGGACAGAGGUUCAGGGCCGAAGGGGUAGAGGAAGACUUAGAAAACCUUUGGAAGAGACUCUAAGAAAAGACUUAGAGUACUUGGAUCUAAUGGAGGACAUGACACAAAACCGAGCGCAAUGACGUUCUAGGAUUCAUAUAGCCGACCCCACUUAGUGGGAAAAGGCUUUGUUGUUGUUGUUGUUGUUGUUGGGGUUUUGCAGGGAGUACUAAUGUACUGAUUUUCUGGGAUUUUUUUUGUCCUUGCAGGAUUUUUGGUCUUUGAAAUGGGUAUGUGUUGUUUUUAAUGUUUCAGUUCUAGCGUUUUCCGUUCUUCGUUGCUUCGUGAUUCUCAUUUUUCAGUGUUGGGUGAUGGAAAUUUGUUAAAGUAGUUGGUAGUUUUUUGAGAAAGUUGGCAUUUUUAGUUAUAUUUUCUGUUUAAUCCUAAAUGUUUUGAAAACUCAUAAUUUUUUUGUUCUGGGAUUUAAAAGCAUCUUUUCCAGAUUGGUUACAAGGGUUAUGUUCUCUUCAAUUGGUUCACCUAAUUUUGAUUAGUUUUAAGUUUUGUCCUUUAAGUUUGUCUUUUAAGUUUUGUUCUUUAAGUUUUGUCUUUUAAGUUUUGUUCUCUAAGUUUUGUCUUUUAAGUUUUGUCUUCUGUGCUGUAAUGAGAGAUUUCCGUUGGCCUUUCGGAUUUUGGCAUGGGAAAGUUCACUUAUUUGCAAGGUUCUAAAAAACGCUAGGCGUUAGUUGGGCGGUGGGCUAGCGCCUAGCGGCUAGGCGGCUAGGCGGGAUCUAGGCGGGAUCUAGGCGGGCGCCUAGGCGGCCUAGGCGGAUUUAGGUAAAUUUCUUAUAUAUUUUAUGAAUUAAUUAAAUUUACUAUAUCAAAUGUAAAUAAUUAUUAACUAAUAUGUUAUUUCUUAUAGAAGAACAUACAUAGUGAAUGUUUUAUGUACAUAUAUAAUAUAUUUGUCUAGGAAAAAAAAAUAUUAUCUAAAUAAUUUUUAUAACAUAUAUAUAUAUAUAUAUAUAUAUAUAUAUAUAUCCCAAACUUUUAAAAAUAUAAAUAGCAUUGGGAGAGGGGCGUAGGGUUUCUAAAAGCACACUCAGAAAUAGAGCAUAUUUUAGUCUUUAUUUUAGAAUCCUAAGGAGCACCCUACUCGGAUGCACGACAUGUGUGCAAAUCUGGAGAUUCUUGCUGUAUCGGAUACACCAAUGCUUAGUCAAAAUUUCCUGCUAGGGUUUAUGGUGGACAUGUGUGUGUGGUCUUCAUUAUUAAACCCAUUAGCACCUCACCUUUUCACAUCACCCGUCCAUCACCUUGGGUGGUUUUGAUAAUUAAAACCAUCAACAUCCAUGGUUUUGAUAAUUAGAACUACCAACUUUUCCUUGGAUUUGAGAAUCUGAGAUCCCAUUCAUCGCCAUCAAAUAUUGAAAUGUUUCAUUGUUCAUCUCUUUCUCCCUCUUCUCACUCUCUAUUCCCUCAUCUUCACAGAGAUGAGUUACAGAAAUUCUCCGGUAAUCUCUCUCUCUCUCUCUUCGUAAUCGACGAGCUCCUCGACUUGAAGUCGCAGCCAAGUUAUGAAGAAUCGAGAUGCGAGAGCAAGUGGAGAGUGGAGACUCUGGAAAUUGGGAGUGACGAUCGACGACGAUGAGUCGAUGACCCAGGAAACCUCUUGAAGUUGCAGCAGGUGAGUGCACUGCAGUUGAGGAAGAAGAGACGAAGAGACUUAGUUUCUGAAAUUAGGGUAGCUGCAAGGCACGGGAACUUAAAAACAAAAAAACAAAAAGAAAACCGCCUAGCUCCGCCAGCCGCCUAGCCUGCCUAGGCGCCUCCUAGCCCGCCUAGGUGCCGCUUAGCCACCGCCUAGAGCCCAGCCGUUUUUUCCCACCGUUUUGCACAAAAACGCCUUGGCCACCCUCCGCCUAGCGCCUAGGCGGCCGCCUAGGCCGUUUUUUAGAACACUGCUUAUUUGUCUAAUUAGAUUGUGGAUGCCUUCGAUUCUUUAUUUAAUUGUUCUGUUUGCGUUCGGGUGUGAUGAUCUAAAUUUCAUAUGUUUGGAAUUAUUUACUUAACACCAAUUUGUUACAUUCAGAUCUCCACCCCACAUUUCACUAGUUCAAAUUCCAUAGAAGUUGGUUAUUGCAGAUUGCGUCUACAAUUAGAUCAGAGAUCAACUACUCUUUUGUUAUCCUGCAGAAGAUUGCUUUUGGGAAGGAUCUGAAGUAGUUUCUCUCUGUAUGUUUAUUCCCAUGUAGCUCUGUCUUUUCUAAUUGAUGGUGUUGAUAUUACACUGUAAUUCAUGAUGAUGAUUUAAUUGUUUAUUGAUUUGUAAUUGUUUGUGAAUAAUGUGGCAUAUAUGAAUUGCAAUCUGUGUUUGUAUGAAAGGGAUGGCAUAUUAUGUUGCUGACUUAAUUGUUUAUGUUUUUCAUAUUUGCGAAUGGUGUUAUGAUCAAUUAGGUGAUUGCUGACCUGUGACUUUGUUUGGAGCUCAAAUUUUGUGAGCAUUACAUUGGAUUGUUUUGAUGUUGUUUUGGUUGACAAUGCAGGGAUAGGAGAAACAAAGAGGAUGACACUUAUAACUGCCAUUCCCCAUCGGCCGUCUUCAAAUUUGGAUCACAAGAAGGGAGCAACAUAGGUGUUUUCCUUCUUUAUUUAGAUAUGGUUAGUGUAAAUAAUUGGACAAAAGAGCCAAACAAACCCUGUUCUCUCAAAUGGAGUUGAUGAUGUGGUCGACGGCCACCAGCCCCAACUCAAGAGUUUGGCCUUCAUAUAAUUGGAUUGUAGUAUAAUUUUAUUUUUGUUCAUUUCUUUUUUCCUUUAUAUAAGUGCAGGUGUUGUGAUGUUUUGAAUAAAGGGUGAUGAAAGGUGGUUCACACUUCCUCCUUACUUAAAGCAAGUGGAGAUGACGGUUUGUAUAAAAAGAAAAACUUGCCACGUACUUCAAUUUUCUAUUUUAUUAAUUAUUGUUUGGUUUUCCAAAUGUUGUAUUCACAAAGAGAGACCAAUUAUGUCUUUGAGAAACAAGUUUCUUUGUCUACAUUGCGAGAAUUUGCAGUUUGCAACUUUCAUUGGUUAUUAUAUUUGAUUGAGUUAAACUUGGAUUUCUGGAUUCUGACUUUUUCGUUUGUUUCUUUGUUGCAGAGUUGGCUUCAUUUCAUUCCAGGAACUCUCUAAAUAGGGCCAAGAACUCACUAAAUAGGUAGUCAAGAGGAAUUCAGUUUUGCCUUCAAUUUUUGCCUUCUGUUUACAUUCUUCCUGGAUGCACUCUCACCGCUUCUCUCGCUUACCACUUUUUUCUCACUCACCGCUUCAUCUCUUCUGUUGCUUACAAGGUCGUGUCAUAUAUUUUUUAAUUUUGUGGUUUAAUUUAUUGAAUAUUUGAAAAAAGAGAUAAAAUUAUAAGAUACUAUAUAAGAUACUAUAUAGUAUCUUAUAAAUAAAUGAAUCACAAAUGAUACUAUAGUUGUUAAAAAAUCCCAUUACUCAAAACUCCAAUUCCCUCCCAUUACUGAAAGCUCCAAUUCCAUCAAAACCGAGAUGGUAAAAGUACAAACUGGCUAGUUUCCACCAAAAAAAAAAGUACAAACUGGUUACAAAAAUAUGUUUUGUCCCAUCCAAUUGACGAAAAGAGAUAAAAUUUUCAAUUUACAAUUACUGAUAUGAUGUUUGUUUUGAAAAUCAUUAAGGUGAAUGGAGAGAUUUACAACCAUGAAGAGCUGAGGAGCCGUUUGCCAAAUCAGAUUUAUAAGGUCUCAUCAAUUAUGAAUAAACGACUUUUCAUUCCCAAUGACCUUUAUCGUUUUUCUUAAUGGGUUAGCUGAACAUGAGGUAGAUGCUGACUUUAUCAAAUAUGAGAAUGUUUUAGGAUUUCAUUCUAAUUUUUUGGCUGUUUGAUUACUUUGCUUUUCGUAAUUUGUUUUGCUUAUCGUCAAUUGGAUGGGACAAAACAUAUUUUUGUAACCAGUUUGUACUUUUUUUUUUGGUGGAAACUAGCCAGUUUGUACUUUUACCAUCUCGGUUUUGAUGGAAUUGGAGCUUUCAGUAAUGGGAGGGAAUUGGAGUUUUGAGUAAUGGGAUUUUUUAACAACUAUAGUAUCAUUUGUGAUUCAUUUAUUUAUAAGAUACUAUAUAAGAAACUGUUAUUAGCACUCUAAAAAACUCAUUCUACACUCGCGACAAGUGUAUUUUUCUUUUUAAUUAUGGAAAGUUUGAAGGGCAAAAUGAGAAUUUUGGAGUGCCAAUAACAAUUCCCUAUUAUAUAUAGCUCUACUGGGAAGGCUACUGUAUAUGUCUUCAUCCUGUUAAAUUGUAUAUGGCUCUUGAUGUCGGCUGAAUUAAAUCAAAAUGAAAACCAAGCUGAUCUUACCAGCCGAUAUCACUUAUCACUUGCUUAUUUAAAUUAUUUGAAGAUGCGUAUGUGGAUUGGUGAUUUUGUUGGAUUCACUUAGCUCAAAUAUAUGUUAUCUGAGUCGCUACAUUUGAGAAUGUGAUUCUGUUCCUACCACCAUUUUGCCCACUUUUUGUGGAAAUUAUUCAUUCCUGUUGUGAAUAAUACAUUCAUCCCCGGCAACGAAGUGCGGGCACAUUUUAUAGUUUAAAUUAAAUCACACAAUGGGUCAUCAAUAAUGACAAACUCGUCAUUUAUGCGAGUCAAACAUGAGGCCACCUACCUACUAGUUUAGUGGAAUACCACAAAGUGACAUGUUGAUACCUUUAAGUCUCAUAUAAUGGAUUGCAGAAUUAGGAUAUACCUAGACUAAUUUAGUCAGUGCGUGAACCCGAACAAUUAACAAGGGUUUUAUUCUUGCUUGAAUGUUUGUUAUAUGUUCCUAGUUUGACAAGGCAAUUAUAUUUCCGAUUACAAAAGUUAUUAAUUUAGUCGAGAAUUGACGCACCUGAAAUGGUGUGAGGAAAACAUGUAGACACAUCAACCGCAGUCCACUGUCCUGGGCAUCUAUCUUCCCCGAAACGAAGCUCAAAGCCAUACAUGAGGGCAUUGUGUAUGUCUUUAUAAGAGAAGUUGCUGUAGUCUUCAACGUAGCCGGCAGCCAAACUCAUCCACUCUACACUGCAACCCUCAUCCAAAUCCCAUGCUUCCAACCUGCCCCCGACAUAGUCAGCGACCAUGACAUAGCUAUACGUUUUUGGUUGACUCGAAGAAGAAGAAGAAGUAUUAUUCAAGCAUGGAGCAGUGUCCACGUACAGAGAAGAAUUCGAUGGAUUCGAACACUUCAAGUAAUAUAUAGAUAGAGAAUUGAUGUCAUAGGUGGGCCAAUAUGGAGAAUUGAUGUCCUCGGUGGUGGGCGGAAUAUUUUGAGACAUGGAAGAGCAAUUGUUGUUGUCAAGCCCAGGAUCUAGAACUCGGAUUGUAUUGUUAAUGUAGUUGAUUGCCUGGACAUAGUAUUUUCCGGAAGAAGGUACGUCUAGUACAGUAAUGUUGCUCUCACAGUACAGAGUAUACAUUAUGUUGCCACAGUACUUUGGAUCAUCGUUCAGUCGAAAAGGAUGGCUUAUGUAGUGGAUAUGGCCGCAGGAUGAAGUGCAGGACUUGGCACUACUGUUGUCAGCGUUACAAGUUUCACUGCAAAAGCAAAGAAGAAGAAAGGCUAAACUUAAGGUGAAGGACCUGCUUCCACUAAUUUCCAUUGAUCUGAGAGAGAGAGAGAGAGAGAGAGAGAGAGAGAGAGAGGGUACUAUAGCUUGAACACCAAGGAGUUAUAUAAUAUGGGAGGGGUUAAAGCGCUUCGCUUAAAGUUGCAGUAAGCCCGGCAAAUAUCCUAGGGAAAAGUCGGUCAAUGGUGUCCUAUAGAGAAAAGUCGGCCUUGGUGUUUGACACGGUCACUCACUCUCUCUCUCUCUCUCUCUCUCUCUCUCACAUUGACGAGGGACACUGUAAUUAACAAAAAAAUUGUUCUUCAGAGAUAGAUUUUGAAAUUCUUAUUUUAUAUAAAAAAACACCUAAUAUUAAUCAUUCAAAUGAAAUUCCUAAAAUUAAGUAUAAAUAAUACAUAAUAAAAACUGAACACAUACAAUCAACGGUCACGAUCAUGAAAUCCUUCGGAUCCUCAGAAAAAAAUCCGACGAUGAUCUUUUUCUGUGUAAAAUAAUUUGAGGGUAUAAUACUGGAUGUGCGAUUAAACCGAAGAACCCACCCACCUCCAUCUUCUCCGACCAACUUGAACCCAGCCACUACUACAUGUCAUCCCGACAACCCACUCUCAGCUUCCCAAACCGCCAUUUUUCACCCAUUCACCUACCACUGCCAUUAUUCAUUCAAUCAACCCAAAACACGAGAGCCACCCCCAUCUCACCAGUCGAACAGAUGCAGCCACCCACCCAUUUAAUCCCAGUCCAAAAUCAAACCCUCUCCUAAACCCACCCCAGAAUCCAAUAAUUUCAAAAAAUGGCUGAUUAUAUCAUUUCAAGAACCUCACAAUUCCAAAAACUAAAAACCCACUUCAAAGAUGUAAUAUUUUUCUCUCUUCCUCUUUUUGGGUUUUUUUUUCUUUUUUUUUAUCAAUUCUCUUCUGGGUUUUUGUUUACAGUGUAAAAUCAACACUAAUUUACUAAUUUUGCUUUGAUUUCAAACACUAUUGAGGCGUGAUAACCUGUUGCAAGCUCAGCCAUGGCGGCUACUGCGAAAUCUAACGGAAAAACCAUCACAGACUCUGCCAUUUCAUCCAAGGUUCCGACAAUAGCAAAACGAAUAGCUGUCGCAGAUUUCUUCCAACAUCAAUCACUACGCGAAAUUAAUUGUCAAUGAAGACGAUCCCAUUCCCCUUCGAAAUCUGCUGGGGAAAGAGACCUUCUUUCAGAUCUGCUCUGAGACCGGUUUAUGCGAGAGAGUGGUGAGCCUGACGACAGAGAGAAAUAAGGGCAGGAUUGGAAAAUUGGAAAGUUCAUUUAUUGGUUACUGUUUAUCCGUGUUUCUUCGAAAUAAGCUGCUUUUUCCAGCUUUGGGUUUCAGUGUUUUUUAACCCAUAAUUUUGAAAGAAAAAAAACUGAUUUUAAAUGUUUAUCAAACACUUAAAAUGUUCCAAUCUUUUUUCAUACCUACUUUUUAUUAAAAGUUAAGCUAAACAAAAAUCAAGAUUAAGUUUACUACUCUGAAGUUUCUUGCUUUUCAACAUUUCAUACAUUGAAUUUUUCUCAUCCAGUGUCAUAUCUAAGGUGGGAAUUGUGGGACACUUUUAUACAUCCGUUAGAUUUUAUGUGAAUUGCGUGGCACUUUUAUACAUCCGUUAAAUUUUUUGUGAGAACCUUCGCUGACCCACGAUGCGGCAUGCAUGUGGACAUUAAAAAAAUUCAAAAAAUUCAAAAAAUUUUAAAAUUUUAAAAUUUAAAAUUCAAAAAUACUAAAAACCUAAACUUUUCAUAAUAUUGAAAGACUGAAUCUUUUCACAGUCAGCCAAAUUUUCUUCAAAUUUUAAUUAGAUGAAAUAAUGAAUCUUGAACAAAGCAAAACAAAACGUAAUAUUGAGAGAUUCAGUCAUUGAAGUGGACGUGGAUGUUGGGUACUCAAUAGUCCAAGAAUGAAAACUCUCAUAUCAGUUUCUAUCCAAAAUUUUGGAAUUAUGUGUGUUGCAACGAUUGUCCAAAGGAUUAUUCUUCUUUUAUUAAAUUUCCAUGAAAAAUGAGCAUGGAGCACAAAAGUUGAACGAAUGAUUAUUCUUCUUUUAUUAAAUUUCCAUGGAAAAUGAGCAUGGGGCACAAAAGUUGAACGAAUGAAAUUUCAACGAUUUGAAAAGGGAUUGUGAGUUUGACAUGUCAUUUUUCUUCCUCUAAUGCAAUCAUGUUUAUUAAAAGACAAAAAUAAAUAUGACUUUACAUAAGGAGAGAGAAGGAGUAGUUUUCUUUGAAAAAAUCAACCAUUUAUUGAAGAGGAUGUGGAUGUUGAUUGAUGCGUCGUGAAUACGAAAAAAAGGACCUUGAAAGGAGUUGAGACAUUCAUUAAAAGCUAGAAGAAAAAAAAGUUAAAAGUGUUUUAGAAAAAAAGCAAGAAAGCCUCAUUUUCAAAGUUGUGGUCAUUGCACAAUACUUGAUUAGAAGAAAACUCAUAGUAUUGUAUUUACAAUUUCAAGUCUUUAUGGGGAACGAGAGAGCAAGUUUUCCAAUUGGAAUAUGAUAUGAAAUUUCUACAUAACUAUAUAUGACAAUGAAAGAAGUCUAAGUUUCUAAAUGGAAGGGCUUCCAAUUGAUGUGAGUUUGUUGAGAAAUUAGUGAACAACAGAACAAGUUGCUUCUCCUUUGGCCUUCUAACAUGAUAUCACAGAAAACAAGUUGUUACUAAUAAAUGUAUCUGAUUGGUGGACUUAGACGUGCGCGGUACGAUUUUUGAUAACUAGAGAAGAUGGGCAGUGUCAUGACAAAAUUUAUCCAAGUAGACCCAAAGGAAUGACUUAGGAACUUCAUAUGCAGUGGGAUAAAAUCUUAAGCUAAUUUCCUUACCUAUCUUAUAGGCAUUAAGUAAAAUGUAUAUGCAUAUUUCUAGACACACCAAUUUACUUAAUAUUAACUUCUUUCAAAUACCCAUUUGCAGAAACGCAAAGCUCUCUUGCAUGCUUGUUGUAAUGCUUAUGUAGUGCGUAUCCUAUAUCUUAUAUAUAUAUCUUACUUUUUGUGAUCCAUUUUUUCAUCACUAUGCCAAACGAAUAGCAAAACGAAUAGCUGUCGCAGAUUUCUUCCAACAUCAAUCACCACGCGAAAUUAAUUGUCAAUGAAGACGAUCCCAUUCCCCUUCGAAAUCUGCUGGGGG
rnacentral:lncRNA from 1 species